rnacentral:lncRNA from 1 species
GACAUAGGCAUCAGGGUACUCCUUCUUGACCUCCUCCACCUCGUUGAGCACUUGCGUGGCGUCGGUGCACCCGAACAUAGGCAGCUUCCACAUUGUCCAGUAUCGACCGUCGUAGUACCCGGGAGAGCUGUUGUGCUCACGGAAGACGAAGCCAACCUUGCUAAACUCGAGGCAGGGCACCCACUUGGAGCGGAUCAGGUAGUCUACCUGCUUUAGGAGGGCCUCUGUGGAGAGGGGUGGCAAGUAAGACAGGGUCUCGAACUUCUUGAUACCCUCAAUCGGCCACACCUGAAUGGAUGGAAAUUAUGGAAUGCACACAACUGCUUAACACUUGGUGCUAGUAAAUUGUACGUACUGAGGAAGAAACUCAUAUCAGUUUUGUGCCUCUGACAUACCUGCAUGCACCUGAUCCUUCCGCCAUUGCUGACGCGGCCGAGGCUGCCGCUGGAGCGGCGGCUGACGGGCAGACCGGCUGUGGACUUGAGCCCCUGGAAGGGUGCGACGGUGGUAGCCGACGAAGCCAUCACGGCGGGGGCCAUGGUAUUGUAUUAUCGGAGGAGAGGAGGAUGCCGGCUACAGGUGAGGCCCCCAUUGCCGGGUCACUACGGUAUAUAUAGCCAGACACUUAGCGCCGUUUCUUUGGUACAGAUGUGGUUGGGGUGGCUGACGUUCUCUGGUUGCCUCGUUUCCUUAUCUUCUCCGGAUCAGUGGAAGAAGCAUGGCCGUCGGAUGCAUUGUGUGUGCUGGAAAUUUCAGUCCUUCAUGUCAUUGGGUGGCUGCCACACAACCUUUUUCCAGCUUUUCUUGUUUUUGGUUUCAUUUGAAGCCAAAAGUUUCUUGAGUACAAAUUUUCUGAGAUGCGACUUGAGUGGUGGUGUGGGCAAAAUAUUUUACAUUUUAUCAUAAGAUCUGAUGGCUCACUCCCUUGAAAGUAUGCCUAUAGGCAUAGAGUGUGCGUGUGUGCAUUUAUAGGGGGUGUUAUACAUGCGGGUAUGCGAAUGUCUACUUUUGUACACCGUUUCUCAAAAUAAAAUAUAUGUUUUGUUGGUACAAUUAAUUGACCUAGCAUAGUAACCUCCACACGUAGAACAAGUUCUUUCCCCUCCCGCAAGGUAACUAUUGAAAGCUUUCCACCCCUCUAUAUCCGCCAGUGAGCCUAUGGAUCCGCCUCCCCUCUGCGGGAAGGGGGAUUCCUGGUGCCUCAGCUCUGGCUAAUAGACAAGUAGGAUUUUAGUCCUCAUGGGUGAGGUGCUUGGACGGACGGCGGUCUUUCUUCUUCGAGCCAAUCUUUCGGGAUCCGAUCCUCUUUAAGUUCCUCUGUCUGGGGAGCUCCGACGUAGACUCCUGCCAGUUCCACAGGCGAUGAGGUUAGGAUUUCUCAUCAUGCGUACGCACAAUGAGAUUUGGUGUCAGGUUCUUUAGAUCGAUUCACGGAUUCAACAGCGAUGACUGCGGCUCCAGAGCACUGGUCCUUAGGGGCAUGUGCAUGAAGACUUCCUGACUGUCAUCGACAAAGUCAAUGUAGCUCUAGAGUGGGAGCAUCGACAAUGGUGCGUUAGUGGCUCAUCUCUGUGCGUAGGAACGAAAAGAAAGGCCUAUAUCUCAAAUUUUUGACAACUCUCCGGCCGUGACAAUGGGCAUAACUUGUUUUAAACAUCAAUGGGUAGGAACGAAAAGCUCUAUAUGUCAACUAUUAACACGUAUGGCUAAAUAUGUACCUUGCAUUAUAGGAUAUAUGGCAAUCGAUCAAAAAGUUAGGCAGUCUCUCACAUAACAUUGUCUCUCAAGUACGGCUGCAAAUGAGUCGAGUUCGAGCGAGUUGGACUUGCCUCAGCUCAACUCAUAUUAAAAUUCAAGCGAGCUCAAACUGAGUGAAGCUCAAAAUCAAGUUGUAGAACAUGACUCAUUUUUAGUUUGUAACAAUCUUGAGCUAGUUUCAAGCUAAAUAAGACGAUAAAAAUUACAAAAUUUAUGACUAUUAUUCCAACUAGAUAAGGCAUAACACGACAUAAAAAGCACAAAAAAAUUUAUUCCAAACAGAAUGAUAAUAAUACUUUUUUUCGAAAUGAUACAAAUUUUGUUAGAAGUAGCUUGACUUAUUCUCUUACAACCGAAAGUCUAGUAUCAANNNNNNNNNNNNNNNNNNNNNNNNNNNNNNNNNNNNNNNNNNNNNNNNNNNNNNNNNNNNNNNNNNNNNNNNNNNNNNNNNNNNNNNNNNNNNNNNNNNNNNNNNNNNNNNNNNNNNNNNNNNNNNNNNNNNNNNNNNNNNNNNNNNNNNNNNNNNNNNNNNNNNNNNNNNNNNNNNNNNNNNNNNNNNNNNNNNNNNNNNNNNNNNNNNNNNNNNNNNNNNNNNNNNNNNNNNNNNNNNNNNNNNNNNNNNNNNNNNNNNNNNNNNNNNNNNNNNNNNNNNNNNNNNNNNNNNNNNNNNNNNNNNNNNNNNNNNNNNNNNNNNNNNNNNNNNNNNNNNNNNNNNNNNNNNNNNNNNNNNNNNNNNNNNNNNNNNNNNNNNNNNNNNNNNNNNNNNNNNNNNNNNNNNNNNNNNNNNNNNNNNNNNNNNNNNNNNNNNNNNNNNNNNNNNNNNNNNNNNNNNNNNNNNNNNNNNNNNNCCAGAAACAACAUAAUAUUUAAGACACGUCCGACCACGUACCAUAAUAAGGCCUAAAUUUUAUCAACAACUAAUUAAGUUUCCAUGUUUGUUUGUAAAUAAAAUGGAGAAAAAUCCUGGAUGACAUAUGUGGCACUAAAUUAUCUUAUUAUUAUUUAAUAUAUGGCAUUAUCAUUUAACAUAAUUAUAUUAUGCCGAGCUAUCGAGCUAAAAUCAAGCGAGUUAAUAUCGGCUCAAGAUCGGCUCGUUUCUUGACCGAGCUACAGGAAGUGUUUGUACUCAACUCGGUUCUUUUCGAGUUGAGUCAAAAAACGAGUCGAUCUCGAGCGGCUCACAAGCCUCAAACUUUUCUUCCAGCCCUACUCUCAAGCAGCAUCAUAUUGAGACAACUUAAUCGGCCUACUUCCAAUCACAUAUCAGCGGCGGAUAACGGAAAGACAUUAAUAUCACAAGGCCUGGACCGAAGGCAAUAAGUUCUAUGGACAACCGUGAUCCCUAGAAUAACAAUGUUCCCCUCAAGAUAUCGACAACCGUGAUCCCUAGAAUAACGGUGUUCCCCUCAAGGAAAUUUAAAGAAAAGAUAUAAGCAAUAGCAGCAGCGCAUUUUCACGGAAGCACUAUAGCUACUUUAGCUAUAGCGCGUGUUCGCGAACAAGCGCUAUAGCUAACUUAUCUAUAGCAGUAGCGCGUUCCGUCAGAAAGCGCUAUAGUUAAGUAGCUAUAGCGCUUGUGUGGAAAAAGCGCUACUACUAAGUUUGACUUGCCACUGCGCAGGCGUUCCUCCUUCCUGCAAUUCCCCAUUCUUCUCGCGUCUCCCCUACCUCUCCCUUGCCACCCCUACUCCCUCGCCGUCCCUGCCUUCGGAGCCGCCAUCGGAGCUGCGCGCCAUCGCCGCCACCGGAGCCACACGCCAUCGACGCCACCAAAGUCAUCCUCGUCUGCUCCUCGCUGCCCCUGCCUCCCUUGACGCCCCUGCCUCCCUCGACACCCCUGCCUCCCUUGCCAUCACCGAAGCCGCCGUAGACACAACCGGAGCCACCCUCGGCGCCCUUUGCACCAUCGUCUCCCCCGAGCACCUCCCGGCAACUGUUCCCGCGAGCACCCACCCCUCCUCUCUAGGUUAAUUUAUUUAGGUGAAUUUAGUUAUGAACCCUAGGAAUUAGCUAGGUUAAGUAGGUUAACUAGGUAGGUUAAGUAACUAAGUGAACUAACUAGGUUAAUUUGGUUCAUUAGGUUAACUUGUUAGGUAAACUAGGUUGGCUAGGUUAGAACAAAAAAUUAGUUUAGAGCAAAAAUAUAGUUGGGGCAGUAGGGUUUAACUAGGGCAGUAGGGUUUAGAACAAAAUUUUAGUUAGGGAAGUAGGGUUUAAUUAUAGUUUUUGUUUUCAUAGAUGUUUUUCUAAAAGAACAAAAUGAAGGAAAUGUUACAGCAGUGCUGCUAGUAGUAUAUAUAGUGGUACUAGUAGAUGUUAAUUAGGUUAGGGCAGUAGUGGUACCUGUAGAUGUUAAUUAGUUGUCUUUUAGUUAGGGCAGUAGGGUUUUACUAGGUUAAUUAGGUUAGUAGUGCUGCUGGUAGUAGUGGUACAGUAGGUUAAUUAGGUGAAGUUAAAUGAAUGGCCUAAAUAAAUGAAAUUAGUAGUUAAUUGAAUUUUUAGGACAAAUUUGUAUAUGCUUAAGUACUUAACUAAAUAGUAUUUUUAGGACAAACUUGUAUAUGCUUAACUAGUUAACUAAAUAUAUUAUAGGGUUGUAAAUAUAGUUGCUUAAGUACUUGUAUAGUUGUUCUCCCAAUGUAUGCUUAAGUAGUUGUAUAAUCCCUAGGGUUCAUCAAUGGGUGCUUAAGUAGUUGUAGAUGCUUAAGUAGCUAGCUAGGGUUCAUCUAAUUAGUUAGUACUUGUAGAUGCUUAAGUACUAGGGUAUUAGGGUUAGGGCAGUAGGGUUUAAUUAAAUGUUAAUUAGGGCAGUAGGUAUUCAGUAUAAAAAUAUAUAUUUCUAUCAGUGCUGCAAGCGUACUAGGUUAUUACUUUUUACAGAAUUUUUAUUAUGUCAGAAAUUUAGGACAUAAUUUAAAUUGAGUUCUAGGGUUCAUAAUUUGAAAUUUGUGUAGAUUUUCUUGAAGUGUCAAACACUAGGAGAUGCAAAUUUGAAGUGGUCAUGUUAUAUGCAAAUUCCCCAAUAGUGUUUGCUCAUGUUUAUCUACUGUUGUAGUUGCUCAUGUACAUGUUCUUAAGUGUUUGAGCUGUGCGUUGAGGCAAAAAAGGCUAUCAAGUCCCAAGCAAUCGCAGACUUUCUUGCCGGAUUGAGCAGCAGUUGCCGACUCAAGUUCACACGGAACAUUGGACUAUGUUCUUUGAUGGCUCCAAGAUGCUGAAUGGUUCAGGUGCUGGGGUAGUAUUGGUAUCCCCCCAUGGAGACAAGCUUAGUUAUGUUCUCCAGAUUCAUUUUGAUUCCUCUAAUAAUGAAGCCGAAUAUGAAGCACUUUUAUACGGGUUGCGUAUGGCCAUUUCACUCGGCCUCCGUCGCCUUAUGGUCUACGGCGACUAAGAUUUGGUGGUUAAUCAAGUGAUGAAGGAAUGGGAUGUCAGGAGCCCAGCCAUGAAUGGUUAUUGCAAUGUAGUAAGAAAGCUGGAAAAGAGGUUUGAAGGUUUGGAGCUUCACCAUAUACCCUGACUGAAAAAUCAAGCUGCAGAUGAGUUGGCAAAGAUAGGCUCAAAGAGAGAGGCCAUUCCCCGAAAUGUGUUUUUGGAACAUAUUAAUUCACCUUCAGUUCAGGAAGAUUGUCGGUGUCAAAACCGGCGGAUCUCGGGUAGGGGGUCCCGAACUGUGCGUCUAGGCGGAUGGUAACAGGAGACACGGGACACGAUGUUUUUACCCAGGUUCGGGCCCUCUCGAUGGAGGUAAAACCCUACUCCUGCUUGAUUAAUAUUGAUGAUAUGGAUAGUACAAGAGUAGAUCUACCACAAUAUCAGAGAGGCUAAACCCUAGAAGCUAGCCUAUGGUAUGAUUGUUGUUCGUCCUACAGACUAAAACCCUCUGGUUUAUAUAGACACCGGAGAGGGCUAGGGUUACACAGAGUCGGUUACAAUGGGAGGAGAUCUACACAUCCGUAUCGCCAAGCUUGCCUUCCACGCCAAGGAAAGUCCCAUCCGGACACGGGACGAAGUCUUCAAUCUUGUAUCUUCAUAUUCCAGGAGUCCGGCCAAAGGUCAUAGUCCGGUCAUCCAGACACCCCCUAGUCCGGGACUCCCUCAGUAGCCCCUGAACCAGGCUUCAAUGAUGAUGAGUCCGGCGCGCAAAUUGUCUUCGGCAUUGCAUGGCGGGUUCCUCCUCCGAAUACUUCAUAGAAGAUGUUUGAACACAAGGAUAGUGUCCGGCUCUGCAAAAUAAGUUCCACAUACCACCGUAGAGAGAAUAAUAUUUGUACAAAUCUAAUCUGCUGACGUAUCCCGCAGCGUGACAUCAUGCCACGGCCAAGCCUUUAUUUGAAUCAUUUUACUAUCCCACCUCAGCGCGUUUAGUGAGGCGGUUUCCUUGGCACGUCUUGUCAAAGCAGAGAUCGUGUCCCCUUAUUCCGGGAUUCUCGUCAAUACGGGCGUGGGUAUGUUGGGGAACGUAGCAAUAAUUCAAAAUUUUCCUACGUGUCACCAAGAUCUAUCUAUGGAGAAACCAACAACGAGGGAAAGGAGAGUGCAUCUACAUACCCUUGUAGAUCGCUAAGCGGAAGCGUUCAAGAGAACGGGGUUGAAGGAGUCGUACUCGUCGUGAUCCAAAUCACCGGAGAUCCUAGUGCCGAACGGACGGCACCUCCGCGUUCAACACACGUGCAGCCCGGUGACGUCUCCCAUGCCUUGAUCCAGCAAGGAGAGAGGGAGAGGUUGGGGAAGACUCCGUCCAGUAGCAGCACGAUGGCGUGGUGGUGGUGGAGGAGCGUGGCAACCCUGCAGGGCUUCGCCAAGCACCGCGGGAGAGAGGAGUACUUGGGAGAGGGGGAGGGCUGCGCCAGAACUUGGGGUGCGGCUGCCCUCCCACCCCUCCACUAUUUAUAGGUGGGGAGAGAAGGGGGCCGGCCCCCUAGAUCCCAUCUAGGGUUGGGGCGGCGGCCAAGGGGGGGAGGAGUGCCUCCCAAGUCAAGUGGAGGCCCUCCACCUUAGGGUUUCCCCUCUCCCAUGCGCAUGGGCCUUGGGGGGGCUGGUGCCCCAGGCCCAUUAAGGCUAGGGCGCCCCCUUACAGCCCAUGCUGCUGUAUUGGACGUGGUGGAACAAUUUCUGGACCUCCGGACCCCUCCGGAAUCCUCCGGAACCUUCUGGAAGCUUCCUGGUACAAUACCAGAAAAAUCCAAACUUUUCCCGGAACCCAAACAACAACUUUCCAUAUAUAAAUCUUUACCUCCGGACCAUUCCGGAACUCCUCGUGAUGUCCGGGAUCUCAUCCGGGACUCCGAACAACAUUCGUUAACCACAUACAAACUUCCUUUAUAACCCUAGCGUCAUCGAACCUUAAGUGUGUAGACCCUACGGGUUCGGGAACCGUGCAGACAUGACUGAGAUGUUCUCCGGUCAAUAACCAACAGCGGGAUCUGGAUACCCAUGUUGGCUCCCACAUGUUCCAUGAUGAUCUCAUCGGAUGAACAACAAUGUCGAGGAUUCGACCAAUCCCGUAUACAAUUCCCUUUGUCUAGCGGUAUUGUACUUGCCCAAGAUUCGAUCGUCGGUAUGCUGAUACCUUGUUCAAUCUCGUUACCGGCAAGUCUCUUUACUCGUUUCGUAACACAUCAUCCCGUGAUCAACCCCUUGGUCACAUUGUGCACAUUAUGAUGAUGUCCUACCGAGUGGGCUCAGAGAUACCUCUCCGUUUACACGGAGUGACAAAUCUCAAUCUCGAUUCGUGCCAACCCAACAGACACUUUCGGGAAUACCCGUAGUGCACCUUUAUAGCCACCCAAUUACGUUGUGACCUUUGGUACACCCAAAGCAUUCCUACGGUAUCCGGGAGUUGCACAAUCUCAUGGUCUAAGGAAAUGAUACUUGACAUUAGAAAAGCUUUAGCAUACAAACUAGAUGAUCUUUGUGCUAGGCUUAGGAUUGGGUCUUGUCCAUCACAUCAUUCUCCUAAUGAUGUGAUCCCGUUAUCAAUGACAUCCAAUGUCCAUGGUCAAGAAACCGUAACCAUCUAUUGAUCAACGAGCUAGUCAACUAGAGGCUUACUAGGGACAUGGUGUUGUCUAUGUACCCACACAUGUAUCUGAGUUUCCUAUCAAUACAAUUAUAGCAUGGAUAAUAAACGAUUAUCAUGAACAAGGAAAUAUAAUAAUAAUAACCAUUUUAUUAUUGCCUCUAGGGCAUAUUUCCAACAGUCUCCCACUUGCACUAGAGUCAAUAAUCUAGUUCACAUCGCCAUGUGAUUAACACUGAUAGGUCACAUCGCCAUGUGACCAAUAUCCAAAGAGUUUACUAGUGUCACUAAACUAGUUCACAUCACCAUGUGAUUAAGACUCAAUGAGUUCUGGGGUUUGAUCAUGUUUUGCUUGUGAGAGAGGUUUUAGUCAACGGGUCUGCAACAUUCAGAUAUGUAUGUAUUUCACAAAUCUCUAGGUCAUAUUGUAAAUGUUGUUUCCACGCUCCAUUUGGAGCUAUUCCAAAUGGUCGCUCCACUAUACGUAUCCGGUUUGCUACUCAGAGUCAUUCGAAUAGGUUUUAAAGCUUGCAUCGACGUAACCCUUUAUGCCGAACUCUUUAUCACCUCCAUAAUUGAGAAAUAUGUCGUUAUUUACUCCAAGGACAAUUUUGACCGCUGUCCAAUGAUCCCCACUCCUGGAUCAUUCUUGUACCCCUUGACUGACUCAUGGCGAGGCACACUUCCGGUGCGGUACACAUCAUAGCAUACUAUAGAGCCUACGUCUGAAGCAUAGGGGACGACCUUCAUCCUUUCUCUCUCUUCUGCCGGGGUCGAGCUUUAACUCUUAACUUCAUACCUUACAACUCAGGCAAGAACUCCUUCUUUGACUGAUCCAUCUUGAACACCUUCAAGAUCAUGUCAAGGUAUGUGCUCAUUUGAAAGUACAAUUGAGCGGUUUUUGAUCUAUCCUCAUAGAUCUUGAUGCUCAAUGUUCAAGCAGCUUAAUCCAGGUUCUCUAUUGAAAAACACCUUUCAAACAACCCUAUAUGCUUUCCAGAAAUUCUACAUCAUUUCCGAUCAACAAUAUGUCAACAACAUAUACUCAUCAGAAAUGCUAUAGUGCUCCCACUCACUUCUUUGGAAAUACAAGUUUCUCAUAAACUUUGUAUAAACCCAAAAUCUUUGAUCAUCUCAUCAAAGCGUACAUUCCAACUCCGAGAUGCUUACUCUAGUCCUUAGAAGGAUUGCUGGAGCUUUGCAUACUUUAUUAGCAUCUUUCAAGAUUGACAAAACCUUCUGGUUGUAUCACAUACAACCUUUCCUCAAGGAUAAACUGGUAAGGGAACUUGUUUUGACAUCCAUCUUCCAGAUUUCAUAAAUGCAGCUUAUGCUAACAUGAUUCCAACGGACUUAAGCAUCGCUACGGAUGAGAACAUCUCAUUGUAGUCAACUCCUUGAACUUGUGAAAAAACUCUUUGGCACAAGUCGAGCUUCAUAGACGGUGACAUUACCGUCCACGUCCGUUUUCUUCUUAAAGACCCAUUUAUCUCAAUGGCUUGCCGAUCAUCGGGCAAGACCACCAAAGUCCAUGCUUUGUAUACAUGGAUCCUCUCUCAGAUUUUAUGGCCUCGAGCCAUUUGUCAGAAUCCUGGCCCACCAUCGCUUCUCCAUAGCUCGUAGGUUCAUUGUUGUCUAGCAACAUGACCUCCAAGACAGGAUUACCGUACCACUCCGAAGCAGUAUGCGUCCUUGUCGUCCUACGAGGUUCGGUAGUGACUUGAUUCAAAGCAUCAUGAUCACUAUCAUCAGCUUCCACUUCAAUUGGUGUAGGUGCCACAUGAACAACUUCCUGUGCCCUGCUACACACUGGUUGAAGUGAUGAUUCAAUAACCUCAUCAAGUCUCCACCUCCCACUCAAUUCUUUCGAGAGAAACUUUUCCUCGAGAAAGGACCCGUUUUAGAAACAAUUACUUUUGCUUCCGGAUCUGAGAUAGGAGGCAUACCCAACCAUUUUGGGUAUCCUAUGAAGAUGUAUUUAUCCGUUUUGGGUUCAAGCUUAUCACAAUGAAACUUUUUCACAUAAGCGUCGCAACCCCAAACUUUUUAAAAAACGACAGCUUAGGUUUCUCUAAACCAUAGUUCAUACGGUGUCAUCUCAACGGAAUUAUGUGGUGCCCUAUUAAAGUGAAUGUGGUUGUCUCUAAUGCCUAACCCAUGAACGAUAGUGGUAAUUCGAUAAGAGACAUCAUGGUACGCACCAUAUCCAAUAGAGUGCAACUAUGAUGUUCAGACACACCAUCACACUAUGGUGUUCCAGGCGGUAUUAAUUGUGAAACAAUUUCCACAAUGUCUUAAUUGCGUGCCAAAGCUCGUAACUCAGAUACUCAUCUCUAUGAUCAUAUCAUAGACAUUUUAUCCUCUUGUCACAAUGAUCUUCAACUUCACUCUGAAAUUACUUGAACCAUUCAACAAUUCAGACUUGUGUUUCAUCAAGCAAAUAUACUCAACAUCUACUCGAAUCAUUUGUGAAGUAGGAACAUAACGAUAUUCAGUGCAUGCCUCAGCACUCAUUGGGCUGCACACAUCAAAAUGUGUUACUUCCAACAAAUUGCUAUCUUGUUCCAUCUUACUGAAACGAGGCUUUUCAGUCAUCUUUCCCAUGUGGUAUGAUUUGCAUAUCUCAAGUGAUUCAAAAUCAAGUGAGUCCAAACGAUCCAUCUGCAUGGAGUUUCUUCAUGCGUAUACACCAAUAGACAUGGUUCGCAUGUCUCAAACUUUUCAUAAAAUGAGUGAGUCCAAAGAUCCAUCAACUUGGAGCUUCUUCAUGCGUUUUAUACCAAUAUGACUUACAUGGGAGUGCCACAAGUAAGUGGUACUAUCAUUACUAUCUUAUAUCUUUUGGCAUGAAAAUGUGUAUCAUUACGAUCGAGAUUCAAUAAACCAUUCUUUUAGGUGUAAGACCAUUGAAGGUAUUAUUCAAAUAAAUAGAGUAACCAUUAUUCUCCUUAAAUGAAUAACCGCAUUGCGAUAGACAUAAUCCAAUCAUGUCUAUGCUCAACGCAAACACCAAAUAAAAAUAUUCAGGUUUAGCACCAAUCUCGAUGGUAGAGGGAGCGUGCGAUGCUUGAUCACAUCAACCUUGGAAACACUUCCAACACAUAUCAUCAGCUCACCUUUAGCUAGUCUCCGUUUAUUCCGUAGCCUUUUAUUUCGAGUUACUAACACUUAGCAACCGAACCGGUAUCUAAUACCCUGGUGCUACUAGGAGUACUAUUAAAGUACACAUUAACAUAAUGUAUAUCCAAUAUACUUCUAUCGACCUUGCCAGCCUUCUCAUCUACCAAGUAUCUAGGGUAAUUCUGCUUCAGUGUCCGUUCCUCUCAUUACAGAAGCACUUAGUCUCGGGUUUGGGUUCAACCUUGGGUUUCUUCACUGGAGCAGCAACUGAUUUGCCGUUUCAUGAAGUACCCCUUAUUGCCCUCGCCCUUCUUGAAACUAGUGGUUUCACUAACCAUUAACAAUUGAUGCUCCUUCUUGAUUUCUACAUUCGUGGUGUCAAACUUUGUGAAUAGCUCAAGGAUCAUCAUAUCUAUCCCUGUUAUGUUAUAGUUCAUCACGAAGCUCUAGUAGCUUGGUGGCAAUGUCUUUGGAGAAACAUCACUCUCACCUGGAAGAUUAACUCCCACUCGAUUCAAAUGAUUGUUGUACCCAGACAAUCUGAGUACAAGCUCAACGAUUGAGAUCUUCUCCCUUAGUUUGUAGGCUAGAAAAUUCGUCGGAGGUCUCAUACCUCUUGACGUGGGCACGAGCCUGAAAUCCCAAUUUCAGCUCUUGGAAUAUCUCAUAUGUUCUGUGACAUUUCAAAAAUGUCUUCGGUGCCUCAAUUCUAAACCAUUUAACAUUACCGAACUAUCAUGUAGUCAUCAAAACGUGUAUGUCAGAUGUUCGCAACAUCCACAGACCACGUUCGAGGUCCAGCACACCGAGCGGUGCAUUAAGGACAUAAGCCUUCUACUGUCCGCAUAAUUGCUAUAGUCAACUUUGAACUAUAUUUUCUCUAGGAACAUAUCUAAAAUAGUAGAACUAAGCGCGAGCUAUGACAUAAUUUGCAAAGGGCUUUUGACUAUGUUCAGGAUAUUUAAGUUCAUCUAAUGAACUCCCACUCAGAUAGACAUCCCUCCAGUCAUCUAAGUGAUUACAUGAUCCGAGUCAACUAGGCCGUGUCCGAUCGUCACGUGAGACAGACUAGUCAUCAUCGGUGAACAUCUUCAUGUUGAUCGUAUCCACCAUACGACUCAUGAUCAACCUUUCGGUCUCUUGUGUUCCAAGGCCAUGUCUGUACAUGCUAGGCUCGUCAAGUUAACCUAAGUGUUUCGCGUGUGUAAAUCUGGCUUACACCCAUUGUAUGUGAACGUUAGAAUCUAUCACACCCGAUCAUAACGUGGUGCUUCGAAACGACGAACUUUCGCAACGGUGCACAGUUAGGGGGAACACUUUCUUGAAAUUUUAACGAGGGAUCAUCUUAUUUACUACCGUCGUUCUAAGCAAAUAUGAUGUAUAAACAUGAUAAACAUCACAUGCAAUCAAAUAGUGACAUGAUAUGGCCAAUAUCAUUUUGCUCCUUUUGAUCUCCAUCUUCGGGGCUCCAUGAUCAUCAUCGUCACCGGCAUGACACCAUGAUCUCCAUCAUCAUGAUCUCCAUCACCGUGUCUCCAUGAAGUUGUCUCGCCAACUUAUUACUUCUAUUACUAUGGCUACCGAUUAGCAAUAAAGUAAAGUAAUUACAUGGCGUUUGUUCAAUGACACACAGGUCAUACAAUAAAUUAAGACAACUCCUAUGGCUCAUACCGGUUGUCAUACUCAUCGACAUGCAAGUCGUGAUUCCUAUUACAAGAACAUGAUCAAUCUCAUACAUCACAUAUCACUCAUCGCAUUCUUUUGACCAUAUCACAUCACAUAGCAUACCCUGCAAAAAUAAGUUAGACAUCCUCUAAUUGUUGUUUGCAUGUUUUACAUGGCUGCUAUGGGUUCUAGCAAGAACGUUUCUUACCUACACAAAACCACAACGUGAUAUGCCAAUUGCUAUUUACCCUUCAUAAGGAUCCUUUUCAUCGAAUCCGUUCUGAGUAAAGUGGGAGAGACUGGCACCCGCUAGCCACCUUAUGCACCAAGUGCAUGUCAGUCGGUGGAACCUGUCUCACGUAAGUGUACGUGUAAGGUCGGUCCGGGCCGCUUCAUCCCACAAUACCGUCGAAACAAGAUUGGACUAGUAAUGGUAAGCAUAUUGAACAAAAUCAGAGCCCACAACUACUUUGUGUUCUACUCGUGCAAAGAAUCUACACAAUAGACCUAGCUCAUGAUGCCACUGUUGGGGAACGUAGCAAUAAUUCAAAAUUUUCCUACGUGUCACCAAGAUCUAUCUAUGGAGAAACCAGCAACGAGGGGAAGGAGAGUGCAUCUACAUACCCUUGUAGACCGCUAAGCGGAAGCGUUCAAGAGAACGGGGUUGAAGGAGUCAUACUCGUCGUGAUCCAAAUCACCUGAGAUCCUAGUGCCGAACGGACGGCACCUCCGCGUUCAACACACGUGCAGCCCGGUGACGUCUCCCAUGCCUUGAUCCAGCAAGGAGAGAGGGAGAGGUUGGGGAAGACUCCGUCCAGUAGCAGCACGAUGGCGUGGUGGUGGUGGAGGAGCGUGGCAACCCUGCAGGGCUUCGCCAAGCACCGCGGGAGAGAGGAGUACUUGGGAGAGGGGGAGGGCUGCGCCAGAACUUGGGGUGCGGCUGCCCUCCCACCCCUCCACUAUUUAUAGGUGGGGAGAGAAGGGGGCCAGCCCCCUAGAUCCCAUCUAGGGUUGGGGCGGCGGCCAAGGGGGGGAGGAGUGCCUCCCAAGUCAAGUGGAGGCCCUCCACCUUAGGGUUUCCCCUCUCCCAUGCGCAUGGGCCUUGGGGGGGCUGGUGCCCCAGGCCCAUUAAGGCUAGGGCACCCCCUUACAGCCCAUGCUGCUGUAUUGGACGUGGUGGAACAAUUUCUGGACCUCCGGACCCCUCCGGAAUCCUCCGGAACCUUCUGGAAGCUUCCUGGUACAAUACCAGAAAAACCCGAACUUUUCCCGGAACCCGAACAAGAACUUUCCAUAUAUAAAUCUUUACCUCCGGACCAUUCUGGAACUCCUCGUGACGUCCGGGAUCUCAUCCGGGACUCCGAACAACAUUCGGUAACCACAUACAAACUUCCUUUAUAACCCUAGCAUCAUCGAACCUUAAGUGUGUAGACCCUACGGGUUCGGGAACCAUGUAGACAUGACCGAGACAUUCUCCGGUCAAUAACCAACAACGGGAUCUGGAUACCCAUGUUGGCUCCCACAUGUUCCAUGGUGAUCUCAUCGGAUGAACCACGACAUCGAGCAUUCGAGCAAUCCCAUAUACAAUUCCCUUUGUCUAGCGGUAUUGUACUUUCCCGAGAUUCGAUCGUCGGUAUGCCGAUACCUUGUUCAAUCUCGUUACCGGCAAGUCUCUUUACUCGUUCCGUAACACAUCAUCCCGUGAUCAAACCCUUGCUCACAUUGUGCACAUUAUGAUGAUGUCCAACCGAGUGGUCCCAGAGAUACCUCUCCGUCUACACGGAGUGACAAAUCCGAGUCUCGAUUCGUGCCAACCCAGCAGACACUUUCAGAGAUACCCGUAGUGCACCUUUAUAGCCACCCAGUUACGUUGUGACGUUUGAUACACCCAAAGCAUUCCUACGGUAUCCGGGAGUUGCACAAUCUCAUGGUCUAAGGAAAUGAUACUUGACAUUAGAAAAGCUUUAGCAUACGAACUAUAUGAUCUUUGUGCUAGGAUUAGGAUUGGGUCUUGUCCAUCACAUCAUUCUCCUAAUGAUGUGAUCCCGUUAUCAACGACAUCCAAUGUCCAUGGUCAGGAAGCCGUAACCAUCUAUUGAUCAACGAGCUAGUCAACUAGAGGCUUACUAGGGACAUGGUGUUGUCUAUGUACCCACACAUGUAUCUGAGUUUCCUAUCAAUACAAUUAUAGCAUGGAUAAUAAACGAUUAUCAUGAACAAGGAAAUAUAAUAAUAAUAACCAUUUUAUUAUUGCCUCAAUAGUGUUUUCUCACGUCCUUUAAUUGUUGUUGCAUCUUUUACGUGGCUGCAAUAGGGUUCUAGCAAGAACGUUUUCUUACCUACGAAAAAGCCACAACAUGAUUUGUCAACUUAUAUUUACCCUUCAUAAGGACACUUUUCAUCGAAUCCGCUCCAACUAAAGUGGGAGAGACAGACACCCGCUAGCCACCUUAUGCAACUAGUGCAUGUCAGUCGGUGCAACCUGUCUCACGUAAGCGUACGUGUAAGGUCGGUCUGGGCCGCUUCAUCCCACAAUACUGCUGAAGCCAAAUAAGACUAGUAGUGGCAAGAAAGUUGACAACAUCUACGCCCACAACAGAUUUGUGUUCUACUCAUGCAAAGAGAACUACGCAUAGACCUAGCUCAUGAUGCCACUGUUGGGGAAUGUUGCAGAAACAAAAAAAAUCUGUGGUUUUCACCAAGAUCAAUCUAUGAGUUCAUCUAGAAACGAGAGAGAGGAGUGCAUCUACAUACCCUUGUAGAUCGAGCGGAAGCGUUCAAGAGAAUGGGGUUGAGGGAGUCGUACUCGUCGUGAUCCAAAUCACCGGAGAUCCUAGCGCUGAACGGACGGCACCUCCGCGUUCAACACACGUAUGGUCAGCAUGACAUCUCCUCCUUCUUGAUCUAGCAACAGGGAAGGAGAGGUUGAUGAUGAUCCAGCAGCACGACGGCGUGGUGGUGGAUGCAGCAGGGAUCCCAGCAGGGCUUCGCCAAGCGUCUGCGGGAGGGAGAGGUGUAGCAAGGGGGAAGGGAGGUGCCAAGUGCAAGGGUGCGACUGCCCUCCCUCCCCCCCUCUUUAUAUAGGGACCCCAGGGGGGCGCCGGCCCUAGGAGAUGGGAUCUCCUAGGGGGGGCGGCGGCCAAGGGGGGGUGCCUUGCCCCCCAAGGCAAGUGGAGGCGCCCCCUCCCCUAGGGUUCCCAACCCUAGGCGCAGGGGGGCCCAAGGGGGGGCGCACCAGCCCACCAGGGGCUGGUUCCCCUCCCACUUCAGCCCAUGGGGCCCUCCGGGAUGGGUGGCCCCACCCGGUGGACCCCCGGGACCCUUCCGGUGGUCCUGGUACAAUACCGGUGACCCCCAAAACUUUCCCGAUGGCCAAAACUCGACUUCCCAUAUAUAAUUCUUUACCUCCGGACCAUUCCGGAACUCCUCGUGAUGUCCGAGAUCUCAUCCGGGACUCCGAACAACUUUCGGUUUGCUGCAUACAAAUAUCUCUACAACCCUAGUGUCACCGAACCUUAAGUGUGUAGACCCUACGGGUUCGGGAGAUACGUAGACAUGACCGAGACGGCUCUGCGGUCAAUAACCAACAACGGGAUCUGGAUACGCAUGUUGGCUCCCACAUGCUCCUCGAUGAUCUCAUCGGAUGAACCACGAUGUCGAGGAUUCAAGCAACCCCGUAUACAAUUCCCUUUGUCAAUCGGUAUGUUACUUGCCCGAUAUUCGAUCGUCGGUAUCCCAAUACCUCGUUCAAUCUCGUUACCGGCAAGUCACUUUACUCGUACCGUAAUGCAUGAUCCCCUGACCAGACACUUGGUCACUUUUAGCUCAUUAUGAUGAUGCAUUACCGAGUGGGCCCAGAGAUACCUCUCCGUCAUACAGAGUGACAAAUCCCAGUCUCGAUCCGUGUCAACCCAACAGACACUUUCGGAGAUACCCGUAGUAUACCUUUAUAGUCACCAGUUACGUUGUGACGUUUGGUACACCCAAAGCACUCCUACAGUGUCCAUGAGUUACACGAUCUCAUGGUUUAAGGAAAAGAUACUUGACAUUGGAAAAGCUCUAGCAAACAAACUACACGAUCUUGUACUAUGCUUAGGAUUGGGUCUUGUCCAUCACAUCAUUCUCCUAAUGAUGUGAUCUUGUUAUCAAUGACAUCCAAUGUCCAUAGUCAGGAAACCAUGACUAUCUGUUGAUCAAGGAGCUAGUCAACUAGAGUCUCACUAGGAACAUAUUGUGGUCUAUGUAUUCACACGUGCAUUACGAUUUCCGGAUAAUACAAUUAUAGCAUGAAUAAAAGAUAAUUAUCAUGAACAAGGAAAUAUAAUAAUAAUCCUUUUAUUAUUGCCUCUAGGCCAUAUUUCCAACAGUCUCCCACUUGGACUAGAGUAAAUAAUCUAGUUACAUUGUGAUGAAUCAAACACCCAUAGAGUUCUGGUGUUGGUCAUGUUUUGUUUGCGGAAGAGGUUUAGUCAACGGAUCUGUGACAUUCAGAUCCGUAUGUACUUUGCAAAUAUCUAUGUCUCCAUCUUGAACAUUUUCAUGGAUGGAGUUGAAACGAUGCUUGAUUUGCCUGGUCUUCUUGUGAAACCUGGGCUCCUUGGCAAGGGUAAUAGCUCCAGUGUUGUCACAGAAGAGAGUGAUCGGCCCCGACGAAUUGGGUAUGACUCCUAGGUCGGUGAUGAACUCCUUCAUCCAUAUUGCUUCAUGUGCUGCCUCCGAGGCUGCCAUGUACUCCGCUUCACAUGUAGAUCCCGCCACGACGCUCUGCUUGCAACUGCACCAGCUUACUGCUCCACGAUUCAACAUAUACACGUAUCCGGUUUGUGACUUAGAGUCAUUCAGAUCUGUGUCGAAGCUAGCAUCGACGUAACCCUUUACGAUGAGAUCUUCGUCACCUCCAUAAAUGAGAAACAUGUCCUUUGUCCUUUUCAGGUACUUCAGGAUAUUCUUGACCGCUGUCCAGUGUUCCUUGCCGGGAUUACUUUGGUACCUUCCUACCAAACUUACGGCAAGGUUUCCAUCAGGUCUGGUACACAACAUGGCAUACAUAAUAGAUCCUAUGGCUGAGGCAUAGGGGAUGACACUCAUCUCUUCUUUAUCUUCUGCCAUGGUCGGGCAUUGAGCCGAGCUCAAUCUUACACCUUGCAAUACAGGCAAGAACCCUUUCUUGGACUGAUCCAUAUUGAACUUCUUCAAUAUCUUAUCAAGGUAUGUGCUUUGUGAAAGACCUAUGAGGCGUCUCGAUCUGUCCCUAUAGAUCUUGAUGCCUAAUAUGUAAGCGGCUUCUCCAAGGUCCUUCAUUGAAAAACACUUAUUCAAGUAGGCCUUAAUGCUGUCCAAAAGUUCUAUAUCAUUUCCUAUCAGAAGUAUGUCAUCUACAUAUAAUAUGAGAAAUGCUACAGAGCUCCCACUCACUUUCUUGUAAACGCAGGCUUCUCCAUAAGUCUUCAUAAACCCAAACACUUUGAUCAUCUCAUCAAAGCAAAUGUUCCAACUCCGAGAUGCUUGCACCAGGCCAUAAAUGAAUCGUUGGAGCUUGCAUACCUUGUUAGCAUUCUUAGGAUCGACAAAACCUUCGGGAUGCAUCAUAUACAGUUCUUCCUUAAGAUAGCCAUUAAGGAAUGCCGUUUUGACGUCCAUCUGCCAUAUCUCAUAAUCAUAGUAUGAGGCAAUUGCUAACAUGAUUCGGACGGACUUCAGCUUCGCUACGGGAGAGAAAGUCUAAUCGUAGUCAACCCCUUGAACUUGCCGAUAACCCUUAGCGACAAGUCGAGCUUUAUAGAUGGUAACAUUACCAUCCGCAUCCGUCUUCUUCUUAAAGAUCCAUUUGUUUUCUAUCGCUCGCCGAUCAUCCGGCAAGUCUGUCAAAGUCCAUACUUUGUUUUCAUACAUGGAUUCUAUCUCGGAUUGCAUGGCUUCAAGCCAUUCGUUGGAAUGUGGGCCCGUCAUCGCUUCUUCAUAGUUCGAAGGUUCACCGUUGUCUAACAACAUGAUUUCCAGGACAGGGUUGCCAUACCACUCUGGUGUGGAACGUGUCCUUGUGGACCUACGAAGUUCAGUAGCAACUUGAUCCGAAGUAACUUGAUCAUCAUCAUUAAUUUCCUCUCCAGUCGGUGCAGGCAACAUAGGAACAUUUUCCUGAGCUGCACUACUUUCCGGUUCAAGAGGUAGUACUUCAUCGAGUUCUACUUUCCUCCCACUUACUCCUUUCGAGAGAAACUCUUUUUCCAGAAAGGAUCCGUUCUUGGCAACAAAGAUCUUGCCUUCGGAUCUAAAGAAGAAGGUAUACCCAAUGGUUUCCUUAGGGUAUCCUAUGAAGACGCAUUUUUCCGACUUGGGUUCGAGCUUUUCAGGUUGAAGUUUCUUGACAUAAGCAUCGCAUCCCCAAACUUUUAGAAACGACAACUUAGGUUUCUUCCCAAACCAUAAUUCAUAUGGUGUCGUCUCAAAGGAUUUAGACGGAGCCCUAUUUAAAGUGAAUGUAGCUGUCUCUAGAGCGUAUCCCCAAAAUGAUAGAGGUAAAUCGGUAAGAGACAUCAUAGAUCGCACCAUAUCCAAUAGAGUGCAAUUACGACGUUCGUACACACCGUUACGUUGAGGUGUUCCAGGCAGCCUGAGUUGUGAAACGAUUCCACAUUUCCUUAAGUGCAUACCAAAUUCAUGACUUAAAUAUUCUCCUCCACGAUCUGAUCGCAAGAACUUUAUCUUUCGGUCAGGUUGAUUCUCUACCUCAUUCUGAAAUUCCUUGAACUUUUCAAAGGUCUCAGACUUGUGUUUCAUCAAGUAGACAUACCCAUAUCUACUUAAGUCAUCAGUGAGAGUGAGAACAUAACAAUAUCCUCCACGAGCCUCACGCUCAUUGGACCGCACACAUCAGUAUGUAUGAUUUCCAAUAAGUUGGUUGCUCGCUCCAUUGUUCCGAAGAAAGGAGUCUUGGUCAUUUUGCCCAUAAGGCAUGGUUCGCAUGUGUCAAAUGAUUCAUAAAAGAGAGACUCUAAAAGUCCAUCAGCAUGGAGCUUCUUCAAGCGCUUGACACCAAUGUGACCAAGGCGGCAGUGCCACAAGUAUGUGGGACUAUCGUUAUCAACUUUACAUCUUUUGGUAUUCACACUACGAAUAUGUGUAACAUCACGUUCGAGAUUCAUUAAGAAUAAACCAUUGACCAUCGGGGCAUGACCAUAAAACAUAUCUCUCAUAUAAAUAGGACAACCAUUAUUCUAGGAUUUAAAUGAGUAGCCAUCUCAUAUUAAACGAGAUCCAGAUACAAUAUUCAUGCUCAAACUUGGCACUAAAUAACAAUUAUUAAGGUUUAAAACUAAUCCCGUAGGUAAAUGUAGAGGUAGCGUGCCGACGGCGAUCACAUCGACCUUGGAACCAUUCCCGACACGCGUCGUCACCUCGUCCUUCGCCAGUCUCCGCUUAUUCCGCAGCUCCAGCUUUGAGUUACAAAUAUGAGCAACGGCACCGGUAUCAAAUACCCAGGAGCUACUACGAGCACUGGUAAGGUAUACAUCAAUUACAUGUAUAUCACAUAUACCUUUAGUGUUGCCGGCCUUCUUGUCCGCUAAGUAUUUGGGGCAGUUCCGCUUCCAGUGACCCUUCCCUUUGCAAUAAAAGCAUUCUAUUUUAGGCUUGGGUCCAUUCUUUGACUUCUUCCCGGCAACUGGCUUACCGAGCGCGGCAACAUCCUUGCCGACCUUCUUGAAGUUCUUUUACCCUUGCCUUUCUUGAACUUAGUGGUUUUAUUGACCAUCAACACUUGAUGUUCAUUUUUGAUUUAUACCUUUGCUGACUUCAGCAUUGAAAAUACUUCAGGAAUAGUUUUCACCAUCCCCAACAUAUUCUAGUUCAUCACAAAGCUCUUGUAGCUCGGUGGGAGCGACUGAAGGAUUCUUUCAAUGACCGCCUCGUCCGGGAGGUUAAUGUCCAGCUGGGACAGGCGGUUGUGCAACCCAGACAUUUUGAGUAUGUGCUCACUGACAGAACUAUUUUCCUCCAUCUUACAACUAUAGAACUUGUCGGAGACUUCAUAUCUCUUGACCCGGGCAUGAGCUUGGAAAACCAUUUUCAGCUCCUCGAACAUCUCAUAUGCUCCGUCUUGCUCAAAACGUUUUUGGAGCCCCGGUUCUAAGAUGUAAAGCAUGCUGCACUAAACGAGGGAGUAAUCAUCAGCACGUGACUGCCAAGCGUUCAUAACGUCUUGGUUCUCUGGGAUGGGUGCUUCACCUGGCGGUCCUUGUAGGACAUAUGCUUUCUUGGCAGCUAUGAGGAUGAUCCUCAGGUUCCGGACCCAGUCCGUAUAGUUGCUGCCAUCAUCUUUUAGCUUGGUUUUCUCUAGGAACGCGUUGAAGUUCAUGUUGACAUGAGUGUUGGCCAUUUGAUCUACAAGACAUUUUUGCAAAGGUUUUAGACUAAGUUCAUGAUAAUUAAGUUCAUCUAAUCAAAUUAUUUAAUGAACUCCCACUUAGAUUAGACAUCCCUCUAGUCAUCUAAGUGUUACAUGAUCCGAGUCGACUAGGCCGUGUCCGAUCAUCACGUGAGAUAGACUAGCAUCAUCGGUUAACAUCUCCAUGUUGAUCAUAUCUUCCAUACGACUCAUGUUCGACCUUUCGGUCUCUGUGUUCCGAGGCCAUGUCUGUACAUGUUAGGCUCAUCAAGUUAAUUAAAGUGUUUUGCAUGUGUAAAUCUGUCUUACACCCAUUGUAUGUGAAUGUUAGGAUCUAUCACACCCGAUCAUCACGUGGUGCUUCGAAACAAUGAACUGUCACAACGGCGCACAGUUAGGGGGGACACUUUCUUGAAAUUAUUAUGAGGGAUCAUCUUAUUUACUACCGUCGUUCUAAGUAAACAAGAUGCAAAAAUAUGAUAAACAUCACAUGCAAUCAAAUAAUAGUGACAUGAUAUGGCCAAUAUCAUAUAGCUCCUUUGAUCUCCAUCUUCGGGGCUUCAUGAUCAUCUUCGUCACCGGCAUGACAACAUGAUCUCUAUCAUCAUGAUCUCCAUCAUCGUGUCUCCAUGAAGUUGCUCGCCAACUAUUACUUCUACUACUAUGGCUAACGGUUUAGCAAUAAAGUAAAGUAAUUACAUGGCGUUAAAUCAUUGACACGCAGGUCAUACAAUAAUUAAGACAACUCCUAUGGCUUCUACCGGUUUUCAUACUCAUCGACAUGCAAGUCGUGAUUCCUAUUACAAGAACAUGAUCUCAUACAUCACAAUAUAUCAUUCAUCAUUCAUCACAACUUUUGGCCAUAUCACAUCACCAAGCAAUUGCUGCAAAAACAAGUUAGACGUCCUCUAAUUGUUGUUGCAUCUUUUACGUGGCUGCAAUAGGGUUCUAGCAAGAACGUUUUCUUACCUACGAAAAAGCCACAACGUGAUUUGUCAACUUCUAUUUACCCUUCAUAAGGACCCUUUUCAUCGAAUCCGCUCCAACUAAAGUGGGAGAGAUAGACACCCGCUAGCCACCUUAUGCAACUAGUGCAUGUCAGUCGGUGGAACCUGUCUCAGGUAAGCGUACGUGUAAGGUCAGUUCGGGCCGCUUCAUCCCACAAUACCGCUGACGCAAAAUAAGACUAGUAGUGGCAAGAAAGUUGACAACAUCUACACCCACAACAGAUUUGUGUUCUACUCGUGCAAAGAGAACUACUGAUAGACCUAGCUCAUGAUGCCACUGUUGGGGAACGUUGAUGAAAAUAAAAAAUUUCCACGGUUUUCACCAAGAUCAAUCUAUGAGUUCAUCUAGCAACGAGAGAGAGGAGUGCAUCUACAUACCCUUGUAGAUCGAGCGGAAGCGUUCAAGAGAACGGGGUUGAGGGAGUCGUACUCGUCGUGAUCCAAAUCACCGGAGAUCCUAGCGCCGAACGGACGGCACCUCCGCGUUCAACACACGUACGGUCAGCGUGACGUCUCCUCCUUCUUGAUCCANNNNNNNNNNNNNNNNNNNNNNNNNNNNNNNNNNNNNNNNNNNNNNNNNNNNNNNNNNNNNNNNNNNNNNNNNNNNNNNNNNNNNNNNNNNNNNNNNNNNNNNNNNNNNNNNNNNNNNNNNNNNNNNNNNNNNNNNNNNNNNNNNNNNNNNNNNNNNNNNNNNNNNNNNNNNNNNNNNNNNNNNNNNNNNNNNNNNNNNNNNNNNNNNNNNNNNNNNNNNNNNNNNNNNNNNNNNNNNNNNNNNNNNNNNNNNNNNNNNNNNNNNNNNNNNNNNNNNNNNNNNNNNNNNNNNNNNNNNNNNNNNNNNNNNNNNNNNNNNUCUCCUCUUUCUUGAUCCAGCAAGGGGGGAGGAGAGGUUGAUGAGGAUCCAGCAGCACGACGGCGUGGUGGUGGAUGCAGCAGGGAUCCCGGCAGGGCUUCGCCAAGCGUCUGCGAGGGGGGGGGGGAAGGUGUAGCAAGGGGGAAGGGAGGCGCCAAGUGCAAGGGUGCGGCUGCCCUCCCUCCCCCCUCUUUAUAUAGGGACCCCAGGAGGGGCGGCGGCCCUAGGAGAUGGGAUCUCCUAGGGAGGUGGGGCGGCCAAGGGGGGGUGCCUUGCCCCCCAAGGCAAGUGGAGGCGCCCCCUCCCCUAGGGUUCCCAACCCUAGGCGCAGGGGGGCCCAAGGGGGGUGUUGGAAAUAUGCCGUAGAGGCAAUAAUAAAAGGAUUAUUAUUAUAUUUCCUUGUUCAUGAUAAUUGUCUUUUAUUCAUGCUAUAAUUGUAUUAUCCGGAAAUCGUAAUACACGUGUGAAUACUUAGACCACACCAUGUCCCUAGUGAGCCUCUAGUUGACUAGCUCGUUGAUCAACAGAUAGUCAUGGUUUCCUGACUAUGGACAUUGGAUGUCAUUGAUAACGGGAUCACAUCAUUAGGAGAAUGAUGUGAUGGACAAGACCCAAUUCUAAGCAUAGCACAAAGAUCGUGUAGUUCGUUUGCUAGAGCUUUUCCAAUGUCAAGUAUCUUUUCCUUAGACCAUGAGAUCGUGUAACCCCCGGAUACUGUAGGAGUGCUUUGGGUGUACCAAACGUCACAACGUAACUGGGUGACUAUAAAGGUGCACUACAGGUAUCUCCGAAAGUGUCUGUUGGGUUGACACGGAUCGAGACUGGGAUUUGUCACUCCAUAUGACGGAGAGGUAUCUCUGGGCCCACUCGGUAAUGCAUCAUCAUAAUGAGCUCAAAGUGACCAAGUGUCUGGUCACGGGAUCAUGCAUUAUGGUACGAGUAAAGUGACUUGCCGGUAACGAUAUUGAACGAGGUAUUGGGAUACCGACUAUCGAAUCUCGGGCAAGUAACGUACCGAUUGACAAAGGGAAUUGUAUACGGGGUUGCUUAAAUCCUCGACAUCGUGGUUCAUCCCAUGAGAUCAUCGAGGUGCAUGUCGGAGCCAACAUGGGUAUCCAGAUCCCGUUGUUGGUUAUUGACCGGAGAGCCGUCUCAGUCAUGUGUGCAUGUCUCCCGAACCCAUAAGGUCUACACACUUAAGGUUCAGUGAUGCUAGGGUUGUUUGAAUAUGAGUAUGCAGCAAACUAAAAGUUGUUCGGAGUCCCGGAUGAGAUCCCGGACAUCACGAGGAGUUCCAGAAUGGUCCGGAGGUAAAGAAUUAUAUAUGGGAAGUCGAGUUUCGUCCAUCGGGAAAGUUUCGGGGGUCACCGGUAUUGUACAGGGACCACCAGAAGGGUCCCGGGGGUCCACCAGGUGGGGCCACCCAUCCCGGAGGGCCCCAUGGGCUGAAGUGGGAGGGGAACCAGCCCCUGGUGGGCUGGUGCGCCCCCCCCCCUGGGCCCCCCUCUGCGCCUAGGGUUGGGAACCCUAGGGGAGGGGGCGCCUCCACUUGCCUUGGGGGGCACUCCAACCCCCUGGCCGCCGCCCUCCUUGGGAGAUCCCAUCUCCAGGGACGCCCCCCCUGGGGUCCCUAUAUAAAGAGGGGGGGUGGGAGGGCAGCCACAGCCCUAACCUCUGGCGCCUCCUUACCCCCUUGCUACACCUCCUCCUCCCGUAGUCACUUGACGAAGCCCUGCCGAAACUCUGCUGCAUCCACCACCAUGCCGUCAUGCUGCUGGAUCUUCAUCAACCUCUCCUUCCCCCUUGCUGGAUCAAGAAAGAGGAGACGUCACGCUGACCGUACGUGUGUUGAACGCGGAGGUGCCGUCCGUUCGGCGCUAGGAUCUCCGGUGAUUUGGAUCACGACGAGUAUGACUCCCUCAACCCCGUUCUCUUGAACGCUUCCGCUCGCGAUCUACAAGGGUAUGUAGAUGCACUCCUCUCUCUCGUUGCUAGGUGAACUCAUAGAUUGAUCUUGGUGAACAUAGGAAAAUUUUUAUUUUAUGCAACGUUCCCCAACAAUGGCAUCAUGAGCUAGGUCUAUGCGUAGUUCUCUAUUGCACGAGUAGAACACAAAUCUGUUGUGGGCGUAGAUGUUGUCAACUUUCUUGCCACUACUCGUCUUAUUUUGCUUCAGCGGUAUUGUGGGAUGAAGCGGCCCGGACCGACCUUACACGCACGCUUACGUGAGACAGGUUCCAUCGACUGACAUGCACUAGUUGCAUAAGGUGGUUAGCGGGUGUCUGUCUCUCCCACUUUAGUUGGAGCGGAUUCGGUGAAAAGGGUCCUUAUGAAGGGUAAAUAGAAGUUGACAAAUCACGUUGUGGUUUUUCGUAGGUAAGAAAACGUUCUUGCUAGAACCCUAUUGCAGCCACGUAAAAGAUGCAACAACAAUUAGAGGACGUCUAACUUGUUUUUGGAGCAAUUGCUUUGUGAUGUGAUAUGGCCAAAAGUUGUGAUGAAUGAUGAAUGAUAUAUUGUGAUGUAUGAGAUCAUGUUCUUGUAAUAGGAAUCACGACCUGCAUGUCGAUGAGUAUGACAACCGGCAGGAGCCAUAUCAGUUGUCUUAAUUAUUGUAUGACCUGCGUGUCAAUGAUUCAACGCCAUGUAAUUACUUUACUUUAUUGCUAAACCGUUAGCCAUAGUAGUAGAAGUAAUAAUUGGCGCGCAACUUCAUGGAGACACAAUGAUGGAGAUCAUGAUGAUGGAGAUCACGGUGUCAUGCCGGUGACGAAGCUGAUCAUGGAGCCCCGAAGAUGGAGAUCAAAGGAGCUAUAUGAUAUUGGCCAUAUCAUGUCACUACUAUAUAAUUGCAUGUGAUGUUUAUUAUGUUUAUGCAUCUUGUUUACUUAGAACGACGGUAGUAAAUAAGAUGAUCCCUUAUAAUAAUUUCAAGAAAGUGUUCCCCCUAACUAUGCGCCAUUGCUAAAGUUCAUCCUUUUUGAAGAACCACGUGAUGAUCGUGUGUGAUAGAUUCUUACGUUCUCAUACAACAGGUGUAAGACAGUUUUACACAUGCUAAACACUUAGGUUAACUUGACGAGCCUAGCAUGUACAUACAUGGCCACGGAACACAGAGACCGAAAGGUCGCACAUGAGUCGUAUGGAAGAUACGAUCAACAUGGAGAUGUUAACCGAUGAUGACUAGUCCGUCUCACGUGAUGAUCGGACACGGCCUAGUCGACUCGGAUCAUGUAACACUUAGAUGACUAGAGGGAUGUCAAAUCUGAGUUGGAGUUCAUUAAAUAAUUUGAUUAGAUGAACUUAAUUAUUGUGAACUUAGUCUAAAAUCUUUGCAAAAUAUGUCUUGUAGAUCAAAUGGCCAACGCUCAUGUCAACAUGAACUUCAACGCGUUCCUAGAGAAAACCAAGCUGAAAGAUGAUGGCAACAACUAUACGGACUGGGUCCGGAACCUGAGGAUCAUCCUCAUAGCUGCCAAGAAAGCAUAUGUCCUAGAAGGACCGCUAGGUGAAGCACCCAUCCCAGAGAACCAAGACGCUAUGAACGCUUGGCAGUCACGUGCUGAUGAUUACUCCCUCGUUCAGUGCGGCAUGCUUUACAACUUAGAACCGGGGCUCCAAAAGCGUUUUGAGCAACACGGAGCAUAUGAGAUGUUCGAGGAGCCGAAAAUGGGUUUCCAAGCUCAUGCCCGGGUCGAGAGAUAUGAAGUCUCCGACAAGUUCUAUAGUUGUAAGAUGGAGGAAAAUAGUUCUGUCAGUGAGCACAUACUCAAAAUGUCUGGGUUGCACAAUAGCCUGUCCCAGCUGGACAUUAACCUCCCGGACAAGGCGAUCAUUGACAGAAUCCUUCAGUCGCUCCCACCGAGCUACAAGAGCUUUGUGAUGAACUACAAUAUGCAGGGGAUGGAGAAAACCAUUCCUGAAGUAUUUUCAAUGCUGAAGUCGGCGGAGGUAGAGAUCAAGAAAGAACAUCAAGUGUUGAUGGUCAAUAAAACAACCAAGUUCAAGAAGGGCAAGGGUACGAAGAACUUCAAGAAGGACGGCAAGGAUGUUGCCGCGCAAAGCCAUUUACCGGGAAGAAGUCAAAGAAUGGACCCAAGCCUGAGACUGAGUGCUUUUAUUGCAAAGGGAAGGGUCACUGGAAGCGGAACUGCCCCAAAUACUUAGCGGACAAGAAGGCCGGCAACACUAAAGGUAUAUUUGAUAUACAUGUAAUUGAUGUGUACCUUACCAGUACUCAUAGUAACUCCUGGGUAUUUGAUACCGGUGCCGUUGCUCAUAUUUGUAACUCACAGCAGGAGCUGCGGAAUAAGCGGAGACUAGCGAAGGACGAGGUGACGAUGCGCGUCGGGAAUGGUUCCAAGGUCGAUGUGAUCGCCGUCGGCACGCUACCUCUACAUUUACCUACGGGAUUAGUUUUAAACCUCAAUAAUUGUUAUUUAGUGCCAAGUUUGAGCAUGAACAUUGUAUCUGGAUCUCGUUUAACGCGAGAUGGCUACUCAUUUAAAUCCGAGAAUAAUGGUUGUUCUAUUUAUAUGAGAGAUAUGUUUUAUGGUCAAGCCCCGAUGGCAAUGGUUAAUUCUUAAUGAAUCUCGAACGUAAUGUUACACAUAUUCAUAGUGUGAAUACCAAAAGAUGUAAAGUUGAUAACGAUAGUCCCACAUACUUGUGGCACUGCCGCCUUGGUCACAUUGGUGUCAAGCGCAUGAAGAAGCUCCAUGCUGAUGGACUUUUAGAGUCUCUCAAUUAUGAAUCAUUUGACACAUGCGAACCAUGCCUCAUGGGCAAAAUGACCAAGACUCCGUUCUCCGGAACAAUGGAGCGAGCAACCAACUUAUUGGAAAUCAUACAUACUGAUGUGUGUGGUCCAAUGAGCGUUGAGGCUCGCGGAGGAUGCCAUUAUGUUGUCACUCUCACUGAUGACUUAAGUAGAUAUGGGUAUGUAUACUUGAUGAAACACAAGUCUGAGACCUUUGAAAAGUUCAAGGAAUUUCAGAAUGAAGUAGAGAAUCAACAUGAUCAAAAAAUAAAGUUCUUACGAUCAGAUCGUGGAGGAGAAUAUUUAAGUCACGAAUUUGGUACGCACUUAAAAAAUGUGGAAUCGUUUCACAACUCACGCCGCCUGGAACACCUCAGCGUAAUGGUGUGUCCGAACGUCGUAAUCGCACUCUAUUGGAUAUGGUGUGAUCUAUGAUGUCUCUUACCGAUUUACCGCUAUCAUUUUGGGGAUACGCUCUAGAGACAGCUACAUUCACUUUAAAUAGGGCUCCGUCUAAAUCCGUUGAGACGACACCAUAUGAAUUAUGGUUUGGGAAGAAACCUAAGCUGUCGUUCUAAAAGUUUGGGGAUGCGAUGCUUAUGUCAAGAAACUUCAACCUGAAAAGCUCGAACCCAAGUCGGAAAAAUGCGUCUUCAUAGGAUACCCUAAGCAAACCAUUGGGUAUACUUUCUACCUUAGAUCCGAAGGCAAGAUCUUUGUUGCCAAGAAUGGAUCCUUUCUGGAAAAAGAGUUUCUCUCGAAAGGAGUAAGUGGGAGGAAAGUAGAACUCGAUGAAGUACUACCUCUUGAACCGGAAAGUAGUGCAGCUCAGGAAAAUGUUCCUGUGGUGCCUACACCAACUGGAGAGGAAAUUAAUGAUGAUGAUCAAGGUACUUUGGAUCAAGUUGCUAUUGAACUUCGUAGGUCCACAAGGACACGUUCCACACCAGAGUGGUAUGGCAACCCUGUCCUGGAAAUCAUGUUGUUAGACAACGGUGAACCUUCGAACUAUGAAGAAGCGAUGGCGGGCCCAGAUUCCAACAAAUGGCUUGAAGCCAUGCAAUCCGAGAUAGAAUCCAGGUAUGAAAACAAAGUAUGGACUUUGACAGACUUGCCCGAUGAUCGGCGAGCGAUAGAAAACAAAUGGAUCUUUAAGAAGAAGACGGACGCGGAUGGCAAUGUUACCAUCUAUAAAGCUCGACUUGUCACUAAGGGUUAUCGGCAAGUUCAAGGGGUUGACUACGUUGAGACUUUCUGUCCCGUAGCGAAGCUGAAGUCCGUCCGAAUCAUGUUAGCAAUUGCCGCAUACUAUGAUUAUGAGAUAUGGCAGAUGGACGUCAAACGGCAUUCCUUAACGGCUAUCUUAAGGAAGAACUGUAUAUGAUGCAGCCGGAAGGUUUUGUCGAUCCUAAGAAUGCUAACAAGGUAUGCAAGCUCCAGCGAUCCAUUUAUGGGCUGGUGCAAGCAUCUCGGAGUUGGAACAUUCGCUUUGAUAAGAUGAUCAAAGCGUUUGGGUUUAUGCAGACUUAUGGAGAAGCCUGUGUUUUCAAGAAAGUGAGUGGGAGCUCUGUAGCAUUUCUCAUAUUAUAUGUAGAUGACAUACUUUUGAUGGGAAAUGAUAUAGAACUUUUGGACAACAUUAAGGCCUACUUGAAUAAGUGUGUUUCAACGAAGGACCUUGGAGAAGCUGCUUACAUAUUAGGCAUCAAGAUCUGUAGGGAUAGAUCGAGACGCCUCAUAGGUCUUUCACAAAGCACAUACCUUGAUAAGAUUUUGAAGAAGUUCAAAAUGGAUCAGUCCAAGAAAGGGUUCUUGCCUGUAUUGCAAGAUGUGAGAUUGAGCUCGGCUCAAUGCAUGACCACGGCAAAAGAUAAAGAAGAGAUGAGUGUCAUCCCCUAUGCCUCAGCCAUAGGAUCUAUUAUGUAUGCCAUGCUGUGUACCAAACCUGAUGUAAACCUUGCCGUAAGUUUGGUAGGAAGGUACCAAAGUAAUCCCGGCAAGGAGCACUAGACAGCGGUCAAGAAUAUCCUGAAGUACCUAAAAAGGACAAAGGACAUGUUUCUCGUUUAUGGAGGUGACGAAGAGCUCGUCGUAAAGGGCUACGUCGAUGCUAGCUUCGACACAGAUCUGGAUGACUCUAAGUCACAAACCGGAUACAUGUAUAUGUUGAAUCGUGGAGCAGUGAGCUGGUGCAGUUGCAAGCAGAGCGUCGUGGCGGGAUCUACAUGUGAAGCGGAGUACAUGGCAGCCUCGGAGGCAGCGCAUGAAGCAAUAUGGAUGAAGGAGUUCAUCACCGACCUAGGAGUCAUACCCAAUGCGUCGGGGCCAAUCACUCUAUUCUGUGACAACACUAGAGCUAUUGCCCUUGUCAAGGAGCCCAAGUUUCACAAGAAGACCAGGCACAAUAAGCGUCACUUCAACUCCAUUCGUGAAAAUUUUCAAGAUGGAGACAUAGAUAUUUACAAAGUACAUACAGAUCUGAAUGUCGCAGAUCCGUUGACGAAACCUCUUCCGCGAGCAAAACAUGAUCAACACCAGAACUCUAUGGGUGUUCGAUUCAUCACAAUGUAACUAGAUUAUUGACUCUAGUGCAAGUGGGAGACUGUUGGAAAUAUGCCCUAGAGGCAAUAAUAAAAGGAUUAUUAUUAUAUUUCCUUGUUCAUGAUAAUUGUCUUUUAUUCAUGCUAUAAUUGUAUUAUCCGAAAAUCGUAAGACACGUGUGAAUACAUAGACCAACACAUGUCCCUAGUGAGCCUCUAGUUGACUAGCUCGUUGAUCAACAGAUAGUCAUGGUUUCCUGACUAUGGACAUUGGAUGUCAUUGAUAACGGGAUCACAUCAUUAGGAGAAUGAUGUGAUGGACAAGACCCAAUCCUAAGCAUAGCACAAAGAUCGUGUAGUUCGUUUGCUAGAGCUUUUCCAAUGUCUAGUAUCUUUUCCUUAGACCAUGAGAUCGUGUAACUCCCAGAUACCGUAGGAGUGCUUUGGGUGUACCAAACGUCACAACAUAACUGGGUGACUAUAAAGGUGCACUAUAGGUAUCUCUGAAAGUGUCUGUUUGGUUGACACGGAUCGAGACUGGGAUUUGUCACUCCGUAUGACGGAGAGGUAUCUCUAGGCCCACUCGGUAAUGCAUCAUCAUAAUGAGCUCAAAGUGACCAAGUGUCUGGUCACGGGAUCAUGCAUUACGGUACGAGUAAAGUGACUUGCCGGUAACGAGAUUGAACGAGGUAUUGGGAUACCGAUGAUCGAAUCUCGGGCAAGUAACGUACCGAUUGACAAAGGGAAUUGUAUACGGGGUUGCUUAAAUCCUCGACAUCGUGGUUCAUCCGAUGAGAUCAUCGAGGAGCAUGUGGGAGCCAACAUGGGUAUCCAGAUCCCGCUGUUGGUUAUUGACCGGAGAGCCGUCUCGGUCAUGUCUGCAUGUCUCCCGAACCCGUAGGGUCUACACACUUAAGGUUGGAUAACGCUAGGGUUCUUUGAAUAUGAGUAUGCAGCAAACCGAAAGUUGUUCGGAGUCCCGGAUGAGAUCUCGGAUGUCAUGAGGAGUUCCGGAAUGGUCCGGCGGUAAAUAAUUAUAUAUGGGAAGUCGAGUUUCGGCCAUCGGGAAAGUUUCGGGGGUCACCGGUAUUGUACCGGGACCACCGGAAGGGUCCCGGGGGUCCACCGGGUGGGGCCACCCAUCCUAGAGGGCCCCAUGGGCUGAAGUGGGAGGGGAACCAGCCCCUNNNNNNNNNNNNNNNNNNNNNNNNNNNNNNNNNNNNNNNNNNNNNNNNNNNNNNNNNNNNNNNNNNNNNNNNNNNNNNNNNNNNNNNNNNNNNNNNNNNNNNNNNNNNNNNNNNNNNNNNNNNNNNNNNNNNNNNNNNNNNNNNNNNNNNNNNNNNNNNNNNNNNNNNNNNNNNNNNNNNNNNNNNNNNNNNNNNNNNNNNNNNNNNNNNNNNNNNNNNNNNNNNNNNNNNNNNNNNNNNNNNNNNNNNNNNNNNNNNNNNNCUGCGCCUAGGGUUGGGAACCCUAGGGGAGGGGGCACCUCCACUUGCCUUGGGGGGCACUCCAACCCCCUGGCCGCCGCCCCCCUUGGGAGAUCCCAUCUCUAGGGCCGGCGCCCCCUGGGGUCCCUAUGUAAAGAGGGGGGGUGGGAGGGCAGCUGCACCCCUGACCUCUGGCGCCUUCUUACCCCCUUGCUAUACCUCCUCCUCCCGUAGUCGCUUGGCGACGCCCUGCCGGAACCCUGCUGCAUCCACCACCAUGCCGUUGUGCUGCUGGAUCUUCAUCAACCUCUCCUUCCCCCUUGCUGGAUAAAGAAGGAGGAGACGUCACGCUGACCGUACGUGUGUUGAACGUGGAGGUGCCGUCCGUUCGGCGCUAGGAUCUCUGAUGAUUUGGAUCACGACGAGUACGACUCCCUCAACCCCGUUCUCUUGAACGCUUCCGCUCGCGAUCUACAAGGGUAUGUAGAUGCACUCCUCUCUCUCGUUGCUAGAUGAACUCAUAGAUUGAUCUUGGUGAAUGUAGGAAUUUUUUUAUUUUAUGCAACGUUUCCCAACAGGGGGGGGGCGCACCAGCCCACCAGGGGCUGGUUCCCCUCCCACUUUAGCCCAUGGGGCCCUCCGGGAUGGGUGGCCCCACCCGGUGGACCCUCGGGACCCUUCCGGUGGUCCCGGUACAAUAUCAGUGACCCCCGAAACUUUCCCGAUGGCCAAAACUCGACUUCCCGUAUAUAAUUCUUUACCUCCGGACCAUUUUGGAACUCCUCGUGACGUCCGGGAUCUCAUCCGGGACUCCAAACAACUUUCGGUUUGCUGCAUACAAAUAUCUCUACAACCCUAGCGUCACCGAACCUUAAGUUUGUAGACCCUACGGGUUCGGGAGAUACAUAGACAUGACCGAGACGGCUCUUCGGUCAAUAACCAACAGCGGGAUCUGGAUACCCAUGUUGGCUCCCACAUGCUCCUCGAUGAUCUCAUCGGAUGAACCAUGAUGUCGAGAAUUCAAGCAACCCCGUAUACAAUUCCCUUUGUCAAUCGGUAUGUUACUUGCCCGAGAUUCGAUCGUCGGUAUCCCAAUACCUCGUUCGAUCUCGUUACCGGCAAGUCACUUUACUCGUACCGUAAUGCAUGAUCUAGUGACCAGACACUUGGUCACUUUGAGCUCAUUAUGAUGAUGCAUUACCGAGUGGGCCCAGAGAUACCUCUCUGUCAUACGGAAUGACAAAUCCCAGUCUCGAUCCGUGUCAACCCAACAGACACUUUCGGAGAUACCUGUAGUAUACCUUUAUAGUCACCCAGUUACGUUGUGACGUUUGGUACACCCACAGCACUCCUACGGUGUCCGGGAGUUACACGAUCUCAUGGUCUAAGGAAAAGAUACUUGACAUUGGAAAAGCUCUAGCAAAUGAACUACACGAUCUUGUGCUAUGCUUAGGAUUGGGUCUUGUCCAUCACAUCAUUCUCCUAAUGAUGUGAUCUCAUUAUCAAUGGCAUCCAAUGUCCAUAGUCAGGAAACCAUGACUAUCUGUUGAUCAACGAGCUAGUCAACUAGAGGCUCACUAGGGACAUAUUGUGGUCUAUGUAUUCACACGUGCAUUACGAUUUCCGGAUAAUACAAUUAUAGCAUGAAUAAAAGACAAUUAUCAUGAACAAGGAAAUAUAAUAAUAAUCCUUUUAUUAUUGCCUCUAGGGCAUAUUUCCAACAAUAUGCAAAUUCCUCAAUAGUGUUUGCUCAUGUUUAUCUACUGUUGUAGUUGCUCAUGUACAUGUUCUUGAGUGGUCCUGUUAUAUGCAACAUUGAAGUGGUUCAAUUGUGCCCAAGUGGCCUUUUGUUGUUUCCAGGGAAUGAAGCCGAGUGGCCUAUGUGUUGCCGGAAUGUUGAUUCAUUUCCAUUCCAGCAAAUUUUAGGUGCUCGAUUUGUCCACUUUUAUAGCAAAGCUCGUGCCAAAAUUUUCCUUGAAUUUCGGCAUGACUUGUGCUACAAACUAGGACAUAUCGAGUGCCCGGGAUUUACCGCACCAGAAAUGAAUCAACAUCCCUUCAAAAUACAGGCCUUUUUUAUGUCAUUAUUCAUUUUAUUAGGUCUAGAAUUAAUUGACUAGAUUUAAUUGUAGGAAACAUGGCUAGCAACGGUGUUUGCAACGUCUACGAGGUGGCAGACGUUUAUUUGAACCUUCUCGACGAGCAACGGUUGUUGCAUGGCCCACUUGUCACAUCCGAGACUGAGACCGACAUCGGGACUGGUAUCGAGACUGGCGCUGAGACCCAGACCCGCACGAAGACUGGUGAAGCCGGUACAGAACCAAAACCAAAGAGGCAACGGCGCCCAAACCAGCUCAUCACUAAUAGACUGGUGGUCACGGUGGUGGACGAUGACAAUUUUGAGCCAAAAGAGCCUACGGAAGCGCACGCGUGCUAUGGCAAUCAAAUAGGCUGCAUCCUAUGAGCAAGCGCCACCAACAACGAUGAGAAACUAAAGAAUAUACCAGAUAUGAAGCAGUCCCUCCGAACUAAGCUGCACUAGGUAUUCUUGUUACCGGGCCGGGAUGAAAUCAAAUAUACUAAUCCAGAUAAAGACCCGACAAUGAAGAAGAUAACAAACGCGCCAUGAGCAAUUUUAGUAGUGCAUUGUCCGCCUGAAAGUAAGGGUGAAACAUAAGAUCAUCGACAAAAAAGAACCCUACUCCUAGAUUGUAAAUGAUAAUCCGACAAUUACGGAAGAGCAGUUUGAAAUAUUCAAGGCGACUUGUGUUGAAGAAGCUGCCAAAGAAAAGUCGGAGUACAUGAAGGGGCUCCAAGAGAGGAACAUGGGGUGCCACCACCUCGAAAGUCGUGGUUACGCGGGAAGAGGUCCAUAUUGGCCAAGGAGGACGCAAAACGCGAAAGUCUGGGCAUCCCAGACCCCUUGGCGGUGUUCACUGUCCAGCAGGAGCAUAAUGUCAUCAGGGCCCAGUACCCUUGGGACCUAGUCAAGAAGGUUUUUGAGAUGUACGCGAUCACAAGGAGUUCAUGAGACUGCUGGUAAUUUUUAAUUUACCCCCUAAUUUUAGCUUCUGAUCAAUUCGACUGCACAUUUAGUCAUAUAUUUAUACGAUUCUUGUUCCUUUUGCAAAAAGAGCAGCACAUAAUUGCGGCCGAAAGCGGCUCGUCGUCUGAGGCAUUGCGAGGCCUGUCGGUGUCAAAACCGGCGGAUCUCGGGUAGGGGGUCCCGAACUGUGCGUCUAGGCGGAUGGUAACAGGAGACAAGGGGCACGAUGUUUUACCCAGGUUCGGGCCCUCUUGAUGGAGGUAAAACCCUACGUCCUGCUUGAUUAAUAUUGAUGAUGUGUGUUACAAGAGUGGAUCUACCAUGAGAUCAAGGAGGCUAAACCCUAGAGGCUAGCCUAUGGUAUGAUUGUUGUUCGUCCUACGGACUAAAGCCAUCCGGUUUAUAUAGACACCGGAGAGGGCUAGGGUUACACAGAGUCGGUUACAAUGGUAGGAGAUCUACAUAUCCGUAUCGCCAAGCUUUCCUUCCAUGCCAAGGAAAGUCCCAUACGGACACGGGACGAAGUCUUCAAUCUUCUAUCUUCAUAGUCUUGGAGUCCGGCCGAUGAUGAUAGUUCGGCUAUCCGGACGCCCCCUAGUCCAGGACUCCCUCAUUAGCCCCCAAACCAGGCUUCAGCGACGACAAGUCCGGCACGUAUAUUGUCUUCGGCGUUACAAGGCGGGUUCUCCUUCAAACUUCAUGUUCCUGCCGAAUAGUGUCCGACUUCCUUAUAAAUGUUGCGCUCCUUGGCUUCUACGCCCAAUAAUGGCCUUCUUCCACGUGUUGUAUGAAUGCGAAAAGCUAGGGUAUUUUUACAUCUUACCCCCUAGCCGUGCGAACGAGCCGCCUAUAAGAGAUGUGAGGAUCUAGAUCCAACUCACACCAUCCUCCUUCCGCAAGUACUCAUCGAAGCGCCUCUGACAAAAAUCCAUUCUAUCAUGGAUAGUCGACGCGGCUCCUCCUCUCGCGCUCCCAGCCCUAAGCCAGGAGAUUGGGGGAGAUGCUCAGUUCCACACAGCGAGCUAGUGGCGCUCCAAACCGAGGGAUAUCUUCCCCCAGCCUUCAUGGUUCCGGUUCGAGCCGGACUGGCCACCUUCAGGGGUGGAAAGCAGGCGGAGAGCGUCCCCAACCCUUCCAAAGGAGAGCGGGUAUGCUUCGUCCCUUAUCUAAUAAGGGGACUCGGAUUUCCCAUACACCCGUUUCUCCGGGGGCUCCUGGAGUUCUACGGACUCCAGCUUCACCACCUCACACCUGCCUCCAUUUUGCACAUCGCGGGCUUUGUAGCCCGUUGCGAGCUGUUCUUGGGCAUCGAGCCCCACUUUGCACUGUGGAAGAGAUUGUUUUGCCUCGCACCCCGUUCUCAGGAGGGGUCGAUAUAUCAAGUGGGCGGAGCCGAAAUAUGGCGCAUCGCCGGGACCGGAUAUCUAUCUGGCACCCCGAAGAAGGCGUCCGAAGACUGGCCUUCGGAAUGGUUCUACAUGGAGGACGCCCCUCUGCCGGAUCCAGUUCGGAUCGGCCUCCCGGAGUUCAGCAAUGCUCCCUUGAAGAAACGCCUGAGUUGGCGCCCGCAGAGCCCUCAACGGGAGGAUGAUGGGAGCGUCCAUUAUCUGAUGGGCCGGAUUAGGUUACUGGCCCACUCUUGAUUGACCAUGAUCGGAAUCAUGGCCACGUGCAUUAUGCGAGGGGUGCAGCCGCUCCAAUAUAGGGGCCACCCUAUGUGGGAUUUCAAUGGGGAAGAUGACGCCACCCGUCAUGGCCGCAGAGGGCCGGGCUCGGCAGCCGAUCUGGUAAAGAUCCUAUCCGGCUUGUACAAGGGGGAGGAGGAGGACUUCCUCCGCACGAGUCCAUUGAAUGGAUUUUCCAUGAAUAACCCUCGGAGCUGGGUAAGUGGACGUUUAUCUACCCGAUCCAUACUUCCAAAGUCAAGUAUUUUACUUUAUGAUUUCGACGCAGGAGCUGCGCCAGGACAUGGAGGGCAUACAAAGCCUAACUCCACAGCCCAAGGAUCCGGAAUGAUCCCUUGAUCUGGCCUCCGAAGAGGAUCCGAACAUAAAGGUGGAGCUGAUUGAUGGGGUGUUCCAACAACUUAGCAUGGACAAUGCUCUAGUCGCCAUUACGGCUGACUACCCCGAUUAGUUUCCGGCCUCCCAGGUGACUACGACCGAGGUCUUGACACCAUCAUUUGAUCCAUGCUCAAUUCUGACCAUCCUAUACUGAUGGUGCAUCGUAGGAGGUGCCUUUCGAGCGGGAAGCCGAAGCCACGGCGGCUGACCAGCAAGGGUCAGUUCGGCCCAGCAGGCGGAAGAGGAGUGCGACGCGAACCGAAACAUCGCCGCAAUGGUACGACGCACCGCUGUUUUUAAGGGAAGGAUCCCUAGGAGGUAUAUUAAUGCUCAUAACUUUUCCAGGAGAAAGAGCGCUCGCCGGACAGUGUCCGGAGAGGUUGCCAAUCAAGCCUCCGCAAGCCAUGCUCCAACGCGUGGUCCAGAAGGGGAGGCGAAUACAAGGCAUGAGACGGAUGCUCCUCCGACGGAGGAUGCCGACAGGCUGUCCGCCACCCCGUCUGAGGUGGAGAGCGCCAUGAAUCACAGGCGUCGCCGGACAAUUCUUUGUGACGCGUGUUUCUCCCCGGAGGCAUUGAAUGCCUUUGAUGCGGGAGACGCGCACCUCCAUGCCGCUCAAGAUGGUUUAACCAGAGCCAUGGAGCAGUAUGUGAAGGACAUACGAGUAAGUAAUUUUAAUAGUUAUAUAUAUGCCAGUAGCCCCCGAGACUUAAAAUAGUUAAAAUAACUGAUUUAAGGAUCAUUUAUUAUGUAGGAUCUUACGGAGAAGAAUACCCACCUGUCCCAGGAGCUUCAAGAGUGCAAGGCCCAACUUGAGGCUGCACUGGCCGCCACAGGGGGAGCCACAAAGACCCUCGCUGGUAAUACGUACUUCGAAAAGAUAAGUAGUUAACAAAGUGCGGCGUGUGCGUAAAUCUAACAAUAAUAUUGCAGAGGGCGCCGGACUAGAUCCGGAAAAGCAACAGCUACUGCGUCAGCUGAAGGCCGGUGAGAGGGUGCUUAUGAAGGUGCAGCAGGAGAGGAACAAGCUCCAAGAUGCCCACACCCAGCUAGGAGAAGAGCUGAAAGAUGUUCGGGCCCAGCUGUCUGGCUCCGUGAAGGAGAAUCAGCGGCUUCGUCGCGGCAUUUAUAGUAAGUGCUUGAGCAAAUUCCAUUGAAAAGAAGAAUUUGGCGAGGAAGUCGAUUGACAGAAAUGUGUCUUUAGGUGUGCUCACAGGUCGCCCUGCGGAGGAAAUGCCCGGUUCAACGGGUGACCAACUUCCCAAGCUGGUGAAACUGUUCGAACGUGUUCGGCAGGCGAUGAGUGGUGUCGUUCAGGCCUUAUCGCCUUCCGUCUCCCUACCUGAGGGCCUUGGAGGGCUUGCUGAGAAGCUUCAGGGAGUACGGCGACGUCUCCGUCUGUGCAAGAUAUCAGCCUGCCGUCAAGGCGCCAGGGAGGCCUGGGCCAUGGUGAAGACGCGGUACCCGAAGGCUGACCCAAACCACAUGGCCGAGGUCGGACCUAUGGGGCCUGAUGGGAAGGAGAUCCCUAUGAGCUUGAUGUACGGCCAAAUAGAGCUGGCCGCGAAAUAUUCCCAACAGGACUGUAAAUUAGACAGCCUGUUAGAUGGGAUUGAAGAGGAGUACAAUUAGUCAGUUUGGCGAUGUAAUUUUAAAAUGACAUAUAGAAUGCCUUCUAGCCGGAUUGUAGAUCCUUUGUCUUUGCGGACCUUUUCGCUUCAACCUCGGGACCCAACAGUCCGGAGUGUGUCCGAAUACCCUUACGGUUAUAAAAGAACCGGGGCGUGCAUGGAGACAAGGCGUCGGGGUCAUAAUUGCUUUAUCAGACAAGUGCCCAACUAGCUAUGUUAUAUUGCAUGGUUAGUAAGAAACAUCUUCCAGGGAGAAUAGUUCCGUUAAGGGUUCCUUUCCCUGGGAGGCAUUCCCUAAAGUGCAUGUUCGGACUGCGAAAUUAGCAGAAAAAGCAUCUGGGGGCAGAUAAAUAAGUAAGCAAUAAAUCAUCUUUCAAGUCACCGACCGAAUAUUCUCUUAAGAACGCUAGCUUUCGGCUUCACCCAGUCUGAGGUACACAUCCGGCUGACCCGGCAGUAACAAUCGUAGAGGUGCUCCCUUUACCUCCUAGCUGAACAAUCAGGAACGUAGGGGUAAGCACAGGAGCCAGGCAGCCCAGCUUGGGCAAAACUUAAGUCAUAUCGAUGCAUAUAAUGGUGAAUAAAAGGUACAUGCGGAAGUAUAACACAUGUGUUGGGCAUGAAGCCCAUAUAAAUAAGCUUCUGUUAAAGAAGCCCCCUGGUAUAAUGAGUGCUAGGAGCACAUCAAGUGUGUGCGAACAAUGCGCAAAUCAGCCUAUAAAAGGUAUCGAAAAAAUAAGUGGGAAGAAGGAGGGGGACAAGAGACAGUGAAAAUGUAAAAAGGUGGACGGAGGAGUGAGACGAACUCUGAGUCCGGCGUUAGGCGUAGAAUCUUCGGAGACGGGCUGCGUUCCAUGGGUUCGGCUCGAGUCGAUUGUCAGAUGCGUUACGUAGACGGUAUGCUCCGCCGGUCAGGACUUGGUCGAUGAUGAAGGGACCUUCCCACUUGGGCUUAAGUUUGUCCUUUUUCUUGUCCGGCGGGCGUAGAACAAGUUCGCCAACAUUGUAAGUUUUGGCCCGUACUUCUCUGCUUUGAUAUCUUCGAGCCUGCUGCUGAUAGAAUGCGAAACGAGCUUUUGCCACGUCCCACUCCUCUUCUAAGGCGUCCACACUGUCCUGCCGAUCCAACUCGGCUUCUCUUUCUUCGUACAUGCGCACGCGAGGUGAGUCAUGAAUUAUAUCGCAGGGCAGAACUGCCUCUGCGCCGUACACCAUAAAAAAUGGUGUGAAUCCGGUAGUGCGGUUUGGCGUGGUCCGCAGCCCCCAGAGUACGGAGUCGACCUCCUCUACCCAGUGCGUGUUAGAUUCCUUGAGGGACCGCACUAGUCUGGGUUUGAUGCCGCUCAUGAUUAGACCAUUUGCUCGCUCGACUUGACCGUUAGUUUGGGGGUGAUAGACUGAAGCGUAGUCGAGCUUGAUGCCCAUGUUUUUGCACCAGAGUUUAACCUCGUCGGCCAUGAAAUUCGUGCCGUUAUCAGUGAUGAUGCUGUGGGGGACGCCAAAACGGUGUACUACCCCGGAUAUGAAGUCUACCACAGGUCCGGAUUCUGCCGUUUUAACCGGCUUGGCCUCUAUCCAUUUGGUGAAUUUGUCCACCAUGACCAAUAAGUAUUUGUGCUUGUGGGUUCCCCCUUUAAGGGGUCCAACCAUGUCAAGCCCCCAGACCGCGAACGGCCAGGUGAUGGGUAUAGUUUUGAGGGUGGUGGGUGGCAUGUGGCUCUGAUUAGCAAAGAGCUGGCAACCGACGCAUCGUUGGACUAAGUCCUGAGCAUCUCCUGGGCUGUCAGCCAAUAAAAUCCUGUAUGGAAGGCCUUGCCUACAAGGACCCGGGCUGCAGCGUGGUGCCCGCCGAGUCCGGCGUGAAUUUCAGCCAGGAGAUUUCGCCCUUCCUCUUCGGAGAUACACAUUUGAAGGACUCUGGUUGUGCUUUUCUUAUAAAGUUCUCCGUCAUGGAUCUUGUAGGCUUUAGAUCGCCGAACUAUGCAGCGGGCCUCAUUUUGGUCUUCGGGAAGUUCCUGCCUGAUUAAGUAGGCUAGGAAUGGUUCCGUCCACGGGGCAAUUACUGCCAUUAUUUCGUGGGCUGAAGGUGUUAUUUCAUUGGCUGAGCCACGAUUGUGUCAGAAUGGUCUGAGUUAGGUGAUGCAACUGGUUCCGGAUUGUUGUUUCCGGACUCCUCUUGCCAUAAUACGGAUGGCUUAAAGAGCCGUUCCAGGAAGAUGUUCGGAGGGACGGCGUCGCGUUUUGCGCCGAUGCGUGCCAACACGUCUGCUGCCUGGUUGUUAUCCCGGGCUACAUGGUGGAAUUCGAGUCCUUCGAACCGAGCUGACAUUUUUAGGACGGCGUUGCGGUAGGCUGCCAUUUUCGGAUCUUUGGCGUCAAAGUCUCCAUUUACUUGGGAUAUUGCGAGGUUUGAAUCCCCGCGCACCUCUAGGCGUUGAAUGCCCAUGGAGAUUGCCAUCCGAAGGCCAUGUAGAAGGGCCUCGUAUUCGGCUGCGUUGUUGGAGUCCGUGUACAUUAUUUGAAGUACGUAUUGGACUGUGUCUCCGGUUGGGGACGUCAAGACGACGCCAGCCCCCAAGCCAGCCAACAUUUUGGAUCCGUCGAAAUGCAUGAUCCAAUUGGAGUACGCGCCGUACUCUUUAGGGAGUUCGGCUUCGGUCCAUUCGGCGAUGAAGUCAGCCAGAACUUGCGACUUUAUAGCUCGCCGUGGUUUGUAGGUUAUGUCAAAUGGUAAGAGCUCAAUGGCCCAUUUUGCAAUCCUGCCCGUUGCGUCGCGAUUGUUUAUAAUAUCGUUGAGAGGUACUUCGGAGGCCACCGUUAUGGAACACUCCUGAAAGUACUGUCGCAGCUUCCGGGAUGCCAUGAACACCGCAUACGCUAUCUUUUGAUAAUGUGGGUACCGGGACUUGCAUGGAGUUAAGACAGUGGAUACGUAGCACACUGGUUUUUGAAGAGGGAAUCUGUGCCCUUCUGUUUCUCGCUCGACGACGAGUACCGCGCUGACAACUUGAUGUGUUGCUGCGAUAUAUAAUAACAUAGGUUCGCCCAGGUUGGGCCUGGCCAGGACCGGAUUAGUUGCCAGUAUGGCCUUGAUUUCUUCAAGUCCGGCCGUGGUAGCAUCCGUCCAUUCGAAGUGUUCGGUGCGCCGGAGGAGGCGAUAGAGGGGCAGAGCCUUUUCUCCCAAACGGGAGAUGAAGCGGCUUAGAGCCGCUACGCAUCCAGUUAGUUUUUGUAUUUGCUUGAGGUAUUUUGGGAUAUCUAAUUGUGACAGAGCUCGGAUCUUGGCUGGGUUUGCUUCAAUUCCUCUACCGGAUACAAUGAAGCCCAAAAGCUUUCCGGCUGGUACUCCGAAGACACAUUUUUUAGGGUUGAGCUUAAUGUCAUAUGCUCGGAGGUUGUCGAAUGUCACCCCCAAGUCGUCUACUAGAGUUUCGACGUGUUUGGUCUUGACGACCACAUCGUCUACGUAUGCCUCUACUGUUUUGCCUAUUUGGGUAGCCAGACAUGUCUGAAUCAUGCGCUGAUAUGUUGCGCCAACGUUUUUGAGUCCGAAGGGCAUUGUGUUGAAGCAAAAUGGCCCAUAUGGAGUAAUGAAUGUCAUUGCGGCCUGGUCUUUUUCCGCCAUCUUGAUUUGAUGGUAUCCGGAGUAUGUGUCGAGGAAGCACAAUGAAUCGUACCCUGUGGUAGCAUCGAUGAUUUGGUCGAUGCGAGGGAGAGGGAAAGGGUCCUUUGGACAGGCCUUGUUAAGGUCUUUGAAAUCGACGCAAAGGCGCCAGGAUUUGUCCUUUUUUGGUACCAUUACUAGGUUGGCUAGCCAGUCCGAAUGUUUUAUAUCUCUGAUGAAUCCGGCUUCUAAGAGUUUGGCUAGCUCCUCUCCCAUUGCCUCUCUUUUGGGUUCGGAAAAUCGCCGAAGAGCUUGUUUGACUGGCUUGAAUCCUUUUAGGAUAUUUAGGCUGUGCUCUGCCAGCCUGCGUGGGAUUCCUGGCAUGUCUGAAGGGUGCCAGGCAAAAAUGUCCCAAUUUUCCCGAAGGAAUUCUCGUAGUGCGGCUUCUACAUCAGGAUUUAAUUGUGCCCCGAUGGAGGCCGUCUUUGUGGGGUCCGUUGGAUGGACCUGAAAUCUGACUAUUUCGUCUGCUGGUUUAAAAGAGGUGGACUUGGACCUCUUAUCGAGUAUCACAUCAUCCCUAUCCACCGUGGAGCGCAGCGCAGUUAGUUCCUCUGCCGCUAGGGCUUCGGAUAAUGCCUCUAGGGCCAGUGCGGCUGUUUUAUUUUCAGCGCGAAGUGUUGUAUCUGGAUCACUAGCGAGAGUGAUUAUUCCAUUGGGUCCGGGCAUUUUGAGCUUCAUGUACCCGUAAUGGGGUAUAGCUUGGAAGAUUGUGAAUGCCUCUCGCCCUAACAAGGCGUGAUAUCCGCUGCCGAAUGGGGCCACUUGGAACGUGACCUCUUCAGACCUCUAAUUGUCCGGCGAGCCGAACACUACAUCUAGUGUGAUUUUUCCUGUGCAGCAUACUUCUCGACUAGGGAUUAUUCCCCUGAAGGUUGUGCUGCUUUGCUCAAUGCGGCUCCAGUCAAUUUCCAUUUUUUGAAGGGUUUCUUAGUAGAUGAGGUUUACUCCGUUGCCGCCAUCCAUGAGUACCUUGGUAAGACGAAAGUCGUCCACUAUCGGACUGAGGACUAAUGCGGCUGGUGCUCUAGCUGUUCGAAAUUUAGGUUCGUCGCUGGCAUUGAAGGUGAUAGCCGUGUCACUCCAUGGAUUUGUUGUUGCUACUUGGUAGACUUCGGCGAGGCUGCGGAUUGUUCGUUUCCGCAUGUUAUUUGAUGCGAAAUUCUCGAAGACUGUUAAUACCGUACUGGUACUGCUGGGCUGGUUGCCCGGGGCUAAAAAGCCUUCGCCACUUUUGGCCAACUGCCAUAAUAUCCAACAUGCUCGAAGGCUAUGUGUUGCAGUGGCGCCCUCCGUACUGUGGAUUUUGCAGGGUCCGUUGAGCCAUCCCUCCAGUAUAGUUCCGUACCCUUUAGGGGGGUUUUGCUUUUUAGAUUUUAACCCAGGUGCUUGAGUAUGACGCACCCUUUUAUUUCAGACUGGGAUUGUAUUCAGGGCCGGAUUGUCCCAAAACCUAGUUUCGGUUUUCCAGGCACUCUCCAUCGCGCAGUAUUUUUGUACGAUGGUCGCUAGGUCGUAGAAGCGUGUAACUUCGCGACGACUAAUGGCGUUUAUGAUUCCCUCGUCCGUGCAAUUGUUGCAGAAAAUUGAAAUCGCGCUUUCUUCACGGUAGUCCUUUAUCCUGUUCAUAACCAGGAGGAAUCUGGCCCAGUAAUGAUGUACUGUUUCAUCGGGCUCUUGCCGUAUUUGAGAUAGAUCGCUUAUGUUUGGGUGGGCGGGUGGAAUUAAGUUCGGAACCCCGCCCGAUCUGAGGCUCAAAGGCCAAGAAGCUUCCGGAUUUGGAAGCUUGGUUUGUUGGAUGCUUUCCAACAAAUCUGGUCUGAUGCCUGACUUUAGGUUCAGUAUUUGAUUGGCGUCCGUCCCUUCGCGGGAAUCCGGCCUGGAGGGAUCGGGAAUCCGGACAUAGUUUGGUUUUUAACAUAGAAGAAGAGUCGCCGCAUUGUUCCUCUACCACAACAACGUGGUGGGUAACCUGGGGAGAGUUAAUUUCUCUCAGAUCGGUUUUAAGCCCAAUCUGAUCGUAGUCGGUCACCACGCUACUCGGCGAAUUCCGAGCUGACGUGAAGAUUGCUUUUAAUGACCUGAGAGGUCAUUGUCAGAGCGAUGGCCGAACAGGCGGUCAUAAGGAAACUGCCUAGCCGGAUAGUCUGGCCGGCGGCCAAAGCUCCCUUGACGACGGUGCCAUCUUUAAAGACGGGAAAAGGCAUCCUUCCUGAUGGUGACGACACAGAGGAACUCUCAAUGAAAGCACCAAUGUCGAUGUCAAAACCGGCGGAUCUCGGGUAGGGGGUCCCGAACUGCGCUUCUAGGCGGAUGGUAACAGGAGACAAGGGGCACGAUGUUUUACCCAGGUUCGGGCCCUCUUGAUGGAGGUAAAACCCUACGUCCUGCUUGAUUAAUAUUGAUGAUGUGUGUUACAAGAGUGGAUCUACCACGAGAUCAAGGAGGCUAAACCCUAGAGGCUAGCCUAUGGUAUGAUUGUUGUUCGUCCUACGGACUAAAGCCAUCCGGUUUAUAUAGACACCGGAGAGGGCUAGGGUUACACAGAGUCGGUUACAAUGGUAGGAGAUCUACAUAUCCGUAUCGCCAAUCUUGCCUUCCACGCCAAGGAAAGUCCCAUCCGGACACGGGACGAAGUCUUCAAUCUUCUAUCUUCAUAGUCUUGGAGUCCAGCCGAUGAUGAUAGUUCGGCUAUCCGGACAACCCCUAGUCCAGGACUCCCUCAAGGCCCAAGUGGGAAACCCCAUUCAACCGGGCCUUGAACAUAUUGAUACGUCUCCAAUGUAUCUAUUAUUUAUGAAGUAUUCAUGACAUUAUAUUAUCAUUCUUGGAUCUUUUACAAUCAUUUUAUAGCAACUUUAUAUCAUUUUUUGGGACUAACCUAUUGACCCAGUGCCCAGUGCCAGUUGCUGUUUUUUGCUUAUUUUUUACAUCGCAGGAAAUCAAUAUCAAACGGAGUCCAAACAUAGUGAAACUUCUUGUGGAUUUUUUAUGGACCAGAAGACAUCCAGUGGGCCAAGGAAGCACCUGGGGGGGUGCCUCGAGGGGGCAGCACACACCAGGGCGCGCCUGGGGGGCCAGGCGCGCCCAGGUGGGUUGUGCCCACCUCAGGUUCCCCCUGAACUGCCUCUUCACCCUAUAAAUUCCCAAAUAUUCCAAAACCCUUCGGGGUAGCCCAAGAUCAGAAGUUCCGUCGCUGUAAGGCCUCUGUAUCCACGAGAUCCAAUCUAGAACCUGUUCUGGCACCCUGCCAGAGGGGGGAAUCAUCACCGGUGGCCAUCUUCAUCAUCCCGGCGGCCACCACGAUGAGGAGGGAGUCGUCCACCAUCGGGCCUGAGGGUUUGUACCAGUAGCUAUGUGUUAAAUCUCUCUCUCUCUCUCUCCCGUGUUCUUGAGAUGUCAUGAUCUUGAUGUAUUACUGGCUUUGUUAAUAUAGUCGGAUCAUAUGGUGUUUUCCCGUCUCUAGUUGUGAUGAAUUGAGUUUUUCCCUUUCAGAUUUCGUUGUUAUCGGAUUGAAUACUUUCAUGGAUUUGAGAACACUUGAUAUAUGUCUUGCAAUUGAAUACUCGUGGUGACAAUGGGGUAUCGUAUAGAUUCACUUGAUAUAUGUUUUGGCACUCAACUCAUGGAUUCUCGUGGUGACAUUGGGGUAAUCUAUGCAUAGGGGUUGAUGCCCGUUCUUGUCUUUGUUUCUCCGGUACAAAUCUUGGGGCACUCUUUGAAGUUCUUUGUGUUGGAUUGAGUAUUAUGAAUACGAAUUUGCUUUGGUGUUAUUUUAGUACGAACUCUAGGAUAGAUUGAACGGAAAGAAUAGCUUUGUGCUAUUUUAGUACGAACUCUUGAAUAGAUCAAACGGAAAGAAUAACUUUGAGGUGGUUUUGUACCCUACAAACAAUUUAUUCUUAUGUUCUCUGCUAGAUAGUAACUUUGGAGUGAUUCUUCAUCGCACUUUGAGGGAUGGUUAUAUAAUCCAAUUAUAUUAGCAUUGUUGAGAGAUUGGACUAGCAAAAGUAAGGACCCUAGGCAUCACUUUAUAUCAUUGCAAUACCGUUUGUGCUCCGUUUUAUCAUUUACUACCUUGCUGUUUUUUAUUGUUCGCACUACAAAAACUCAUAUCUACUAUCCAUACUACACUUUUAUCAUCAUCUCUUCGCCAAACUAGUGCACCUAUACAAUUUGCCAUUGUAUUGGGUGUGUUGGGGAGACAAGAGAUUUCUUGUAUUUGAUUGCAGGGUUGCUUGAGAGAGACUAUCUUCAUCCUACGCCUCCCACGGAUUGAUAAACCUUAGGUCAUCCACUUGAGGGAAAAUUGCUACUGUCCUACAAAACUCUGCGCUUGGAGGCCCAACACGAUUCUACAAGAAUAAAGUUGCGUAGUAGACAUCAGGCUCUUUUCUGAUGUCGUUGCUGGGGAGUUAUGUGCUUGAAGGUAUAUCUUUAGAUCUUGCAAUCGAAUAUUGUAGUUUCUUUUUUUAUCACUAGUUUGGUUUAUAAAAGAAAACUACAUAAAAAAUGGAAUUGAGGUUGCAUCAUAUUAUUGAUCAUCUUUAUAAUAUCUUGCUUGAAAAUGAUGGUUCGGGAAAUUGUGCUCAAUUGAUAGAAGAAGAAUUUAAUAAAAUGAUUGUCAUGAAUGAUGAGCAUGAUUGCAAUGUUGUUAGUAUGAAUUAUUUGAAUAUCCAUGAUGUUAAUGAUAUGCAAAGCUACAAGCUUGAGGAUGCUAUGUUUGAUGAAGAUGAUAUUUUUACUCCCCCAAGUUUUGAUGAGAUAAUUUAUUAUGAUGAUAGCAUGCCUCCUAUUUAUGAUGAUUAUAAUGAUAAAAGUGGAUUCGGAGAGGUCAUGACAUUAUUUAAUGAUUAAUCCACCAUUUUGGAUGAGGCUUCAAUAGACUAUGAGAACAAGGUCGCUAUCUAUGAUUAUUAUGGUGAUGACAUGUAUACUAUAUUGAAUAAUUAUACCCAUGAAACUUGUCAUCAUGAUUUUAAUUUUCAAUCUCACGAUAGUUAUUUUGUUGAGUUUGCUCCCACCACUAUUCAUGAGAAUAAAUUUGCUUAUGUGAUGGUUAUUGAUAUGUCUCCAAGGUAUCUAUAAUUUUUUAUUGUUCCAUGCUAUUAUAUUAUCUGUUUUGGAUGUUUAAUGGGCUUUAUUAUACACUUUUAUACUAUUUUUGGGACUAACCUAUUAACCGGAGGCCCAGUCCAAAUUGAAGUUUUUUUUGCCUAUUUCAGUGUUUCGCAGAAAAGGAAUAUCAAACGGAGUCCAAAUGGAAUGAAACCUUCAGGAGAGUCAUUUUUGGAACAAACGCAAUCCAGGAGACUUGGAGUGGACGUCAAGGAAGCAACGAGGCGGCCACGAGGCAGGGAGGCGCGCCCCCCACCCUCGUGGCUCCCCUUACCGACUUCUUUCGCCUAUAUAUAUAUACACUCAUAUACCCUAAAAACAUCAGAGAGCACCAUGCAACCCUAUUUCCACCGCCGCAACCUUCUGUACCCGUGAGAUCCCAUCUCGGGGCCUUUUCCGGCACUCUGCCGGACGGGGAAUCAAUCACGGAGGGCUUCUACAUCAACACUAUAGCCUCUCCGAUGAUGUGUGAGUAGUUUACCUCAGACCUUCAGGUCCAUAGUUAUUAACUAGAUGGCUUUUUCUCUCUCUUUGGAUCUCAAUACAAAGUUCUCCUCGAUCUUCAUGGAGAUCUAUUCGAUGUAAUUCUUUUUGCGGUGUGUUUGUCGAGAUCCAAUGAACUGUGGGUUUAUGAUCAACAUUAUCUAUGAACAAUAUUUGAAUCUCCUCUGAAUUCUUUUAUGUAUGAUUUGUUAUCUUUGCAAGUCUCUUCGAAUUAUCAGUAUUGUUUGGCCAACUAGAUUGAUCUUUCUUGCAAUGGGAGAAGUGCUUAGCUUUGGGUUCAAUCUUGCGGUGUCCUUUCCCAGUGACAGCAGGGGCAGCAAGGCACAUAUUGUAUUGUUGCCAUCGAGGAUAAAAAGAUGGGGUUUAUAUCAUAUUGCUUGAGUUUAUCCCUCUACAUCCUGUCAUCUUGCCUAAUGCGUUACUCUGUUCUUAUGAACUUAAUACUCUAGAUGCAUGUUGGAUAGCGGUCGAUGUGUGGAGUAAUAGUGGUAGAUGCAGAAUCAUUUCGACCUACUUGUCGCGGACGUGAUGCCUAUAUACAUGAUCAUGCCUAGAUAUUCUCAUAACUAUGCACUUUUCUAUCAAUUGCACGACAGUAAUUUGUUCACCCACUGUAAUACUUGUGCUAUCUUCAAAGAAGCCACUAGUGAAACCUAUGCCCCCGGGAUCUAUUUUCCAUCAUAUAAGUUUCCGAGCUAUUUUAUUUUCUAAUCUUUACUUUCCAAUCUAUAUCAUAAAAUUACCAAAAAUAUUUAUCUUAUUAUCUCUAUCAGAUCUCACUUUUGCAAGUGGUCGUGAAGGGAUUGACAACCCCUUUAUCGCGUUGGUUGCAAGGUUCUUAUUUGGUUGUGCAGGUACGAGGGAUUUGAGUGUAGCCUCGUACUGGAUUGAUACCUUGGUUCUAAAAAAUAUAGGGAAAUACAUACACUACUUUGCUGCAUCACCCUUUCCUCUUUAAGGAAAACUAACACAUGCUCAAGAGGUAGCAGUUAUAGUGUUGAAUUUCUUCAUGAUGCUACUGAAAAUUAUUAUGAGAGAGGAACAUCUGCUUUUACAUAUCUCAAUAAUAUCAAGUUUCCUCUCUAUGUGUUGAAAGUUUUGAAGUUAUGCAUGUUUGCCUUCCUAUGCUGGUUGAUUCUUGUUCCCAUGAAUUAUUUGCUCACAAAAUCCCUAUGCAUAGGAAGUAGGUUAGGCUUAAAUGUGCUUGCCAUGUGAUUCAUGAUGCUCUUUUUCAUGUUUCAAUUCUUAUCUUUUAUGCGAGCAUCAUUGAACUCAUCAUGCCUAGCUGAAAGGCAUUAAAGAAAAGCGCUUGUUGGGAGACAACCCAACACUUUUACCUACUGUUUUUGUGUGUUCACAUGAUUAGGAUACUAUAGUGAUCAUGUUUUAUUGCUUUCGUUUCAAUAAAGUGCCAAUUAAAGCCUUUGGGAUCAUGUUGGGUGAUAGUUGAUUUGAUUUUACUGAAAAACAGAAACUUUUGCGCUCGCGGAAAUAACUCUCAUUUUUAACAGAAGAGUGCUUUGAGUUGUUUAUUUUUGCAUAAGAUUAAUAGACACACGUGGUCAUAUUUUUUUCAUAAUUUUUGGAGUAGCAGAAGUAUGGUUUGAGUACAGAUUACUACAGACUGUUCUAUUUUUGACAGAUCCUGUUUUCAAUACAUAGUUUGCUUGUCUGAUUGUUUCUACGAAUUAUAUUGCUCAAUAUAAAUUGUGUAAAUGAUGUGCUACCAUAGGAAUAGUGUGGAAACAAUUAUGAAUCUUGUCUUUGACAGUACCAAAGUGAAAUGGUUUGCUCUUUAUCAUACUAACCUAUCUCACGAAGUUUCGUUAAGUUUUGUGUGAUUGAAGUUUUCAAGUUUUGGGUGAAAUGUCGAUAUGAGGAGAAUAAGGAGUGACAAUAACCUAAGCUUGGGGAUGCCCAAGUCACCCCCAAGGUAAUAUUCAAGGAAGAUCUAAGCAACUAAGCUUGGGGAUGCCCCGGAAGGCAUCCCCUCUUUCGUCUCUAACAUUAUCGGUAACCUCACUUGGAGCUAUGUUUUCAUUCGUCACAUGAUAUGUGUUUAGCUUGGAGCGUCAAUUUAUUUUGUUAGGAUUUGCUUUCUAUUAUUUAGAAGAAUGUUUUUCAUCCUUUAUUUCAAUUAAAAUGGCAAUGAUAGCAUUUUCCAUGCUUAUUUUGCAAGUAUACAUGUUGCUGUUUCAAAACAGAAAGUUUAUCGAUGUUGAAAAAAUUCCCUAGAAAAAUCAUAAUAUGAUAAAAUGUUGAAACUUUUUGAAAAAUAAGCUAUGAUAAAGUUUCUACAGUGUGGUAUUUUUUUUCAUAAUUUUUGGAGUCUAAGAAGUAUUGAUACUCUUGCAUUCUUUAAAGAUUGUACUGUUUUGGCAGAUUGCUGUUAUGUUUGCAUUGUUUGCAUAUGUUUGCUUGUUUAAUGAUUCUAUUUGACGAUAGGAGUAUUAAAUAUGUAGAGGCAUUUAGUAUUCAAUAUUGAAUAAUAAUUUUAGUGACUUGUUACAGUAUAUAAUGAUAAGGUUUUUGCAUUGGUUUAUACUAACUUAUCUCACGAGUUGUUGUUGAGUUUUGUGUGGAUGAAGCUUUUGAGAUUUAGGAAAACCAUGAUAUGAAAAUAAUUAAGGAGGAACAAAAGCUCAAGCUUGGGGAUGCCCAAGGAAUCCCAAGUUAAUAUUCCAAGAAGUCUCAAGCAUCUAAGCUUGGGGAUGCCCCGGUAGGUAUCCCACCUUUCUUCUUCAACAAUUAUCAGUUAGUAUUGGUUGAGCCAAUGUUCUUACUUCUUCACAUGAGUUGUACUAUUCUUGGGGUGUCAUUUUGUUUUGUUUUGGUUUCUGUUUUAAUAAAAUACUUAGAUCUGAAAGUUUUUAAAUAAAAUAGAGUCCUCAAUUAGUUGCCAGGGAGGCUAGGUAAGCGGCGUUCACAUUCCGUCAACGAAUCUCUUUUCUAUGGAAUUUCUCUAGUGCUUCACUUAUAUCUUUUUGAGCAUGGUGUGCUUUAGUAUUUUUGAAGAAAUUCUCUCUUACUUCACUUAAAUUAAUUUGAGAGAAAGAAAUAUUAUGCUCAUGAUCAUCAUUUAUAUCUUUUUGGAGUAGCUUGUCAUCUAAUCUUGUGCUUCACUUAUAUCUUAUGAGUAAAUUAUUGAAUGAGUUGAAUAUCAUGAUGUUGAAAUUACAUGUUCAUAUCAUGCCUAAUAGUGGAUUCACAUUGGGUUUAGAAAGUGAAAGCUUUUGAAGCUUGACAAUCACAAUAUUUUUCAUACAAGAAAUUCAAGAAUAAUUAGUAUAAGGAAGAGAACUUUCACAUGCAAAUACACUAUCUUGGAAAUGUUUUGUGAUUGUGAGCCCACAUAAAAAUAUUAUAUGCCAAAAUUGUUGAUGUUGGACAAGGAAGACAACGUAAUGAUUUAUGUUUGUUCAUAUUCACAUAGAAGUUAUAUUGUCAUAGAUCCUUCAACAUGUGGUGCUUUCCCCCCAUCUUUUCUAGCCAAAAAUUCCGCACCAAGUAGAGAUACUAGUUGUGCAUCAAAAAACUCUUAAACCCAAAUCUUGGUUUGAGAGUCCACCAUACCUACCUAUGGAUUGAGCAAGAUCCUUCAAGUAAGUUGUCAUCGGUGCAAUAAGGCAAUAAAAAUUGCUUCUAAAAGUGUUAGAUAAUUUAGUUUAAGAGAAAAUUGAGCGUUGUACGAACUUGUGAUGGCAAAGAAUAAAAACAACAGACUGCAUAAUAAAGGUUGCUAUCAUAAGGGGCAAUAUAACGUGACGUUAUUUUGCACUAAGGGGUUGAUCAUACAAGCAAAUAAGCGCAUGGCAACCUCUGCUUCCCUCUACGAAGGGCCUAUCUUUUACUUUUAUGUAUUUACUUUCAUGCAAGAGUCAAGGUUUUUCUCUCUAUUCCGUUUUAUUUUUCUCCUUUGGCAAGCAUCAUGUGGUGAGGAAAGAUCUAGGCACAUAUAUCCAGUUGGAUAUGGUUAGCAUGAGUUAUUAUUGUUGACAUCACCCUUGAGGUGAAUACGUUGGGAGGAGAAAUGAUAAGCCCCUAUCUUUCUAUGUGUCUGGUUGAAACGUUUUGCUCAUGUGUAUGCAGUGAGUGUUAGCAAUCAUAUAAGACUAUAUGAUGGUUGAGUAUGUGGAGCUCUUACUUAGACUCUGUUGAAUAAGUAGAAUUGCAAUUGCUUGGUGACUGAGAACAUAGGUUGUUGAGUUUCAAGAGAAUUCAUUGUUUGAACCGUAACAUGUGAAUUGGUUGCUACUAUAACAUGAGAAGUUUCAUAAGAAAGAAUUGCUAAUAUGAUGCUAGGAAAAGUGAUUGAAAUUAUCAUCGAUCAAACCUAUGCACUUUGCUAGCAUUCACUCUAUAAAUAUUUCUUUUAUCAUUUACCUACUCGAGGACGAGUAGGAGUUAGCUUGGGGAUGGUGAUACGUCUCCAACGUAUCUAUAUUGUAUGAAGUAUUCAUGCCAUUAUAUUAUCAUUCUAGGAUUUUUACAAUCAUUAUAUAGCAACUUUAUAUCAUUUUUUUGGGACUAACCUAUUGACCCAAUGCCCAGUGCCAGUUGCUAUUUCUGCUUGUUUUUUAGAUCGCAGGAAAUCAAUAUCAAACGGAGUCCAAAUACCACGACACUUCUUGUGGAUUUUUUAUGGACCAGAAGACAUCCAGUGGGCCAAGGAAGCACCUAGGGGGGUGCCUCGAUGGGAGCAACACCCACCAGGGCGCGCCUGGGGGCCCAGGCAUGCCCAGGUAGGUUGUGCCCACCUCGGGUGCCUCCUGAACCGCCUCUUUUCGCCCUAUAAAUUCCCAAAUAUUCCAAAACCCUUUGGGGUAGACCUAGAUCAGAGUUCCACCACCACAAGGCCUCUGUAUCCACGAGAUCCAAUCUAGACCCCAUUCCAACACCCUGCCGGAGGGGGGAAUCAUCACCGGUGGCCAUUGAGGGAGUCCUGGAUUAGGUGGUCCUCGGACAUCCGAACUAUAUACUUUGGUCGGACUGUUGGACUAUGAAGAUACAAGAUUGAAGACUUUGUCCCGUGUCCGGGUGGGACACUCCUUUGCGUGGAAGGAAAGCUUGGCAAUCCGGAUGUGUAGAUCUCCUUCUCUGUAACCGACUCUGUGUAACCCUAGCCCCCUCCAGUGUCUAUAUAAACUGGAGGGUUUAGUCCAUAGGACAAGAACAAUCAUAAUCAUAGGCUAGCUUAUAGGGUUUAGCCUCUACAAUCUCGUGGUAUAUCAACUCUUGUAAUACUCAUUUCAUCAAGAUCAAUCAAGCAGGAAGUAGGGUAUUACCUCCAUCGAGAGGGCCCGAAUCUGGGUAAACAUUGUGUCCCCCGCCUCCUGUUACCAUUAGCCUUAGACGCACAGUUCGGGACCCCCUACCCGAGAUCCGCCGGUUUUGACACCGACGUUGGUGCUUUCAUUGAGAGUUCCACUAUGUCGUCACGGUAAGGCUUGAUGGCUCCUUCAAUCAUCUGUAACGAAGCAAUCCAGGGUGAGGUUUUCCUCCCCGGACAGAUCUUCGUAUUCAGCGGCUUCAUACUGCGGGCCAACUCGCUUGGCCAUUUGGAGCAGAUCAAUAGCUAUGCCCCUGGCCAUCAGGUCAGGUUUGGAAGCUUGAACUACACUGCCGACAUCCGCGGAGACUUGAUCUUCGACAGAUUCGAGCCCAUAACAGGUGCGCCGUAUAGUGACGAUGAGCAUGACUUAGAUCUGCCAUCAGAUGGUGUUCAGGAGAACACACCUGCAGCUGCCCUGGCCUUAGAUCCGGAGCAGAUCAUGCCAUCCGAGGACGGAUGGAUAGACCCCGCCACAGAGGCCGCACACUCAUCGGCGCUAGAGCUGAUCACAGACAUCACCUCCAAAGAGAUCUGUGUCAUCGGACCCUCGUACUCGUCUCCGGUCAUAGGUUUCGAACCACGUGCAUCCAUGCCUAUCGAAUCUGAUUGGGCACCGAUCAUGGAGUUUACCUCCGCUGAUAUCGUUCAGCACUCACCCUUGGGCGAUGUGCUAAAUUCAUUGAAAUCUCUCUCCAUGUCAGGAGACUCUUGGCCGAACUAUGUCCGGCUUGAGUGGGAAGCGGACGACGAAGAAAUUCGUUCCCCACCCACCACCCACUUAAUAGCCAUUGUCGACGACUUAACCGGCAUGCUUGAUUUCGACUCCGAAGACAUCGACAGUAUGAAUGACGAUACCGGAGAGGAACAAGAACCACCGCCCACAGGGCGCUGGACAACCACCUCAUCAUAUGAUAUAUAUAUAUGGUGGACACCCCCAAAGAAAGCGAUGGCGAUGAUACAACAGAGGAUAAUCCCCUCGAGAAGCAAUCUAAGCACCGGCGUCAUCGGCGCCACUCUAAGCCUCGCCAUAGCAAAAAUAACAAUACCGGCACAAGAGACAAUAACGCUCCGGAUAAUGCCGAGGACGAAAACAACCCCACCCAGCCAGGCUUCGAGCAGGCCGGACGGGAGAAUGGGCAAGCUAGCCCCAAGUAACAGGCAAUGGAUGGAGAAUCAGAGGAUGAUAAUUACAUGCCCCUCUCCGAAGACGAGGUGAGCCUCGGCGAUGAAGAAUUCAUCGUGCCUAAGGAUCCCGUAGAGCAGGAGCGCUUCAAGCGCUGACUUAUAGCCACAGCAAAAAGCCUGAAGAUAAAGCAGCAGCAGCUUCAAGCUGAUCAAGAUCUGCUAACUGAUAGAUGGACUGAGGUCCUGGAAGCCAAGGAAUACGGACUCGAGCGCCCAACCAAAAGUUACCCAAAGCGCAGGUUGCUACCUCAACUCGAGGAGGGGCAUUAAAGCCCACACUACUAGUGCAUGAUGUGGCUGACCGGCCACUUCGUGGCCGAGACAAAGCGGAGUAUCAGCUCGAAGUCCAGCCCGCACCCCGUCACCAAACAAGCAAAAACAUGAAGGCCUGGGGCUCCACACAUGACCUGCGAGACAAAUUGGAAAACAAAGCAGGACAGUCAAGAUCGAUCUAUGGAUCACGGGGGCGCGCCCCAACACAUGACGAUGACCGUCACACCGGAUAUGCUAAAUACAAAUCCGGCCGGGCCGAAUACAACAGAUCAGACUCGUUUGAGCUGCGUCGUGAUGUAGCCCGGCAUAGAGGCACCGCACACCCCCUAUGCUUCACUGAUGAAGUAAUGGAUCAUGAAUUCUCAGAAGGGUUUAAGCCCGUGAACAUUGAAUCAUAUGAUGGGACUACAGACCCCGCGGUAUGGAUAGAAGAUUUCUUUCUCCACAUUCACAUGGCCCGCGGGGACGACCUACACGCCAUCAAAUACCUCCCAUUAAAACUCAAGGGACCGACUCGGCAUUGGCUGAAUAGCUUGCCGGCAAACUCCAUCAGAAGUUGGGAGAACCUGGAAGACGCAUUCCUGGAUAACUUCCAGGGCACGUAUGUGCGACCACCGGAUGCUGACGAUUUAAGUCACAUAACCCAACAACCCGGAGAGUCAGCCAGGAAAUUCUAGACUCGGUUCCUAACUAAAAAGAACCAAAUCGUCGACUGUCCGGAUGCUGAAGCCCUAGCGGCCUUUAAGCAUAAUAUCCAUGACGAGUGGCUUGCCCGACAUCUCGGCCAAGAAAAGCCGAAGUCCAUGGCAGCCCUCACGACACUCAUGACCCGCUUUUGUGAGGGCGAGUAUAGCUGGUUGGCUCCUAGCAACAACACAGCAAGCAAUCCUGGCACAUCAGAGGCCAGAGAUAGCAACGGCAAGCCCCGACGCAACAAACACAAGCGUCGCAAAAAUGGUGACAACACCGAAGACACGGCAGUCAAUGCCGGAUUCAGUGGCUCUAAGUCCGGUUAGCGAAAAAAGCCAUUCCAAAAGAACAAUUCGGGCCCGUCCAGUCUGGACCGCAUACUUGAUCGUCCAUGCCAAAUUUGUGGCACGCAGGAAUACCAACCAAUCAUACCAACAGAGAAUGUUGGGUCUUCAAACAAACCGGCAGGUCAGGUGCCGAAAACAAGGAGAAAGGGUCCCAAAGCGAUGACGACGAUGAGGAGCCCCGAUCACCAAACAAAGGAGGGCAAAAGAAAUUUCCCCCGCAAAUCAAAACGGUGAAUAUGAUAAACGCCAUCCACAUUCCCAAACUGGAAUGGACGUGCACUCUUAGGGAUGUCGACUUAACGGAGCCAGUCGCCCCACAAUAUAAACUAUGGCCAAUCACUUUUGAUCGUACGGAUCGUCCAGCCAAUAGCAAUCAGGGAAAUUCAGCCGCAUUCAUCGUUGACCCAAUAAUCCACCUCACACGAGUCCUUAUGGACGGAGGCAGCAGUCUAAACCUGCUGUAUUAGGACAAAGUGCGCAAGAUGGGUAUUGAUCAUUCGAUGAUUAAGCCCACUAAAAUCACCUUUAAAGGUGUUAUACCAGGUGUGGAGGCCCGUUGCACAGGCUCCAUCACUCUGGAGGUAGUCUUCGGAUCAUCGAACAAUUACCGUACCGAAGAGUUAGUCUUCGACAUCGUCCCUUUCCGCAGUAAUUAUCAUGCACUGCUUGGACGAACCGCAUUUGCUCGAUUCAACACGGUGCCACACUACGCCUAUCGUAAGCUCAAGAUGCCCGGUCCGCAUGGCGUCAUAACAGUUAAUGGCAAGGCCGAACUCCACCUCUGCACAGAAGAGUGUACAACCGUCUUAGAAGCAACGAAAGGCAUCUUUCAAUCGAACCUCGAGUCGAUGGCCAAUCUCCCGAACACCGUCAAGGGAGUCUGAUCUACUCUGCGGCAGGAUAGCCUGGCUCGUCCGGAGCUCAACUAAAACACUCUGUAGCACAUAAAUUUCCUUUUUGCACUAUCUUUGCAGGUCCACUUUUGCGUAGGCCAGGACUGGCGGCAUGGAAACAACUCGAAUGCAUAAGGGAAUCCUUAGAGAUGCCCCUUGAUGACCAUACGGUUACACUCUGGAUCCGCACACAGCCUCCUCCCGCUUGAUCUCAGCAGGUUCCGAAGUCAUAUCGCUUUUUAUCACAUUACCUGUACUCAUACGCAUCAACGUGUUAUUCAAUGACAACAUGUGGCUUUAUAUGAUGCUCAUCUGCUGUUGUUUCUUAUCGACACUCUUUGUCAAAUGGCAUCUCUACAUCGCGAUAUGCCUUAAUAUGCCAGGGGCUUCAUUGUACCCAUAACACGGCAAUAAAGUCCCGACCACCAUCACGGUCGUUCGGCACCCCGAACUUAUAGCAUUAUAUGCUUCAGCUCCAAAUCAUGUCUUGGGUCAAUAGUUGGGUUUGCCCGGCUCCUAUGUUUUGCUGCCUUACGUUCCGCUAUAUCGGCUAGGGCGGCACAGGGAGAACUACUGCGAUUGUGUCCCGGUUCUUCCGGACGAGCGCCUUAGUAGAGAAAGCUGAAAGCUGACUGUCAUGAUACGGCGAGAGCUGGUCAGCUGUUCGAGAGGUUGUAAAAUCUUUAAGGAUUUCUUCCGCAUAAUGCCAUAACCAAUGUAGCGUGCGAUGGAUCGGCUUUUCUUCCGAUCAGGCGCUUAUAGAGCCCCUCGUGCGGUCUUCCGAACACCAGGGGCUGCGCCUACCUUCCUUUUGUUAAACUCCUAUGGCUAAGUGAGAGCGAUAAAGCCCUAUAGUCCGAUUGCCUAGUUCGUUGUGCUGAACACCUCCUUCAAGGACCCAAAACUAGGAUAAAGAGUGCUCAGGUUUAUCUCGAACACCCCCGUACUUCCUACGUGGGGGCAGAAGCCGACGACUGGCCAACUCUCAGGAUUAAUAUAUAAAAUGGCCACGCAGGAGGGAAAACUUUCAAAUAACAGGCAAUAAACAAUAGAAAUGACCUUGUUCAACAUUACAAAGGACAACAUGACUGUAUUCAUGCAAAUAUAAUGUCCUUGGUGCAUUGCUCCGCCGCAAGGCGGGAUCCUUUUAGGAUAUUAUCAUAAUAUAAUUCGGGCUUGCGGUGCUCCUUCCCCUCGGGCGGUCCCUCGGUCAUCAUCUUUUUAGCAUCCAUCUUCCCCCAGUGCACCUUUGCGCGGGCGAAGGCCAUUCACACACCCUCAAUACAGACCGACUGCUUGAUGACAUCAAGUCGAGGGCAGGCACUCACAAGCCGCUUCACGAGCCCGAAGUAGCUGCUUGGAAUCGGCUCGGCGAGCCAUAGCCGGAUAAUUAAAUCCUUCAUGGCUAGUUCGGCCGCCUUAUGCAGUUCGAUCAACUGCUUCAGCUGAUCGGCAAGUGGCACCGGAUACACCGGCACCAGAUACUACGACCAGAAGAGCUUCUCCGCAGUGCUCCUUUCUUCAGCUCAAUAGAAUUGUGCGGCAUCAGAUAUGCUGUGUGGCAGCUCCGCAAAUACCCCUGGAGAAAUCAGAAUUCAAAUUAUCAACUUGAUUUUCUCCUUUUAAAUACCCGCUUUGUAUAGAAAAAGCCUUACCAGCCGCAAUCUUCCUCGCCUCCUGGAUUUCCUUCAGGGCACCUUGGGCUUCCCCCCGGGCAUCACUUGCGGCUUGGCGAGCUUGGGAGAGUUCGGAUUCUUUCCCUGAUAAACUCUGCUCCAAGGUCUCGCAUUUAUCCACGGCCUCUUGAAGUUGUCGCUCAACUUCAAUAACCCUGGCCUCGUGCUUUUCACGACGAGCCUACUCUGUGGUUGCCCUCUUCUCGGCUUCGGCCACAACCUUCUUAAGAGCCUCAAUUUCGGCCGUCGCCCCUAGAGCACAUCAUAAAAAUAUUUUCAUCAUGCAAACUUAUUUAUUUGUGUUGAAUAGGAACAAGGUUUCUGCAUACCUUGGUUAUCCUCCAACUUCUUCUUCUCUCGGCCGAGUUCCCCUUCGGCCCGCUCAGACUCUGCCUCAGUCCGGAGACUUCCGCAGUUUGAGAGGAGGCCAUUGCUACAGACGCCUGCUUUUAAAUAAAAGAGAGAUGACAUAAAGUGAGUCUCCUGCGAACACUUAUUUGAUCCUCUGUUUGGUUCCUUUUUUCACCAAAUAGUGCAUCAGGGGCUACUAUCGAUACUAUGACACUCUUCAAAAUCUCACAAAACAUACCUCUAGGCCCGUUAUAAGGCUAAUGCAGGCUUCAUUCAGUCCACUCUCAGCGGACUGAAUCUUCUCAAUCACCGCACCCAUAAGGGCACGGUGUUCAUCGACGAGGGAGGUGCUUUUAAGCAUCGCCUAUAAAGUAUCCGACACCUCUGGUUGGACAGAGGUUGCCGGUGGAAUAGGCACAACCCCUCCAGCUGAGGGAGGUCGCCUGCCUGCUUCUGGAGCCGUAUUGGUCUCCAGAAAUGUGUCCGGCUGGGGGCCAAAUUUGAGAUAGCCCCCGCCGUCGACGUCCGUGGGAGUCUUCUCUCCCAUGUAUUCGGCCCCCGAAGUUUGACCUCCUGGCACCGCCUUUACGAUCUCCCCCCCCCCUCCUUGGCCUGGGUCCUUCUGGGAUGAAACCUCGGUGUCAUUCACAUGUUUGGGGAAGGGGGCCUUCGGGGGUGUCGCGCUCUCCAUAGCAUCCGAGCCUAGUAAAUCCUUUGACGAGGAUUGUUCGGUGCGGGACCUCGCCGGACUGCAAAAAAGUAUGGCUCAGAUUCAAAUAUUAUGCCAUGAUGAGUCUGGACGCAUAAACAUAUUCGAAUUUUAUAUACUCACGAGUUCACCAGGGACUGGGCCCUGGGAUCCCACUCCGGGCUGCUGUCGGCAGCAGCGGCGGACUCCUCUGGAAGGGGAGUUUUUCCCUUCUUAGGCGACUCGGCCUCCAAAGAUGUGGAGGCCGUCCUUUUCUUUCCUCCCCUCGCCGGGGAUGGGUCUUUCUCCUCCUCCUCGUCCUCUCUGGAGGAAGAUCGGGCAUCAGAGUCUUCGGACAUGGUGUCCGAAGUGCCACGGCGACGAAGGCCGCCCCUAGUCUUUUUGCCCCCCUUCUCGGCCUUCUUCUUCGGCGCCUUGUAAGGUGAUACGUCUCCAACGUAUCUAUAAUUUUUGAUUGCUCCAUGCUACUUUAUCUACUGUUUUAGGCAAUAUUGGGCUUUAUUAUCCACUUUUAUAUUAUUUUUGGGACUAACCUAUUAACCGGAGGCCCAGCCCAGAUUUGUUGUUUUAUGCCUAUUUCAGUGUUUCGAGGAAAAGGAAUAUCAGACGGAGUCAAAACGGAACGAAAUCAACUAGAGAAGUUAAUUUUGGAAGGAAACCCACCUGAUGGACUUGGACUCCACGUCAGAAGAUACGGGAGGUGCUCACGAGGGUGGGGGGCGCGCCCACCCCCCUAGGGCGCGCCCCCCUACCUCAUGGGGCCCCCGAAGCUCCACCGACAUACCCCUUGCACCCAUAUAUACCUACGUACCCUAAAACUUCCAGAACAGAAGAUAGAUAGGGAGUUCCGCCGCCGCAAGCCUCCAGAGCCACCAAAAGCCUCUUGGGAGCCCGUUCUGGCACCCUGCCGGAGGGGGGAUCCUUCACCGGUGGCCAUCUUCAUCAUCCCGGCGCUAUCCAUGAUGAGGAGGGAGUAGUUCACCCUCGAGGCUGAGGGUAUGUACUAGUAGCUAUGUGUUUGAUCUCUCUCUCGUGUUCUCUCUCGUGUUCCCUCUAUGGCACGAUCUUGAUGUAUCCCGAGCUUUGCUAUUGUGGUUGGAUCUUAUGAUGUUUCUCCCCCUCUACUCUCUUGUGAUGAAUUGAGUUUCCCCCUUUGAAGUUAUCUUAUCGGAUUGAGUCUUUUAUGAGAACACUUGAUGUAUGUCUUGGUGAUCAACUUGCGGGUUUCGUGACAUUGGGAACCUAUGCAUAGGGGUAGGCACACGUUCUUUACUCUCCGGUAGUACCUAUGGGGCACUCUUUGAAGUACUUUUAUGUUGGUUGGAUGAAUCUGAGAUUGUGUGAGGCAUAUCGUAUAAUCAUGCCCACGGAUACUUGAGGUGACAAUGGAGUAUCUAGGUGACAUUAGGGUUUUGGUUGAUUUGUGUCUUAAGGUGUUAUUCUAGUACGAACUCUUUUAUAGAUAGAUCCGAAAGAAUAACUUUGAGGUGGUUUCGUACCCUACCAUAAUCUCUAUGUUUGUUCUCCGCUAUUAGUGGCUUUGGAGUGACUCUUUGUUGCAUGUUGAGGGCUUGUUAUAUGAUCUAUCUAUGUUAUUAUUGUUGAGAGAACUUGCACUAGUGAAAGUAUGAACCCUAGGCCUUGUUUCCUAUCAUUGCAAUACCGUUUACGCUCACUUUUAUCGCUCGCUACCUUGCUGUUUUUAUUAUUUCAGAUUACAAAUACCUUUAUCUACCAUCUAUUUUGCACUUGUAUCUUCACCUCUUCGCCGAACUAGUGCACCUAUACAAUUUACCAUUGUAUUGGGUGUGUUGGGGACACAAGAGACUCUUUGUUAUUUGGUUGCAGGGUUGUUUGAGAGAGACCGUCUUCAUCCUACGCCUCCAAAUGUACGCCACAAAAUAGACAAAAUAGAUAUUGCAAGAGCCAUAUGUAUUUAAAAACUAAAGGUUUGCAAGAAAGUCUUGAUGAGUGUGCUAAAAGAUUCAAUAUUUUUCGCGCUCCUUGUGAACUUUGCAAUGAAUGUGGUCGUUUAAAUCUCCAAUGCAAAUUGUUUUAUGAUCAAAUCGUGUCCAAAAAUUGUGAUAGCUUGAUUACCCUUGGGCAUCAUAAAGAGCUUAGUCUUCUUUUGGGGUAUGAAGAAAUGAAAUGUAUAACCGAGGGUAUUCCAAAAUUUAAUCUUGAUAGAUUUCUUGAUUUUGAUCUAGAGGAUAUUUAUUUGUAUUGUGCGGAGAAUUGCAUUGAAAAUCCUUAUAUUGCCAAUUACCUAAAGAUGACGAGAAUGCUAAUGAAAGGGAAGAGACUUCCCAAUAUCCUCCUAUUAUUUCUUAUGAUGAAUCAGGUGACGAGGAGGAGCAUCCUAUUCAACCAAUCUCAUCAAUAAGGAGAUCGAAGAGGAAGGUUGAACCUACACAUAAUGUGAAGAAGAAAAAGAAAAGAAGGAGCAACAAAGGUAGAAAGGUAUCCCUCCGAAAUGAUGUUGCUCCUACUACUCAUUGUUAGGGUGAUAAUUGCUUUACUAUUGGUGCUAUCCAUAUUUUUAAUGAUGAGAGUGAUUAUGCUUAUGAUAUGAAAGAGCCCAAGCUUGGGGAAGCUAUGUUUGAUGAUGAUGAAAUAUUUGAGAAUAUAUUUGCUGAAAUUAAUGUUUGUCCCAAGCUUGGGGAUGCUACGUUUAGUGAGGAUGGUAUUUUUAGUCUCCCAAGUUUUGAUAUACAAAGUAGUUAUGAUGAUAGCAUGCCUCCUACUUAUGAUGAUUAUAUUGAUGAAAGUGGGUUCGGAAGAGUGUCAACUUUAGGAAAUAGUGAUUCCACUAUUUUGGAGGAUGUUGAAUUAUAUUGUGAUGAAUAUGAAAGUGGAUUUGGAAGGGUGUCAACUUUAUUUAGUGAUGAUUCCACUAUCUUGGGAGAGGUUUCAAUCGAUUAUGAUGAGAACGAAGUUGCUACUCAUGAUGAUUAUUGUGAUGAAACUUAUGCUAUAAAAAGUAGUGAUGAUUAUAUUUACAAAUCUUGUCAUGAUUAUGAUUACCCUUUUUCUGAACAUUACUAUUUUAAUGUGGAAACAAUUUUUAGUGUUCAAGUCUCUUAUGAUACUCCCACUAUUCCGAAUGAAAAGAAUUUUGCUUAUGUGGAGAGUAAGAAAUUUUCUAUGCUUGUAGAUCAUGAAAAGAAUAAUUUAGGUGCUGGUUAUAUUGUUGAAUUCAUUCAUGAUGCUACUAAAAAUUAUUAUGAGGGAGGAACUUAUGCUUGUAGGAAUUACAAUAAUGUCAAGCUUCCUCUCUAUGUGUUGAAAUUCUUGAAGUUAUGCUUGUUUUACCCUUCUAUGCUAGUUGAUUAUUGUUCCCGUAAGUUGUUUGCUCAAAAAAUCCCUAUGCAUAGGAAGUGGGUUAGGCUUAAAUGUGCUAGUAAUAUGCUUCAUGAUGCUCCCGUUAUGUCUCAAUUCUUAUCUUUUAUGUGAGCAUCAUUAUCAUCAUCAUGCCUAGCUAGAAAGGCAUUAAAGAAAAGCGCUUGUUGGGAGACAACCCAAUAUUUAUCCUUACUGUUUUUGUGUGUCCACAUGAUUAUGCUACUGUAGUAAUCAUGUUUUAUAGCUUUUGUUUCGAUAAAGUGCCAAGUAGAACCUUUGGGAAGACUUGGGUGAAGUUUAUGUGAUCUUGCUGUGAAAAACAGAAACUUUAGCGCUCACGAGAUUAUCUGCCAUUUUUUACUGGAGAGUGAUUUUAGGUUGAUUAUUUUUGCAUAUGAUUAAUAUACAAAUUACUCAGGUCCAGAAAUUUAUUUCAUAAUUUUUGGGGUUCCAUAAGUAUACGUUUGAUACAGAUUACUACAGACUGUUCUGUUUUUGACAGAUUCUGUUUUCUAUCUGUUGUUUGCUUAUUUUGAUGAAUCUAUGGCUAGUAUGUAAGGGUAUGAACCAUAGAUAAGUUGGAAUACAGUAGGUAUUACACCAAUAUGAAUUUAUAAUGAGUUCAUUACAGUACCUAAGUGGUGGUUUUACUUUCUUUUACUAACGGAGCUUACGAGUUUUGUUUUGAGUUUUGUGUGGUUGAAGUUUUCAAGUUUUGGGUAAAGAUUCGAUGGACUAUGGAAUAAGGAGUGGCAAGAGCCUAAGCUUGGGUAUUCCCAAGGCACCCCAAGGUAAUAUUCAAGGACAACCAAGAGCCUAAGCUUGGGGAUGCCCCGGAAGGCAUCCCCUCUUUCGUCUUCGUUCAUCGGUAACUUUACUUGGAGCUAAAUUUUUAUUCACCACAUGAUAUGUGUUUUGCUUGGAGCGUCAUUUUCUUUUGUUAGUAUUUGGUUGAUGCUAGUUAUAAUAAUGUUUUGCAUCUUUAGUUUCAAUAAAAAAAGUCAAGGAUAGCCUUUGCCAUGCUUAUUUUGCUUGUAUACAUGUUGCUGUUUGAAAACAAAAAGUUUACCGCUGUUGCAAAAAUUCCCUAGAAAAGCCAGAGAAUGGUAUAACGUUGAAUCUUUUUGCAUAUUAAGAUCUGAUUAAUUUAUUUAAUUGGGAAUUUUAGUUCAUAAUUUUUGGAGUCAGGGAAGUAUUGAUACUCUUGCAUUCUUUACAGACUGUACUGUUUUGGCAGAUUGCUAUUAUGUUUGCAUUGUUUGCAUAUGUUUGCUUGUUUAAUGAUUCUAUUUGAUGAUAGGAGUAUUAAACAUGAAGAGACAUUUAUUAUUCAAUGUUGAAUAAUAAUUUAAGUGAUUUGUUACAGUAGAAGAUGAUAUGGUUUUGCAUUGGUUUAUACUAACCUAUCUCACGAGUUCUUUUUGAGUUUGUUGUGAAUGAAGCUUUUGAUAAAAAGAGAAACCAUGAUAUGAGAGGAAUUAAGGAGACACAAAAGCUCAAGCUUGGGGAUGCCCAAGUUACCCCAAGAUAAUAUUUCAAUAAGUAUCAAGCAUCUAAGCUUGGGGAUGCCCCGGUAGGCAUCCCACCUUUCUUCUUCAACAACUAUCGGUUAGUAUCGGUUGAGCCUAAGUUUUUGCUUCUUCACAUGAGUUGUGCUAUCCUUGCAAUGUAGUUUUCUUUAGCUUUUCUUGCUGUUUGAAUAAAGUAUCAAGAUCUGAAAUUAUUAAAUGGGAGAGUCUUCACAUAGUUGCAUAAUUAUUCGACUACUCAUUGAUCUUCACUUAUAUCUUUCGGAGUAGUUUGUCAUUUGCUCUAGUACUUCACUUAUAUCUUUUAGAGCACAGUGGUGGUUUUGUUUUUAAGAAAUAGAUGAACUCUCAUGCUUCGCUUAUAUUAUUUUGAGAGUCUUAAAUAGCAUUCUAAUUUGCUUAAAAUCCUAAUAUGCUAAGCAUAAAAGAUUUGUAAGAAUUUUUAUGAGUGUGUUGAAUACUAAGAAAAGUUUGAUACUUGAUAAUUGUUUUGAGAUAUUGGGGUAGUGAUAUUAAAGUCAUGCUAGUUGGGUGAUUAUGAAUUUAAAGAAUGCUUGUGUUGAAGUUAGAAAGUCCCGUAGCAUGCACGUAUGGUUAAAGUUGUGUGACAAAUUUGAAACAUGAAGUGUACCUGGCUUGUGCAUCCUUAUGAGUGGCGGUCGGGGACGAGCGAUGGUCUUUUCCUACCAAUAUAUCCCCCUAGGAGCAUGCGUGUAGUACUUGGUUUUUGAUGACUUCUAAAUUUUUUCAAUAAGUAUAUGAGUUAUUUUGACUAAUGUUGAGUCCAUGGAUUAUAUGCACUUUUACCUUUCCGUCUUUGCUAGCCUCUUCGGUACCGUGCAUUGCCCUUUCUCACCUUGAGAGUCGGUGCAAACUUCGCCGGUGCAUCCAAACCCCGUGAUACGAUACGCUCUAUAACACAUAAACCUCCUUAUAUCUUCCUCAAAACAGCCACCAUACCUACCUAUCAUGGCAUUUCCAUAGCCAUUCCGAGAUAUAUUGCCAUGCAACUUCCAUCAUCAUAUUCAUGACAUACAUUACUUUUGUCAUAUUGCCAUUGCAUGAUCAUGUAGUUGACAUCGUAUUUGUGGCAAAGCCACCAUGCAUUAUUUUUCAUACAUGUCACUCUUGUUUCAUUGCACCAUCCCGGUACACCACCGGAGGCAUUCAUAUAGAGUCAUAUCUAGUUCUAAGUUUCGAGUUGCAAUCCUUAUGUUGUAAUCAAUAGAAGUGUGAUGACCAUCAUUAUUAGAGCAUUGCCCAAAAAAAGAGAAAGGCCAAAAAAAAGAAGGCCCAAAAAAAAGAGAAAAUAAAUAAAAAAGGCAAUGCUACUAUCUCUUUUUCCACCCUUGUGCUUCAAAGUAGCACCUUGUUCUUCAUGUAGUGAGUCUCGUAAGUUAUCUUUUUUUUAUACUGGUGGGAAUUUUUCAUUAUAGAACUUGGCUUGUAUAUUCCUACGAUGGGCUUCCUCAAAUGCCCUAGGUCUUCAUGAUCAAGAAAGUUGGAUGCACACCCACUAGUUUUCUUUUGUUGAGCAUUCAUAGCUCUAGUGCAUCCGUUGCAUGGCAAUCCCUACUCCUCAUGUUGACAUCAAUCGAUGGGCAUCUCCAUAGCCUGUUGAUUAUCCUCGUCAAUGUGAGACUUUCUCCUUUUUGUCUUCUCCACUCAAUCCCCAUCAUCAUAUUCUAUUCCACCCAUAGUGCUAUAUCCAUGGCUCACGCUCAUGUAUUGCGUGAAGGUUGAGAAAGUUUGAGAUUAUUUAAGUAUGAAACAAUUGCUUGGCUUGUCAUCGGGGGCAUAGAAGUUGGGAACAUCUUUGUGUGAUGAAAAUGAAGCAUAGCCUAACUAUAUGAUUUUGUAGGGAUGAACUUUCUUUUGCCAUGUUAUUUUGAGAAGACGUGAUUACUUUGAUUAGUAUGCUUGAAGUGUUACUAUUUCCUUUAUCAAUAUGAAUCAUUCGGAUCUGAAUAUUCAUAUCACAAGUAAGAAGAAUUACAUUGAAAUUAUGCCAAGUAGCACUCCGCAUCAAAAAUUCUUUUUUAUCAUUUACCUACUCAAGGACGAGCAGGAAUUAAGCUUGGGGAUGCUUGAUACGUCUCCAACGUAUCUAUAAUUUUUGAUUGCUCCAUGCUACUUUAUCUACUAUUUUAGGCAAAAUUGGUCUUUAUUAUCCACUUUUAUAUUAUUUUUGGGACUAACCUAUUAACCGGAGGCCCAGCCCAGAUUUGUUGUUUUAUGCCUAUUUCAGUGUUUCGAGGAAAAGGAAUAUCAGACGGAGUCAAAACGGAACGAAAUCAACUAGAGAAGUUAAUUUUGGAAGGAAACCCACCUGAUGGACUUGGACUCCACGUCAGAAGAUACGGGAGGUGCUCACGAGGGUGGGGGGGCGCCCCCGAAGCUCCACCGACGUACCCCUUGCACCCAUAUAUACCUACGUACCCUAAAACUUCUAGAACAGAAGAUAGAUCGGGAGUUCCGCCGCCGCAAGCCUCCAGAGCCACCAAAAACCUCUUGGGAGCCCGUUCCGGUACCCUGCCGGAGGGGGGAUCCUUCACCGGUGGCCAUCUUCAUCAUCCCGGCGCUAUCCAUGACGAGAAGGGAGUAGAUCACCCUCGAGGCUGAGGGUAUGUACUAGUAGCUAUGUGUUUGAUCUCUAUCUCUCUCGUGUUCUCCCUCGUGUUCCCUCUAUGGCACGAUCUUGAUGUAUCCCGAGCUUUGCUAUUGUAGUUGGAUCUUAUGAUGUUUCUCCCCCUCUACUCUCUUGUGAUGAAUUGAGUUUCCCCUUUGAAAUUAUCUUAUCGGAUUGAGUCUUUUAUGAGAACACUUAAUGUAUGUCUUGGUGAUCAACUUGCGGGUUUCGUGACAUUGGGAACCUAUGCAUAGGGGUUGGCACACGUUCUUGACUCUCCAGUAGUAGCUUUGGGGCACUCUUUGAAGUACUUUUAUGUUGGUUGGAUGAAUCUGAGAUUGUGUGACGCAUAUCAUAUAAUCAUGCCCACGGAUACUUGAGGUGACAAUGGAGUAUCUAGGUGACAUUAGGGUUUUGGUUGAUUUGUGUCUUAAGGUGUUAUUCUAUUACGAACUCUUUUAUAGAUCGAUCCGAAAGAAUAACUUUGAGGUGGUUUCGUACCCUACCAUAAUCUCUACGUUUGUUCUCCGCUAUUAGUGGCUUUGGAGUGACUCUUUGUUGCAUGUUGAGGUCUUGUUAUAUGAUCUAUCUAUGUUAUUAUUGUUGAGAGAACUUGCACUAGUGAAAGUAUGAACCCUAGGCCUUGUUUCCUAUCGUUGCAAUACCAUUUAUGCUCACUUUUAUCGCUCGCUCCCUUGCUGUUUUUAUUAUUUCAGAUUACAAAUACCUUUAUCUACCAUCUAUUUUUCACUUGUAUCUUCAUCUCUUCGCCGAACUAGUGCACCUAUACAAUUUACCAUUGUAUUGGGUGUGUUGGGGACACAAGAGACUCUUUGUUAUUUGGUUGCAGGGUUGUUUGAGAGAGACCAUCUUCAUCCUACGCCUCCUACGGAUUGAUAAACCUUAGGUCAUCACUUGAGGGAAAUUUGCUACUGUCCUACAAACCUGUGCACUUGCAGGCCCAACAACGUCUACAAGAAGAAGGUUGUGUAGUAGACAUCAUAAGGCGCUGGGACCAGCAUCUUCGUCAGAAGUGGGUCGGACGUAUCUUCUGGCAGAGGGGCCGGAUAGUAGAUCCGCCCCACCUUCUUUGUCCAUCCCUAGGAGAGUUGUGGAAAACACAUUAAGCAUUUUCGUCAGGAUAUGCGAAUAAAACAUAUGAAUUGCCAACAUACAAUGACUUACCAAACUUGCAGGGCGGGACAGUUGGUACCCACAGUCCUCGGCGGAGUCCGGCCACGAUUUGCUGGACUUAAAGAGCACCUUCCAAAUGUCCUUAUGCAAGGAGCCAAAGAGCUCGAGCAGGGUCUGGUGCUUGGCCGGGUCGAAUUCCCAUAAAUUGCAAGCCUUGUGUUGACAAGCAAGAAUCCGGCGAACUAACAUCACCUGGACUACAUUGACAAGUUUGAUAUUCUUGUCUUCCAUAUCCUUGACGCGCGUCCGGAGCACCGACAGUUUGUCGGACAAGACCAGUUCAGGCCCUUUUUGGGCCAGGACGUAAGCCGCAGGGGGCUCCGGAUCUGAAUUCAGGAGUAGCGGCCCAUUCCGUGCUGCGCGGCUCAGUGAUGUAAAACCACAGCUGCUGCCACUCUUUGACGGAAUCAUUGAAAGUACCUGCUGGCCAUGUGACAUUGGGCAUCUUGCUCACCAUGGCACCUCCGCACUCGGCAUGCUCGCCGCUCACUACCUUGGGCUUCACAUUAAAGAUCUUCAAUCAUAAGCCGAAGUGUGGCGAGAGGCGGAGAAAGGCCUCACACACGACGAUGAAUGUCGAGAUGUUGAGGAAGGAAUUGGGGGAUAGAUCAUGAAAAUCGAUCCCGUAAUAAUACAUGAUGCCGCGAACGAAUGGCCCACGGACAAAAUGAGGGAGGAAUAGAACCCUCUCGUGUGGUUCUAGAGUGGGGACAAUUUGUCCCGCUGUCGGAAGACGGUGGCUAAUUUUCUUGGCCAAAUACCCGGCCUCCCAAAGCUUUUUGAUAUCCUUCUCCCGGACGGUAGAGGCCAUCCACUUGCCUCCUGUUCCGGAUCCGGACAUUUUCGGAAGGCCUUUGUGGGCGGAGAAGACGAACUCUUGGGUGCUGGAGCUCGAGCAAGGGGGAAUGGAUGAGAAGAGGAAGAAGAAGGCGUGGGCGAAAGAGGGGAGUCCUUAUCUCCUUAUAAAGGCAGCAGGGGAUCCUGCGCCUCCCCACUUGCCCGGUAAACUCGCUUAUUCCCCAAGCGUCGCGUUGAUGGCGCGGUUGGGUUACCCACACCCGUAUUGAUGAGAAUCCCGUGAUAAGGAGACACGAUCUCUGCUUCGACAAGACGUGCCAAGGAAAACGCCUCACGAUAUGUGCGGUAGCAGGUUGGAAAAAAGGUUUGCAUAAUGACCGGACCACAUCGUAAUGUCACGCUGUGAAAAGUUGUCAGCAGAUUAGAUUUGUGGAAUAUUCUACUCUCUACAGUGGUAUGUGGAACUUGUUUUGCGGAGCUGGACACGAUCCUUGUGUUUAAAAUCUUCUAUGGAAUAUUCGGAGAAGGAACCCGCCUUGCAAUGCCGAAGACAAUCUGUGCGCCGGACUCAUCGUCAUUGAAGUCUGGUUCAGGGGCUACUGAGGGAGUCCUGGAAUAGGGGGUCCUCGGACAGCCGGACUAUAUACUUUGGCCGGACUAUUGGACUAUGAAGAUACAAGAUUGAAGACUUUGUCCCAUGUCCGGGUGGGACUCUCCUUUGCAUGGAAGGCAAGCUUGACAAUCCGGAUAUGUAGAUCUCCUUCUCUGUAACCGACUCUGUGUAACCCUAGCCCCCUCCGAUGUCUAUAUAAACUGGAGGGUUUAUUCCGUAGGACAAGAACAAUCAUAAUCAUAGGCUAGCUUCUAGGGUUCAGCCUCUACGAUUUUGCGGUAGAUCAACUCUUGUAAUACUCAUAUCAUCAAGAUCAAUCAAGCAGGAAGUAGGGUAUUACCUCCAUCGAGAGAUCCCGAACCUGGGUAAACAUUGUGUCCGCCGCCUCCUGUUACCAUUAGCCUUAGACGGACAGUUCGGGACCCCCUACCCAAGAUCCACCGGUUUGGACACCGACAGCCAUCUUCAUCAUCCCGGCGGCCACCAUGAUGAGGAGGGAGUAGUCCACCCUCGGGGUUGAGGGUUUGUACCAAUAGCUAUGUGUUUAAUCUCUCUCUCUCUCUCUCUCUCUCUCUCUACCGUGUUCUUGAGAUGUCACGAUCUUGAUGUAUCGCGGGCUUUGUUAAUAUAGUCGGAUCAUACUGUGUUUUCCCAUCUCUAUCUUGUUGUGAUGAAUUGAGUUUUUCCCUUUGAGAUUUCGUUGUUAUUGGAUUGAGUACUUUUAUGCAUUUGAGAACACUUGAUAUAUGUCUUGCAAUUGAAUACUCGUGGUGACAAUGGGGUAUCGUAUUGAUUUACUUGAUAUAUGUUUUGGCACUCAACUUGCGGAAUCCCGAGGUGACAUUGGGGUAAUUGAUGCAUAGGGGUUGAUGCAAGUUCUUGUCUUUGUUUCUCUGGUAGAAAUCUUGGGGCACUCUUUGAAGUUCUUUGGGUUGGAUUGAGUAUUAUGAAUAUGAAUUUGCUUUGGUGUUAUUUUACUACGAACUCUAGGAUAGAUUGGACGGAAAGAAUAGAUUUGUGUUAUUUUAGUACGAACUAUUGAAUAGAUCGAACGGAAAGAGUAGCUUUGAGGUGGUUUCGUACCCUACAAAUAAUUUAUUCUUAUGUUCUCUGCUAGAUAGGAACUUUGGAGUGAUUCUUCAUCGCACUUUGAGGGAUGGUUAUAUGAUCCAAUUAUAUUAGCAUUGUUGAGAGAUUGCACUAGCGAAGUAGGGACCCUAGGCCUCAUUUUACAUCAUUGCAAUACCAUUUGUGCUCUGUUUUAUCGUUUACUACCUUGCUGUUUUUAUUGUUCGCACUACAAAAACUCAUAUCUACUAUCCAUACUACACUUUUAUCAUCAUCUCUUCGCCGAACUAGUUCACCUAUACAAUUUGCCAUUGUAUUGGGUGUGUUGGGGGACACAAGAGAUUUCUUGUAUUUGAUUGCAUGGUUGCUUGAGAGAGACUAUCUUCAUCCUAUGCUCCCACGGAUUGAUAAACCUUAGGUCAUCCACUUGAGGGAAAAUUGCUACUGUCCUACAGACCUCUGCGCUUGGAGGCCCAACACGAGUCUACAAGAAUAAAGUUGCAUAGUAGACAUCACAUAUUGAAAGGACUCCCGAUGGACACUCUAUUGUCGUAUGGACGUGUGCACGGCGUCGGAGACGGCACCACGUGGAAGAAGUACUACCGUGAGACCACAGAGGAAAGAAAGGAAAGACGAAGGUUAAAUGAAGAAAACAUCCGCAAGAAGGUUGCUGUCGCAAAACAGGAGGUUGCAGCUUCGUAUAGUGUCUUGGUUCCGGCUAUCGACAGUUGGACCAAGAAAAAUACAAAUAAGGAUGCAGCGGACUUUCCCCUUUCCAACUUCUUGGGGAGGAGCUCCACUAGCGUUGCACCAGCACCUGCUACCGCACCUGCUUCUACAGUGGCUCCCGCACAUGCUCAUAACAGCCUGUCCUCCUUCUCGGAAGUGCUCGACGGUGCUUCGUCUUUAGCUGAGCUCGACGUCCUCACGGUACCUGUCACAACGACCCUCUUCAAUAUAUGUAUAAUCUCCCGUUUCCAUCGCCUUUUAGAUGCCUCACGUUGCAUACAUGUCUUUGCAGGCCGAUGUAACCCCGUGUACCAUACUUUACACCAUUAGCGGCCCGAAGCUGGACGUGGGGAAGGCGGCGAUAAUGCAGCCGAAGGAAGAAUUGUUCCACAACCGACCGAUCCCCCUGACGUCUUCAAGGUUUCCGUGGCCAGUGUUGAACCGGGCCACGAGAAUUUGGCUCCUCCGGUAGCACUAGGGGGAGAUGACGAUGAGACCCCGCGGCGGCUUGGCGAUUGCAAUCGUUGGGUCCUGUUGUGGCCGAAGAGUCUGCUUCGUGUAGAGGCGGCCGGGAGCACACCCACGACCAAGCAACCUCAGCAAGGUGUGAACACCAACACCCCACCUACCAAAUUAGCGUCUCCUAUUGUGCCGGGUGAGGAAGAGGCUCCAGUAAUGGCUGAUGAUGUCACCACCGUAGAAGAAGCAAUGCAUGAUGCCAUCGACGAGGAUGACGAUGACCCUCUAUAGUAUCUCCAUACCGGCACCUCUAACGAUGGAGGAUUGAUGGCUUAGCAGUAUGAGUAAUCAGGGUUUGAGAGUGAUGAGUUGGUGCCUGAAUUGCUGGAGGAUGAACGCAUUAUAGGCUCACUUCUAGUAGGAAAGAAGCAUAGGAAGAGAACGAUGAAAGCCAACAAAGCUCCUUCUAUGAUCUAGCAGGCUCGGGAUAAAGACUGUAUCCCUAUCCCCGAUGCGGCAAAAUGUCAUAUCCCCGGUGAUCCGAUUCUACCUAAGGCAGCGGUAGAGGGCAUAUACGACGAUCUAAGGAGACUUCAUGACGAUGUGCUGUAGAGAGAGAAAAGCCUUGUACAUGGUUAUCGUGCGGCAGCAAAGGUUGUACGUCAACACAUUCCCCACGGAAAAGUUCUUCCUUCGAUUCAAUUACAUCUUCGACAUGUUUCACUUGAAAAAGCUGGAUUUUACGUUUGUUCGCCUUUUUGCCUUGCACAUGAACCACUUCAUCAGGAUUGAGCAGAUACCUUAUAUCUGUGUCACUGACCCAUACUUCAUGCACGAGGGCUUCUUGGCAGUCUGUCCAGAGCACCGUGAAUAUGUGAGUAACUACAUCACCGAUUUCAUGGUCACCAAUAAGGACAAGGAGACGAUUCUCGUGCCUUAUCAUCCCAUAUAAGUCAUCCGCGGAUAUCUUUCCUUCGAUUUCAAUCAUUCAUUUGCACGCGUGGAGGCUAAUUUGAGGUGUACUUAUUUUGCGCAGCGACGGGCGCACCGUCCUCAUCAUCCUUUACCCCCGAUUCUCCCACGCUCUUUACUUGGACUCAUCGAAGAACAUGAAGAAAAAGGAUUACACCCACAUCAAGUUUGUUCUCGACAGUGCUAUCUUGAGCUAUGGCCUACGGGGUGGAGAGAUCAAGACCAGGAAGUCAAGGAACCACACGCCCGCCUUCGGCCAUAAGACCGACUUCUGCUGCAUCCAGCAACCGAGUGGUACUAUUAGUGAUGGGUUUUAUGUCCUCCACCACAUGCUGGAGUACAGAAGGGAACAACAAAACCUUCGCGUGUCACCUAGAUCCGGCGAUGCCCAUAUUCUAUAAUAGGCAAAGAACAUAGGAGAUAUCCCAGAUCAUCGACUUCGAGCUGAGUUCUAUCACGUCCAGCGUGAACUUGCCCAAAUCAUCAUGAAGGAGGUCAUCAAAAAAACAGGGAUGUUCUACGAAGAAGGGCAAAUGUCGCGGGAAGACAUCGGAACACGCGUAUCGGCUCAGUGUCUUGACCUGAAGCCUUUCACUAUGCUAAGGGACUAUCUCCCUGACUUGGAUGGAUGGCAUGACAUGUUGGAGUGAUUGACGAUAUAUGACAAAGUGUCCAUUUAGUCCUUUGUUUCUCUAGACGAAACUUUGAGUUAUGCACAACGAAACUUUAUUUGUGAUGUAAUUAAACCGUCCUCCUCAACUGGCAAAGUUCACUCUAGUUACGGCACUUUGGGUACAAUGAACUUUGUUAUUUAUGCUUAUGAUAUGUUACUUCUAUUUUUGCCAAGUCUGACUCUUUCUGUUGCUCAACUAUAUAUGUUGCAUAUCAUCGACUCAUGUGACAAUGCAGGUGCAUAGAUCAUCGAUGGCGAAGAAGUGCUACGCCAAGAGUAUACGAAGAGUGGCCGGAGUGUCAUGCCCAAGUGUACCGGUUUUUGAGCGAUAGCCAGUAGUUAGUUUAGGUUCACGCUAGUGCGAGAGAGGGAUAUGAACCGACGCCUCAAGAAGUACUACAUUAUGUAUGAUGAGACAUGUCAUGUAACUUGUAGCUACAUCAUGAUUAUGAUGUGAUGACAUGAUUUGUGUUGGAUGAUAUGAUGAGACUAUUAUGUGUAUGAUAUGAUGAGCAUAUUGCAUGUUUAUGAUAUGAUUAGAAUAUUGUAUAAAACCUGUAAAAAACAUCGCAAAUAUGCAAAAAUAUAUAUAUGAGAAAAUAUAGUAGUAGCGCUCUUUAGCGCUGGACAAGAAAACACUACUGCUAAAGCACUUAGCAGUAGCGCUGGUAUGGAAAGCGCUACUGCUAAGUAGGUAUAGCAACAGCACGUGUCAAACUGCGCUACUGCUACAUGUUAGCUGUAGCACCAUAUCAGUAGAGCGGUUCCCCGCGCUACUGAUAGCCCUUAGACCCGCGCUACUACUAGGCUUUUCCCUUUGUUUUCGUGGAUAGAUAAGUAUGUAAGUGUUGUUUUUAACUUUUUCCUUGGUUUCUCUUGUAAAUAUUUUUGCUUCCUUUUGUUUUCAUGGAAUCAAGGACUAUAGAGCUGUUGCUCCAUAGUAGUUACAAAAACCCUAGGUUUUUCUUUAUUUUCACUAGUACCAUUACAAUCCUUCACAAAUAGCUCAGGCAAAAGUUCCAUAAUAAGUAUUGAAUGCUGUCGCUAUAUCGAGUUCAGUUAGAUUCUUAUUAUACUGACCAACAAAACUUCUUUAGCAAGGGUCUAUGAGAAGAAUAUGUUUCAUGAGACUGGCUUUUCUACUCCCGGGGGUCGGGAUACCCUACUAUCCCGUUCGUUCGUUGUACUUGUCUUGCCUCGCGAUCCGUACCCUGGUCUGCCAUCCUAUUUUGAUUUGCAGGCCUAGGUGUACAGUAAUAGGAGCAUCUCUGAUAUGACGUCGUACAUACACACUGAGCCAUCUGCACCUGUGUGCGGGAUACAUAUUGUUUAGCAUAAAAUUUUCUCUUCACAUGCAAAAAGUGUUCUGUCGUUCUGCUAGCCUGGUCGACCACUGUUGACGUUUGGGAUUCAAACCUGUGCGGAGCAUAAAUCUACUGCAAGUAACUAUUUGUCAUAAGUCUACGCCGUGUGAAGCAUCUUGCUAGUAGCAUUUUUGACUUAUUAGUUACGGUCAACUACAGGUAACACAGUAACUAGUCUAGGGAAGUGGGUCCGUCCCAUAGGGUGACGGUUGGCUCUCGUCCGGGAUUUCUGGAGGCGAUCAGGGAGGCGAUCACGUCCGUGUCUUGCCGGGCUAGGGUUCUUCGAGAUCCGUCGUGCUAGGUCUCCCUGGCGUUCUUUGCGCCGGUGUGAGCCCAUCCAAAUCCGAGUCCUGUCCACCAUACUCCUUCUCCGCGUGGCCCUAGGGCGCAGGGUCGUAAAACACUUUUCCUAGGAGGUGCUUGGAGGGAGCAGGAGGGUAGUCAUGGCGGUGGAGGGAGUAGCUGGGCUGAUGAAGGGGUUGAAGUUGACGGAGGAGGAGAAGAAGGGAGUCAAGGUUCGAAUCUCAUCCGUGGGGAAGGGCAAGGAGUCGGCUCCGCAGGCUGUUGGCAAGGUAAUGUCAGAAAAAUUGGCGCACCGAGACGCGAUCUGCCUCUCUCUUGGCAAGGUUUGGUGCCCGAUUAAAGGGAUCGACUGCAGGGAGAUUGGGGCCAACCAGUUCCUAUUCACUUUCCACCAAGAGUCGGGGAAGCAUAAGGCGAUCGAGGAUGGACCAUGGAUGUUUGCUAAGGAGCUGGUAGUGGUUGAGGAUUAUGUGCCCAAUAAAAGGCCAGAAGACUACGCUCACAACAACAUCCCCAUCUGGGUUAGGGUUUAUAACCUACCCCUCGGUAUGAUGAACGAAGAAGCUGCAAAGGACAUAGGGAACACCAUAGGCGUGUAUGUGGAGGCAGAUACUAGACCAGAUGGGAAAGCUUUUGGAAGGUUUCUUAGAGUCAAAAUCAGGAUGCAGAUCGAUAAGCCAUUGAUGAGGGGUUUUACCCUAGAUGAAGAAGCUGUAGGGGGAGAGGAAGGGGACAAUGGGAAGGCCGACAUGGUGAGUAGUGAUGGCGAGGAGGAGAAGGGCUGGUGUCGGUUGGAGUAUGAGUUCUUGCCGGAUUUUUGCUAUACUUGUGGGACUAUCGGCCAUGGAGACAAAGAUUGUACCAUCAAACUUAUGAAGGGAGAGCAAGCCCAAUUUGGUCGAUGAUUGAGAGCGGAUGUAGGCCAACGUAGAGGGGGAAUGGAGGAGAGGCUAUGGAGGGAUGGAGGGAGAGGUUUAAGCGGAACCCGUAACUUUGGCUUUAGUAGAUCGAGCGGGAGAUCUAGUGGAGGAAGUGAUAGUCUAUCUUGGAGGAAGAAUGACUCUCGGUCGGGUGGAGGGGAGGAAGAGAAGAAUGGGAAGAGUGGGAAGGAGGAUGAAGUUACUAGCCCGAUCAAAAAAUUUCUGUUACUGUUGAAAAAGGAGCCGCGAGGAAACUAGUGCUUGACCAGAGCGCAAUGGUGGUACAUGCUGGCUCGGGAAGUCAGAUAGAGAAGGCCAUAGCCAAAUCUGAUGUUCAUGGCGAGGCUUCGCAGGAGGGGGUGAAGGUACUCGGCGGCUGGUUAUGAAUAAGGAGGCGAGUGGCAGUGACAAACUUCCAGGUGGUAAGAAGUACAGGAAGAAAGGCAGGGAGGGCAGGGAGAGGGUCGUAGGUGGGGAAGGCCAGAGGGUGGUUGCGAUCUCAGGAGAGAAGAGGGACAUAACUAAUGAAGAAGAAGAAAAGCUCAGUAAGAAGGGAAGGGUUCAGGAGAUGAGUCAGGAGGGUAACCUGGCGACGGACACCGCAACGAUCGCUGCUAAUGAAAUCACAUCAGCCGAGCUGCAGGAGCAGUCCUGCCGGGAGCUAUGAAACUGAUCGGAUGGAACAGUCGGGGGCUUGGGAAUGGCCCGACAGUUCGCAGCCUCCUCGACUUGGGGAGGGCGGAGGAUCCCGACGUUCUGUUUUUGGCGGAUACGAAGCUAUCGGUGAAGGAGUUGGAGAGGUUCCGUUGGUCAUUGGGUAUGGUUAACAUGUCUGCAUGGAACCCAGUGGGGAGGAGUAGAGGGGUGGCGCUGUUUUGGAGGAGAGGGUUGGAUGUUGCCUUAAGAUCUUAUGGUCGGAGGCAUGUGGAUGUGGAUAUCACGGAAGAAGAUGGUCGGGUCUGGAGGUUAACAGGAAUAUAUGGUGAAUCUGAAUCGGAAUGCAAGGUGGAGACGUGAAGGCUCUUAAAAAUCCUUGGACAGCAACACCAGGACGGACGCCCCUGGCUUUGUUGGGGUGAUUUCAAUGAAAUCCUAACUUGUGAUGAGAAAAUUGGUGGGGCUGACCGAAGUCAAAGACUUAUGGAUAAUUUCAGAGAGGCGCUCGAGGCGUGCGACCUUAGUGACUUGGGAUAUGAGGGAGAUAGAUUUACGUGGAGGAACCACAGCAAGAGGGUGGAUACAUAUAUUUGUGAAAGGCUUGAAAGAGCGACAGCAAAUGCAUCUUGGUGCAAGUGGUUUCCGGAGUUCACAGUCAUAAACGGCUCUCCACGACACUCCGACCACCGACCGGUUAUCGUAUGUACACAAGGCGCUAUCAGGAGGCAGGGGGGAGGAGAUUGUAGUUUCCGUUUCGAAGCGUGGUGGCUCCGGGAGGAAGGGUGUAGUGCGGAGGUGCAGGGGGCAUAGGAGGAAGGUUGUAUGAUGGGCCAUGGGAAUGUGGCUUCUGCCAUGAAGAAUGUGGCUGGUAGGAUGAGGAGAUGGGGUAAGGAAGUGGCGGGAGAGCUUGAAGGAAGACUUAGGGAUACUAGGAGAGCAUUGGAGAGAUGCAUGAGGGCACCGGUCUCGGCAGAAAAAGUGAGGGAGGAAGGGAGGCUGCGAGGAUUGCUGGAGGAGCUGGAAGGCAAGAAGAACACCAAAGCUAGGCAGCAUUCACACGCCACGUGGCUGAAGGAUGGAAAUAAGAGCACAAAGUAUUUCAUGGCUGUAGCUUCUGCAAAACGGAAGGCGAAUAGAAUCAAGAAGUUGAGGAGGGAAGAUGGCAUGGAAGUGAAGGAGGGGAGGAACUAAAUGACUAUGUUUGCUCUUUUUCCAGGACCUUUUCACUACCGCCGGAGUCAACCGUUUUUCUGAACUUAUUGAUAAAGUUCAGCCCCGUCUUACGGCAGCUAUGAGGGCGAUUCUGGAGGCAGAAGUUACCAGGGAAGAAAUUAAAGAAUCCCUUGAUCACAUAGGGGACCUUAAAGCCCCUGGGCCGGACGGCAUGCCCUCGGUGGUCUAUAAGAAACAUUGGCAUUUCAUGGGGGAGAAAGUUAUAGAGGAGGUCAUGGCUGUUCUCAAUGGUGGGGCCAUGCCGGAGGGAUGGAAUGAUACAACUGUGGUCCUGAUUCCUAAAGUGAAAUGCCCAAGCAGGAUCAAGGAUCUCCGGCCGAUAAGCUUAUGCAAUGUUAUAUACAAAUUGGUCUCUAAGGUCAUCGCCAACCGUCUCAAAAUUAUUCUCCCAGACAUUAUCUCUUCCAACCAAAGCGCCUCUUUGUCCCCGGGAGAAUGAUAACGGACAAUGUUCUAGUGGAGUAUGAACGGUCACACCAUCUCCUUAAUAAGAAGAGAGGAAAAGAGGGAAUAGUUGCUGUCAAGGCGGAUAUGAGUAAAGCUUACGAUAGAGUCGAAUGGGAUUUCCUCAGAGCUAUGCUGACCAAGCUGGGUUUUGGGACUAGGUGGAUAGAUCUGGUCAUGUCAUGUGUUUCUUCUGUUCGCUACCAGAUUAAAGUGAACGGCGAAUUAACCGAACAAUUUUCACCAUCCAGGGGUUUAAGGCAAGGAGACCCUGCCUCGCCCUAUCUUUUUGUCAUAUGUGCGGAGGGCCUCUCGGCUCUCUUGCAUGAUGCGGAGGGGAGUGGGAGGAUCAGUGGUGUUAGAGUAUGCCAGGGGGAUCCAGUGGUUUCACAUUUGCUCUUCGCGGAUGACUCGCUCCUCCUUUUGAGAGCUAAGCAGGAGGAAGCCCAGGAACUGCGUAGGGUGCUUGAUCUCUAUGAGGCCUGCUCGGGGCAGUGCAUAAACCUUGAGAAAUCGGCCGUGAUGUUCAGCCCAGACACUGCAGAUGGGAUUCGUGAUGCUGUCAAAGACUCGCUGCAGAUCCAAACUGAAGAAUGGAAUGACAAAUAUCUGGGGCUGCCAGUUCAUGUGGGCAAGUCUCGGGAGAAGGCUUUUGCUUUCGUUAAGGGCGCGAUGGCUGGCCGGGUUUACGGAUGGAAGGAACGACUCAUUGCAAAGGCCGGAAAGGGCACCUUAGUAACUACAGUUGCCCAAGCUAUACCUACCUUCGCCAUGUCGUCUUUCGAUCUAACAAAAUCUUUCUGCGAAGAACUUGGCUCGUUGCUCGGAAACUAUUGGUGGAGUCAACAAGAUAAGGAGAGCACCAUCCACUGGAUCGGCUGGAAAACACUUACGCUGCCAAAGGCCCAGGGAGGUCUCGGCUUCCGGGGUAUGCAUGGGUUCAAUAUCGCCAUGCUGUCCAGACAGAUUUGGCGCCUCAUUCAGCACCCGGACUCCUUAUGUGCGCAAGUGUUACGUGCUCGAUACUACCCGAACGAUCAAAUCCUCACGGCUGUACCGGGAGUUGGCAUCUCCUACUCGUGGAGAAGUUUGCUACACGGGCUCCAGCUUUUCAAAGAAGGUUAUAUAUGGAGAUUAGGAGACGGCACCAAAGUCAACAUCUGGUCGGAUCCUUGGAUACCUAGGCCUUGGUCGCGCCAGGUUAUUACUGCUAGGGGUCCUAAUCUUCUGGAAAGAGUAUGUGAUCUUAUCGAUCCGUUAACUGGCCAGUGGGACAAGCUGCUCAUGAGGGAUACGUUCUGGCCUGAUGAUGUUAAACACAUUCUCCAGAUUCCGUUGAGAGAGGGGGCACAAGAUUUUAUUGCUUGGCACUACGACAGCAAAGGUACCCAUUCAGUCAAGUCGGCUUACAAACUGUUUGGCCACCUAGAAAAAGCGAGGAGGACAGGAGGAGUGGGUGGCAGCAACACGGAUCCGGGGAUGCUUAACAGAGUGGAGGAUGAUUCGUGGAAACGGAUAUGGAAACUACCUUGCCCAAAAACCCUACAGAUGUUCACUUGGCGCAUUAAGCAUGACUCUCUUGCACUCGGGACUAAUGUGGCCCGACGUGGUAUCCCCAUUGCUGACACGAAGUGCCUGUUUUGCGGUAAGGCAGAUGAAGACGGGGCUCACCUAUUUAUCAAGUGCAAGAUGGUCAAGGCUGGAUGAAGGGAGCUAGCCAUGGAGAGCGAGCGGGUUGCUCUUGAACGUAUCACGUCCGUGCAUGCAACCAUGGAGUUCUUAUGGGGGCUGGACCUAAAACAUCGUCUUCUAGUUCUCACCUUCUGGUGGUUAUGGUGGACCAACAGGAAUAAACUUCGAGAAGGGAACAUGCCUACAGCGGCCGACGAGCUGCUAGGAGGGCGAGAAGCAAUGUAAGCGACUACAUGCAGAUCUUUGUGGCUAAUGCACCCAAGAUCCCUCCUGACAAGUGGCGACCCCCAACCAACGGUGAAUAUAAGAUCAACGUCGACGGCUCCUUCAUCCCGGGUCAGAACCAUGCUGGGUGAGGGGUCGCAGUGCGAUCAUCUGAGGGUCUUCUGCUUUGUGCACGGGCAGGAUGCCAGGAGAAUGUACUCGAUGUUUUCGCUGCUGAAUCACAAGCCAUGUCUCAAGCAAUAAACUUGGCAGCAGAGCUAGGCAUGGUCAGGCUGCAGUUUGAGACCGACUCACAACUACUAGCUGAAGCCCUGGAACUGGGGAACGUGGACUCUUCGGCUUAUGCAGCGGUGAUCGAAGACAUGAAAUACCACCUAAAACUUUGGUUCUCUAAGGUCUCGAUUUCGGUUUGUAGGAGUGCCAACUCCGUAGCUCAUGAGUUAGCUAAUCUUGAACGUGUGUCCCUAACCACUAUAUUCAGUGGGAGUCCGAUGUACCUGCCCAUGUGGGCGCUUGUGUCUUGGGUGAUAUGCCCAGCCACCGUUGAGUAAUAAAGCUUUGGUGCUUUCAAAAAAAAACAAAAAAAAAACUACAGGUAACACAGUCUACACGUCCUUAGAUAUCCCUGACAUCAACUAUUCACAUACACACAGUGCCCUGACAACCCCUGCUGCUACACGAGGACGAGUCCCAAGCAGGCAGUCGCUGCAUGGCGAAGAGAAAACAGUGGCCAUGUGACUACAGCGACAUGAACUACCGACUCUGUCCAUGUCUGAUAUUUCAACAGUACAGCCGCAUGUGUCCGGUCAGGCCUACUUCUAUGCCCUAGCUGUCCCUAGAGCCUAGAGGCACGGCCAUUAGCACCGACGAAUUGCCUGGAUAAGCCAGCUGCAGUUGCUAAUCCUCUGCUGUUCGGCAGAACAUGGCACGAAUCUCUAGCAGGUGAACGAUCAGAUAAUGGGGUGUCGGGACCCCCGGUGCCAUCACACCUUUCCGUUCAUUCUAUUCUACUAGCAAAAACCGAUGAAGAUUAUGGUAAUUACAUGGAAAAGAAACCAUAAUUUUUUUGUAUUUUUUUAACUCAACUUUUUGUAUUGCUAUAAGUAAAGAAACUAAAAUUUGUAAUUGCCAAUCAGGAAAUCUUAAUGUCAAAUGCUGAAUUCUUCCACCAACUAGCUGUGAGACAUAUCCAUUGCAGUGCCAAAUAAAGAAGGUUUGCUGACAAUCAACAGCAGGACAAUGGUCCGCUUGUUGUAUAUAAUAAAUGUCACAGUGGUGUUGUAUAUGUGUAGCCGGUGCUAGAAUUUACAUUUUUUUGAAAAGGAGGUUAAACCCCCGGCCUGCAUCAAUCGAUGCAUACAGCUAUGUUUAUUAGACAAGAAAAUACAUCAAGCCACCCGAAACCACCACUCACACCUACAAAUUCGAUAAUGUGGAGUGCUUUCACCUCCAUAUCUAAAACCGGUGUUGUCGCCGAACCAUCCACAUAAUGUAUCGGGACCAACAACCGGUGUAACAGACCUAAAGCAUGCACCACAUGCACAUGUUUUAGAAGUCAAACGCCACCAUCAUCCUUGGACCGCUGACCCAUCUUCAAGAUAGAGAUCAGCAUCAUCCUUGUUAGUCCAGACAUCGCCGACGCCGCCACCGCCCCCGCGCGCAUUCAUCAAGACGCGAAGACUGUGAAAGAUCUAUCGUGCGUAGCACCUGCCGACCAAGCAUGACACAACGUAGCACUUGUCAGCCAGGCAUGACUUGACAUCUCCGCUGAAGCUCCGUGCAAGACUUUGCCGCUCCACCUCAUGCCUCUAUCUUCCUGCGCUGCUCCACAAACGAUGCGCCCAAGAGAGUAACGACACCACAGUACCGCCAUCGUCCGAUCUGGAUGACCAAAUCUUAGUCUUUCCCCCGAAGCAGCACGACUGGGUUGACAGAAGUUACACCACGAUGCCUUCAUCAAGGUAAUGACGCAAGAAGCCGCCAUCGCCCGCCACCGGCUCUGUUUUCACCGGCAACUCUGUCUCCCCAACUCGCAGCUGGGAUUAGAUGACGGAUCUAGAGAUCCAACCACCCAGCCUCAGGCUGACCAUCUCCGGCGAAGGAGACGACCACCACCGCCACGCCCAGGCCGGGCCGGAGCCCCCGACGUCCUCGUGAUGCGGGUCGAUCCCAGGGGUAGCCUGCCGUUGACAGGAUGUUAUACGACAUCAGCAAGUGUGACCCGCCCGAAGCCCAUCUGGACCCAGAUCGGGUGCCCAAGCCGCUGCUGUUGGACUAGUCGUCGAAUGCCGCCUGCCUGGCCGCCACCGCCCCGCACCACUGCUGUAGAUCCGACCAUCACGGACCGCCGCCGUCCUGACCGAGUCUUUGGCGAGGAGAAACGCCGCCACCACCAAUGCGGCACACAGGCUUUGCCUGCGACGCCCCUGGCGGCGGCGGCAGGGAGAGGGUGUGCGCUGGAGUGAACGGGAGACGGACGGCGGGGGCGCUCUGGUGCAGCGCGGCGGCGGCACAAGGGAGCGGGUAGGGUUAGCAGCGGAGCCCCGAGCCCCUCUCGACUUCAGUAUAGAUUUUUCGCUAGAAUUUACAUAUGCAUGCUCCACAACCUAUGUUCGUACAAACACAGAUCAUAUGGAACGAGAAAUAUGCUCUGGUCGGAAAGCAGAGUCGUGGACAAAAGUGAAGUUCACAAAUGACCAUCAUACAUAGGCCAUUGUUUCAACUUGUAGUUUAGGCCUUGCCGGACUCCUCGCAACCUGGUGGCCUGAAGGCGAUGAAGCUGACGCACUGCACCUGGCGCAGGUUGUCGAAGCCGAUGACACGGACAUAGGCAUCAGGGUACUCCUUCUUGACCUCCUCCACCUCGUUGAGCACCUGCGUGGCGUCGGUGCACCCGAACAUAGGCAGCUUCCACAUUGUCCAGUAUCGACCGUCGUAGUACCCGGGAGAGCUGUUGUGCUCACGGAAGACGAAGCCAACCUUGCUGAACUCGAGGCAGGGCACCCACUUGGAGCGGAUCAGGUAGUCUACCUGCUUUAGGAGGGCCUCUGUGGAGAGGGGUGGCAAGUAAGACAGGGUCUCGAACUUCUUGAUACCCUCAAUCGGCCACACCUGAAUGGAUGGAAAUUAUGGAAUGCACACAACUGCUUAACACUUGGUGCUAGUAAAUUGUACGUACUGAGGAAGAAACUCAUAUCAGUUUUGUGCCUCUGACAUACCUGCAUGCACCUGAUCCUUCCGCCAUUGCUGACGCGGCCGAGGCUGCCGCUGGAGCGGCGGCUGACGGGCAGACCGGCUGUGGACUUGAGCCCCUGGAAGGGUGCGACGGUGGUAGCCGACGAAGCCAUCACGGCGGGGGCCAUGGUAUUGUAUUAUCGGAGGAGAGGAGGAUGCCGGCUACAGGUGAGGCCCCCAUUGCCGGGUCACUACGGUAUAUAUAGCCAGACACUUAGCGCCGUUUCUUUGGUACAGAUGUGGUUGGGGUGGCUGACGUUCUCUGGUUGCCUCGUUUCCUUAUCUUCUCCGGAUCAGUGGAAGAAGCAUGGCCGUCGGAUGCAUUGUGUGUGCUGGAAAUUUCAGUCCUUCAUGUCAUUGGGUGGCUGCCACACAACCUUUUUCCAGCUUUUCUUGUUUUUGGUUUCAUUUGAAGCCAAAAGUUUCUUGAGUACAAAUUUUCUGAGAUGCGACUUGAGUGGUGGUGUGGGCAAAAUAUUUUACAUUUUAUCAUAAGAUCUGAUGGCUCACUCCCUUGAAAGUAUGCCUAUAGGCAUAGAGUGUGCGUGUGUGCAUUUAUAGGGGGUGUUAUACAUGCGCGUAUGCGAAUGUCUACUUUUGUACACCGUUUCUCAAAAUAAAAUAUAUGUUUUGUUGGUACAAUUAAUUGACCUAGCAUAGUAACCUCCACACGUAGAACAAGUUCUUUCCCCUCUCGCAAGGUAACUAUUGAAAGCUUUCCACCCCUCUAUAUCCGCCAGUGAGCCUGUGGAUCCGCCUCCCCUCUGCGGGAAGGGGGAUUCCUGGUGCCUCGGCUCUGGCUAAUAAACAAGUAGAAUUUUAGUCCUCAUGGGUGAGGUGCUUGGACGGAUGGCGGUCUUUCUUCUUCGAGCCAAUCUUUCGGGAUCCUAUCCUCUUCAAGUUCCUCUGUCGGGGGAGCUCCGACGUAGACUCCUGCCAGUUCCUCAGGCGGUGAGGUUAGGAUUUCUCAUCAUGCGUACGCACAAUGAGAUUUGGUGUCAGGUUCUUUAAAUCGAUUCAGGGAUUCAACAGCGAUGGCUGCGGCUCCGGAGCACUGGUCCUUAGGGGCAUGUGCAUGGAGACUUCCUGACUGUCAUCGACAAAGUCAAGGUAGCUCUAGAGUGGGAGCAACGACAACGGUGCAUUAGUGGCUUGUCUCUGUGCGUAGGAACGAAAAGAAAGCCCUAUAUCUCAAAUUUUUGACAACUCUCCGUGACAAUGGGCAUAACUUAUUUUAAACAUCAGUGGGUAGGAACAAAAAGCUCUAUAUGUCAACUAUUAACAUGUAUGGCUAAAUAUGUACCUUGCAUUAUAGGAUAUGGCAAUCGAUCAAAAAGGUGGGCAGUCUCUCACGUAACAUUGUCUCUCAAGUAGGGCUGCAAAUGAGUCGAGUUCGAGCGAGUUGGACUUGCCUCAGCUCAACUCAUAUUAAAAUUCGAGCGAGCUCAAACUGAGUGAAGCUCAAGGUCAAGUUGUAGAACGUGACUCAUGCUUAACUUGUAAGAUCUUGAGUCGAUCUCGAGCUAGUUUCGAGUUAAAUGAGAUGAUAAAAUCUAUUAAAUUUAUGACUAUUAUUCCAACUAGAUAAGCACAACACGACAUAAAAAGGCACAAAAAAUAUUUUUUCAAUCAGAACAAUGAUAAUACAAUUUUCUUUUGAAAUGAUACAAAUUUUGUUAGAAGUAGUUUAACUUAUUCUAUCACAACCGAAAGUCUAGUAUCAACUAAGAUAACGAUUCACGAAGGUGCAUAUGCUAGGAACUUUUAGCAGAAACAACAGAAUAUUUAACACAUGACCGACCAUGUACCAUAAAAAAGCCUAAAUUUUCUCUACAACUAAUUAAGCUUCGAUGUCUGUUUGUAAACAAAAUGGUGAAAAAUCCAGGAUGACACAUAUGGUAUUAAAUUAUCGUAUUUUCAUUUAUUAUAUGGAAUGAUCAUUUAACAUAAUGAUAUUAGGCCGAGCUAUCGAGCUAAAAUCGAGCGAGCCAGUAUUGGCUCAAGAUCGGCCCAUUUCUUGAAUGAGCUAUAGAAAGUGUUCGUACUCAACUCGUUUCUUUUCAAGUUGAGUCAAAAAACGAGUUGAUCUCGAGCCGCUAUCGAGCCUCAAGCUUUUCUUACAACCUUACUUUCAAGCAGUGUCAUGUUGACACAACUCAAUCAUCCUACUUCUCAUCCCAUAUCAGCGGCGGAUAACGAAAAGACAUUAAUAUCAAAAGGCCUGGACCGAAGGUAAUAAGUUCUAUGGACAACCGCGAUCCCUAGAAUAAUUAUGUUCCUCUCAUGAUAUUGAUGCCCUGUCACCUGGAGGUCUCUCGAUUUGCACGCCUCUCUCCCAUAGCCAACGAUUACUCAAAUAACAUCACAUAUAAAAGAGUUUAAGAGUUGUUACAACCCAUUAGGGAGACCGUGAUGGGGGGACGAGAAGGGGUAUGGGUGAGGACGGAGUGGCGACGGCAGCGCUUCUCCGGCAUUGCCUCCUUCAAGGUUGCAAUGAUAGAGAUGGAGGCUUGGCACAACCCUCAAGUGUUUUUUGAUAUCGAUGGAGCUGGACGUAUGGAUUGUGUCCCCGAGUGGCUAGGGUUGGAGGUGUAUUUAUAAGAACUCUCCAAAGCCUCCUUCGUUGAUGUAGCAUCUCUACUUUGCUCCAAGUGCUCUAGGUGAGCCCAAUCUUUUCCAAAACAUCCCUUGAUGGCAAAGAAAGUAGUAGGAACAUACCGGGACAAAAUCCUUGAGGAAUCCCCGUCUGAAAGGGCAGCUUCUCAUUUUUUUAUGCAUCAAAGGUUGUCAAACGCUUUAGACUCUUUGGUAAAAUCGCCGCAACUUUUACAUCCGAACUCUGUUUUUGACGUUCAUGUGCUCGUUGGAAUGACGAUUACGGCGCCGAUGCACUUGUGGUAUUAGAUAUUGAUUUUGAGCACUUUGGAAAACAACUUUUUUCACUCUCUGAAAUGCCCAAGUCUGGUGUCUCGAUGUCCUUCGUUUGGAUCCUUUUCAUCGUGUUAAGUGAGUGAGAGUUCCACAUUACGUACAAACACACAAAGAAAGAUAAUACUGAUAUGAACAAAUAAAGAAUAAAUAUUAUGCAAUGCUCGCGUUGAAAAUGUUAAAUACUGGAGAUCAUGCAUAUGGGCAUGUAAUUGGCUCAAUGGCACAUGAUAUAUGGAGAUAAUAGGUGACAAAUGAGCUCUAAACGUGCGUAAAAGUAGGAGCUAUCACUUGGAUCAAUUAGAUACUAUCUUGUGGAACACCUUACAUCCUUUUGAAUGGUGUACCUAGUAGGCAAUUCCAAUGAAAACAUGGGAUUCACCAGGGUGACACACCGUUACCACUUCUAUUUUUCUUGGCAGUGGAUUUACUUCAAUCUAUCCUUAGUGACAUGUAUCAUCGCGGGAGCUCUUUUUUCCAAUCCCAUCUCAUGAUCUAAACUCUCCAAUUGUGUAGUAUGUUAAUGAUAUGUUGUUGAUUAUGCCGGAUAUUGAUUCUCAGCUUCUUGACCUAAAAGAAAUGCUACAACUUUUGUCUAAAUCCACUUGCUUGAAAGUGAAUUUUGGUAAAUCCUCCAUGGUUCUUAUAAAUGUGAUUGACGAUGAAGCUUCUCAUUGGCCAGUUUGUUUGAGUGUCAACAGGGUAAGAUGCCUUUCACUUACCUGGUUUACCUAUGGGUAUCACUAGGCUCAAGAUCUAGGACUUAAUGCCUUUGGUUGAUAUAAUGAAAAGGAAAUUGGCAGCUAGCUCUUCUCUGCUCUCACAAGGUGCUAAAUUAAAACUUUUGAGGUCUACCAUUUCAUCUAUACCGACAUACUAUCUUUGUAGUCUCUAGAGUCUAGACCCCCCUUGGUAUAAUUAAACAACUGGAGAGAAUUGAGCAGAAUAUCUCUGGCGUGGCAAUGCUGAUAGCUCAAAUCAACCAUUCGUGAUAUGUCAUCUGGUAUGUAAAUCAAAGGAGAAUGGUGGUAUUGGUAUCAUUAACCGUCAUAUUCAAGACCAACCUUUGCUUACAAAACACUUGCACAAAUUUUAUAAUAAAGUUCAUAUUCCAUGGGUAACUUUGAUAUAUAUUUCUUACUAUCAUGGAGUCAUACCUGAUGUAACAGUCCUUCGUGGUUUUUUUCCGGUGGAGGGAUAUUUUGGAACUUAACGAUCAGUACAUGACAAUCUCUUCAAUCAAAGUUAAUAUUGGCAACUUUGCCCUGUUCUUGUCUGAUGCCUGGUUGAUUGAGGGGUCUUCUCUACCUCUUCGACAUCGUUUGGAAAGGCUCUUUUCAUUGCCUUCUAUGACAAUAAUUCUGUAAGAUUUUACAGAAACCCCUCAUUAGGCCACUCUUUUGCACCUGCCAAUUUCUGCUGAGGCGAUGGAUGAAUUGUAACCUCCGGAUGGUUGGUUACAUAGCCUUAAGGGAAACCCAACCCUGUCUGAUGUUUGUUCUUGGUAAGGAGAAUCAUUUUCCGCCAAAAGCUUCUACUGCAUGAUGCACAAGCACAUGCCCACCGAUGAACCUUGCAAAUGGAUAUGACAGAGCACCAUGAAGAUCAAGAUCUUUGCUUAGAUCCUAUUAUUUUAUCGGUUGAACGCUCGGAAAUUGCUUCUUAGAAGGCACUGACAUUCUGCUCGGAUUGAAACCCAUUGUGCUCACAUGAGCGAAGAGACCACUUGUUUUUCUCCUAUAAUUUUAGUCAAAGAAUUUGGACUUAUUUACAGAUUGAUUGGAGCCCCAGAUGAAACACUAGAUAAUGUAUUGAUGUUGCAUGUAGAUGACGUUUUUUCGUGAAUACACUAAGCAACGUAUCAUUUCAUUGAUAGGUGGAAAGAAAGAGUAUAGGGUGCAGCUCUCACGGGCAUACAUGCAAUGGCGUCCGUGAGAGUGCAGAGCGAGCAGCGGAGGAGGAUGAUCAGCCUCGAUGCCGCAUGGUCAGGUUACAGGGAUGAUUCUAUGUAAUCCUCGAUCGUCGUCCUUGGCCCACCGACGCGCGUCGUCCUUGAUUAGCUGCCCAAGGUCAUCUGUGGAGGGUCCGGCACCGUUGACAAUGGCCGCAUUUCGAUGUUUCCAGAUAGCCCAAGUGGUGAGAGCGAUAAUGAAGUUUAGGCCUCGUCUGAGGCUAUCCGGGGAUGCUGCCGUGGCCUGGAGCCAACAGUCGAAGAAGAUGGUCGAGCCUAGUAUGGGUGGUGUAACCAGCCAACACCAAGAAAGAAUCUCAUGCCAAGUGAACCACGAGAUGACACAACUAGUGAGGAGAUGGUCGAUAGUCUCUAGCUCCUGGGAACAGGAGAUGCACUCUGGAUCGUGCGGGAGGCCGUGCCUUGCACGACGCUUCGCAGUCUAGCACCGAUCGAGGAAUACGAGCCAAAGGAAGAAUUUGUUGGUAAGAGGGGCCCAGCCCUUCCAGAUCAAACGCCAAGCGGGCGGGGAGGUUGAUCCAAAGAAGAGCGCCUUGUAGCAGGAUUUGACGGAGUAGAUACCACUAGCAUUCCAUUUCCAACUGAUUUGGUCCGGGGCAUGACUGAGUUGGAUGCCCUGAAGAUGACGCCAGAGAUCGAUGUAUUGGACCACUUUGAUGGGACCUAGAUUGCAGUGGAUAUCGUGAAUCCACGCUUGCUGGUGAAGGCCAUCAGAAACCAGGGUGCGGCGGUGCCGAUGUCGCGGCACAAGAGCAAGCAGUGCCAGAGCGAGCUUAGAGAUGGUGUCGGUUCUAUAUCCGGCAUAUCUCGUAGUAGGGGUCCUAAGCUAGGCGUCUUGGAGCGAUGGUAACACGGACACAUGGUUUUACCCAGGUUCAGGCUCUCUCGAAGAGAUAAUACCCUACGUCUUGCUUUUGAUUGUAUUCAUAUGGGGGAUAGUACAUAGUACAUGUGUCUACCACGAGAUUGUUCUAAUGAACAUAAGUUGAUCUAAUGACUAGCCUGGCCUCGGUUUAUACAACACACCGGAGGCCUAGGGUUUAGAGGAGUCCUCGUCUUGUGCACCAAAUCUUGUGUAAACCUCCUUGUAUGCGGCAUGGGCUGCCCGAAGUGGCCCAUUAGUACACCGCCAUGGGGGCCCUCGGCACGAUCCAGCUGGUCGAGAGACGACGUGGUGAGUCCCCCCCCCCCGAGUCCAGGACACUGUCAAAUGGCCCUCCCGUCGAGCCAAUGGUUGCACCAGAAACGACAAGUUUUGUCGUCGCCGAGGGUCCAAGUGGUCGACGCACGGAAGAACUGCCUGGUCUCAUCAUCACAAGGCACCUCAAGAUGGUGCCAAGGGAGGGAGGGGUCAGUGGUCUGCAGCCACAGCCAUCGGGCAUGCAAGGAGAUACUGGUGAGGUGGAGAUCGCGCACGCCAAGCCCACCAUACUCCAGCGGGCGACAUACGCGCCUCCAAUUAACAAGGCAACAGCCGGACUUGGCAUCCUUCCUAGCAUGCAAUAGGAAGUCACGAAUGAUCUGGGUGAUUUUCUUGAGGAUCAUUGGGUUGAUGACCAUGAAGAGGAGAAUUUGGACAGGUAUAGCAGACAGGACAUGCCGCACGAGGGCGAGUCGCUCGGUGCGUGAGAGAAGCGAGGCUUUCCAGGUGGCGAGUUUCUUGGUAAGUUUUUCCAACAGUGGGAGGAGCGCCGAUGUGGGAGUCUUGCGGACCGAGAGGGGAAUUGAUGUGGACCAGAUCAUGACCAAGGCAUCCAAGAGUAAGGUUAAUGCUAGCACAAAUGCUGAACCAUUCGAGCAUCUAAAUGAAGACAAGGUCAAAACCAUUAUCUUUGUUGGGAAGCUUCCGGUGCCUAUUUUGGGAGAAAUGACACAUCAGAUUUCCAGCAGCAACUUCCCACCUAAACCUAAUUAAUUCUGGAAGUCUCUAGCACUUUAUAGAGGCUGGAAGAUAUGGUCUUAGAAGUCAGCUUUCAUUUAAAAAAAAUUGUGCAUCAUUUGAGGUCUUGAGUCAAAAGUUGUGCAAGUUUCCAUGCAAGCUGUCCAGGAAUUUAUUACAGCGCGAGGCUCAACAAGUUUGCUCCUGCUACAGCUUCGGGCUCACGAAUUUACCCUUCUUUUUGAGUUGUUUUCACACCUAACUAGUGGGUGCUUCUAGUAUAAAUACUCCCUAGCUGUUCCAUGUGAGGGGGGAUGAGAUUUCUGAGUUUAUGUUUGUAGACAGCCGGUGAGGUUGUGUUGUGCUGUGAGCACUAGUAUCGUCGAGUGUUAGCUCGUGUGUGUGGAUUGGAGGGCCUGUCCUCAAUUCAUAUAGGAUCCUUGUGGUUCCCUCUUGUGAUUCUUCAUAGGUUCACAAGCUUCAUGGUUUGGGUUGCAUCCUUGUAAACCCAGCUAGUUGUCCGCUGCAAUUUAUCUGAGAGUGUUUCCUCUUGUUCUUCCCCCUUGAGAGAAAUAAAGUUUGUUGAAACAAGUAUCGAGUGAGUUUGUUGCUGCUCCUUGUGAGUUCUUUGGCACCGUGAAAGAUCGUUUCUGAGGCAUCCCACAUCAUCUUGGCAUCAGAGCUUUAGGUUGUUCGCGGUGCAAUUUUUUAUCUUGCUGAUUUUGUUCUUGAGAAGCUUCCAUGGGUUCAAGGAGAUCCAGCAGUGUUGAUGGUGUGCAUGGAGGUGCCGGCACCUCGUGGAGGAGGAGCUGCCACUCCCCGUAUAUGAUCCAAGCUUGCAGCCCGCCUAUGUGUUGGCAUUGGAGAAUACACGAGAGUAUGUGUUGAACAAGGUGGAGAGGCGCAUAUCGGCCGUGGAGACCAACCUUGGCCAGAUAAUCGACUCCCUCACCGAGGAACUCCGUCGAGAUAGGCUUGCUGUACGGGGUCGACAUUGACAAAUCCCCAAACAGCAGGGCCAACGCCACCUUGAGGAGGAGCAUGGAGAGCACAACCACGUCUACUCGGGUGAUGCUCAUAGCUACUACGCUGCACCACCUCGGCGUGCUUGCUAUGACCAGCGAGGUGCUACUUGGGCACCACUGUCACCACCAUGAGAUGGGCUUGUGGAACGGGUUCGACAUCGACAACUCCCCAUACAGCAGGACCACCAUGGAGAGCAUUGGAGCGACCACUCCGAUGAUGCUCGAAACUACUACGAGCCUCAACCAUGACGUGUUCAUCAUGAUCAUCGCGGAGAAGGCCAAGAAGGCUUUGCCAUGGGAGGAAGAGGUCAUGGGCGUGCUCAUCGUGACCAUGAAGAUGAUGGGAUUGGUAAAUUCAAACUUACCAUACCAUCGUUCAAUGGGAAAACCGAGACCGAUGAUUAUUUGGAGUGGGAGAUGCGUGUGGAUUAGAUUUUUGACAACCACCGCUAUACGGAGGAGAAGAAGGUACGAUAUGCAUCCAUUGAGUUUACUGGAUAUGCUUUGAUUUGGUGGAACCAAUUGUGUCGUGCUGGAGGUCGUCCAGAGACAUGGGUGCAAAUGAAAGAUCUGUUGCGGAGACGGUUUGUUCCUGAAUAUUUCACAAGAACCUUGUACAAUCGACUCCAACGGUUGUGCCAAGGUAAUUCUAGUGUUGAUGAGUACUAUAAAGAGAUGGAGAUUUUGAUGAUUAGGACAACGGUGAAUGAGCCCGAGGAGGCCACAAUGUCAAGAUUCUUUCAUGGACUGAAUGAAGAUGUGCAAGAAAGGAUAGAGAUGAUUACAUAUCAAGAUUUGCAAGAACUUGUGCAUCAAGCUAUUCGUGUAGAGCAGCAGCUGAAGCGUCGCCAAAAUCGCAGCCAAACCUAUACAUCAAGCACUUGAAGAAGUUCAGCUCAACGAGAAGUAGACGGAAGUGUCGCUGCAGAUUUUCGCUCACACAACAAGAUGACUACAAAGGAAGCUAAUGCAUCAAAGGUUGAAUCUUCCAAUACUUCUGCCACUCGCGUUAGUAAUAUUCAGUGCCAUACAUGCAAGGGUAGAGGUCACUUCAAGAAGGAUUGUCCUAAUCUGAAGAAGGUUUUACUCACAAAUGAUGGAUAUGUCACCGAUGACUCAAGUGACAAAUCUGAAUCUGAGAAGAAAGAUGCAAAUUAUUGUACUUUUGAGACUGGAGCACCUCUGAGUUCAGAUGGAGGAGAUGGUGUUAAUCUCAUGGUUCGCAAAGUGGCUCAUGAUGAUGCUCCUAUUAUUGAGAAGGGCCAGCGACAAAAUGUGUUCCAAUCCAUUUGCAAGAUCAAGAACAAAAAUUGCAAGGUGGUCAUCGAUGGAGGCAGCUACAACAACAUCAUUAGUAGUGAUCUUGUGCAUGCUCUUGGGAUGUCAACAUGGAGGCAGCCCCAGCCAUAUUAUGUGAAGUGGCUGAAUGGUGUUGGUAAGUUGAAGAUUACGCAUCAUGCGAGGGUGCAAUUUUCAGUGGGAAGUUAUGUGGACAAAGUGGUAUGUGAUGUGGUGCCAAUGCGAGCUUGUCAUCUUCUUUUGGGAAGACCGUGGCAGUUUGAUCAUGAUGCUACUCACCAUGGGAGGUCUAACAAGUAUUCUUUCAUGCAUCAAGGAGUGAACCAUGUCUUGGAACCUAGGGUGGAUCAAGUACUCAAGGUUGAGCAAUUCCCACAAGUGAAGAAGCCCAAAAAGAAUACCUCAAAACCGAGGAUGGUUUUGUUUGAAGGAAGGGAGGAUGAUGUGGACCAGAUCAUGACCAAGGUAUCCAAGAAUGAGGUUAGCACAAAUGCAGAACCAUUAGAGCAUCCAAAGGAAGACAAGGGAAAAAACAUUAUCUUUGUUGGGAAGCUUCCGGUGCCUAUUUUGGGGGAAAUGACACAUCAAAUUUCCAGCAGCAACUUCCCACCUAAACCUAAUUAAUUGUGGAAGUCUCUAGCACUUUAUAGAGGCUACAAGAGAUGGUCUUGGAAGUCAGCUUUCAUUUAAAAAAAACUAUGCAUCAUUUGAGGUCUUGAGUCAAAAGUUGUGCAAGUUUCCAUGCAAGCUGUCCAGGAAUUUAUUACAGCGCGAGGCUCAACAAGUUUGCUCCUGCUACAGCUUGGGGCUCACGAAUUUACCCUUCUUUUUGAGUUGUUUUCACACCUAACUAGUGGGUGCUUCUUGUAUAAAUACUCCCCGGCUGUUCCAUGUGAGGGGGGAUGAGAUUUCUGAGUUUAUGUUUGUAGACAGCCGAUGAUGUUGUGUUGUGCUGCGAGCACUAGUAUCGUCGAGUGUUAGCUCGUGUGUGUGGAUUGGAGGGCCUAUCCUCAAUUCAUAUAGGAUCCUUGUGGUUCCCUCUUGUGAUUCUUCAUAGGUUCACAAGCUUCAUGGUUUGGGUUGCAUCCUUGUAAACCAGCUAGUUAUCCGCUGUAAUUUACCUGAGAGUGUUUCCUCUUGUUCUUCCCCCUUGAGAGAAACAAAGUUUGUUGAAACAAGUAUCGAGUGAGUUUGUUGCUGCUCCUUGUGAGUUCUUUGGCACCGUGAAAGAUCAUUUCCGAGGCGUCCCGCAUCAGGAAUCCCAAGGUAGACGAUCGGGAAGGUGGUGACCGCGCACGUCAGCGUCGAACCAACAACAUCAGCCACGGUAUCAUCACAUUGAAUAGGGGUGGCAGAGCACUUGAGAAAAUUGGUGCGUAAGCCCGAAGCUUCAUAGGGAAGAGGCCAACCUUUCCUGCUUGGUGUUGUAAAUUUGUACAUGACAUCUCUUCUUGUAGAUAGAGUUAAUGCUUACCAAAGCUCCUGGAUUGGAUUUGUAAUCUCCAUUAGAUAAAUAGGUAGGUAGGAAAGUGUGGUUUUUCCUUUUUCUUGGUUCCCUUUGUAAACAUUUUUUGCUAGCUUUUGUUUUGAUGGAAUAAAGGACUGGAGCUGUUGCUCCAUAGUAGUUACAAAAAUUCAAGAUUUUUAUUGAUUUUUCACUAGUAUGAUUACACUCCUUCACAAAGGAGCUCUUUUUUUUUGAAAAGGAGGAUGUACCCCCGGCCGCAUCUGGGCUAUGCAUGUAGCCAUAAAGGAGCUCAUGCAAUGCAUGUUGGAGAUUUAUUUCAAUAGUUCCAUAACAUGUUUUGAAUGCUGUUGCUAUCUAGUUCAGUUAGAUGCUUAUUAUCCAGACCAACAAAAGUUCUUUAGUAAGGGUCUCUACAAGAAUAUCUUUCAUCCUAUUCUACUAGCAAAACCGAUGUAGAUGCUGGUAGUGACAUGGAAAAGAAACCAUAAUCUUUUUGUAUUGAUAUAUAAGUAAAGAAACUGAAAUUUGCAACUGCAAAUCAGGGGAUCUUAAUGUCAAAUACUGAAUGCUUCCACAACUAGUUGUGUGACAUAUUCAUUGCAGUGCCAAAUAAAGAAACUUUUCCAUGAAUUAAUAACAUCAAGACAAUGGUCCGCAUGUUUUAUAUAAUAAAUAUCACACAGGUUUUGUAUAUGUGUAGCCGGCUCUAGAAUUUACAUAUGCAUGCUCGAGAAUCUAUGUUCGUACAUACAUACACAGACCAUAUAGAAUGAAAAAUAUGCUCUGGUCGUCCAGCAGAGUCGUGGACAAAAGUGAAGUUCACAAAAGACCUUCAUACAUAGGCCAUUGUUUCAACUCGUAGUUUAGGCCUUGCCAGACUCCUCGCAACCCGGUGGCCUGAAGGCAAUGAAGCUGACGCACUGCACCUGGCGUAGGUUGUCGAAGCCGAUGACGCGGACAUAGGCGUCAGGGUACUCCUUCUUGACCUCCUCCACCUCGUUGAGCACCUGUGUAGCGUCGGUGCACCCGAACAUAGGCAGCUUCCACAUUGUCCAGUAUCGACCAUCGUAGUACCCGGGGGAGCUGUUGUGCUCACGGAAAACGAAGCCAACCUUGCUGAACUCGAGGCAGGGCACCCACUUGGAGCGGAUCAAGUAGUCGACCUGCUUCAGGAGGGCCUCCGUGGAGAGGGGUGGCAAGUAAGACAGAGUCUCGAACUUCUUGAUGCCCUCAAUCGGCCACACCUGAAUGAAUAGAAUGCGCAGAUGCUCAAUACUUGGUGCUAAGUCAAUUGUACCAACAAUGCUAGAAAAAUCUGUUGAUAAGCCAAAAAUUGCUCCUGAUGGGCAGGUCUCAUAUGUAUUGUUCGUUUGUCCACAAUGAAGAAAGCUUAAGGGUAGCCCUUAAACUGAUGGGCACUCUGGAGGUACUAAGAUAAUUUUAUCUAGUCCAUGCUGCAAUAAAGAGUAUUUCCAUUCACUAAGUUAUGAGUUGAUGGCUUUUACAUACGGAUCCCAGCUUAUGGACAAGGCUGAAUGAGCAUCCAAAGCCAAAUGGUUUCCAUAGGCAACAAACCAAACAGAUAAUAAGGUUUCGGAAUAAUCUAUUGACCAAAUUAUGUUAUACAUUGGGGAUGUUCUGUAAGUGAAUUACUUGUACUGACAAAGAAACUCAUAUCAGUUUAAUUAGUGACCGACAUACCUGCAUGCACCUGAUCCUUCCGCCGUUGCUGACGCUGCUGAGGCCGGCGCUGCUGGAGCGGCGGCUGACGGGCAGGCCGGCGGUCGACUUGAGACCCUGGAAGGGUGCGACGGAGGUGGCCGAGGAAGCCAUCACAGUGGGGGCCAUGGUGUUGGAGGAGAGAAGGUGGCAGGCUAAGCUUGGCCCCCAUUGCUGGGUCACCACGGUAUAUAUAGCCAUAUAUGGCCAGCUCCUAUCUUUAAUCAAGAUGUGGAAGGGGUGGCUGGCGUUCGUUGGUUGCUUGGUUUCCUUAUCUCUCCGGAUUAGUGUAAGAGGCAUGGCCGUUGGAUGAGUUGUGUGUGCCCAAAAUUUCAGUCGUCCAUGUCAUUGUGUGAUUGCCACAAUCCUUUUUCCAGCCUUGCAUUACUGUAUUAUUCUUUUCGUUUCAUCUUGCUAAAGGUAACGCUUGAAAGGUGCACGAAGAACUCCCUUUGUUGAUUUGCGAUUUAAGUUCAGUGGCACAGGCAUAACGAAUGUUAUAGUACAUCCUUUAUCCACUUUUAUAAUACAAAACUUGUCAACCAGUUAUGCUUGCUUCUAAUCUUUGGUACUUCAUUUUAUAACAUUUUAUACAGGUAACUAACGUAUACUUGCUGCAUGUAUGAUGUGUGUCAUCAUGACCUUUAUGUACUUUAUUCACAAUUAUUCAUUGGAACACAAAAGUGUUGUACUAUUUUCUACACCUAAUCAUUUACAUGCCUUGGAGGAUUUUUAGUAUAGGAAAUGCUAUUUAACUGGCUGUCCAGGCAAGGUAUAACUUUGUUUUAAUCUAUGAGCUAAAGUUUUAGAUCCCUCUGUUAUCCAUUUGCUCAGUUCAUGCCGUCCCCAGUGAACUCAUAAAUUACAUAUGGUGAGUGAAUAUAGACCACAAAAAAUGGUAGAUGUAUGUUCAUUCAUUUCAUGAUGAUGAAGCAACCUGCAAAAUGAUGGAAUCGACCAUGACUACUCAGUGAUAUGGCAAUCAUGUAGGACGAUCAUCGUGAUCAUCCUCCCGAGUCGUCCCCGUGCGGCGGCUGGGAGUACCCCAGAUCCCGUCGCCCCCGACUCCCCCUCUCGUCCCCUCCUCCCUCACCGCCGCCCGAGGGCGCCGCCGGGCAAAGCCUUGCCGUCGCCGGCGGCGGCAGGGACUAGGUGCCCUCCCGCUCGUGAGGAGCUGGCGCGGACCAGCGCCCCCGGGCUGGAGCGUGGCGUGCAUCUGGAUGUCAUGACGGGGGCUGGCGGCGCUCCUGCGAUCCCAUACCUCAUGGCAGGCGGCUUCAAGAUCUGGGGCGACACGGUUGCCAGGGUCGGCGGCGGUGGCGUGGCCGGAUCUAGGACCAGGUGUGAGCUUGGUCUCCGGGUCACGAUCGGCGCGAUGGCAAGUGCGACAUGUCGGCAGCUGGACGGAUCUGCGGGAUUCCAUCCUUGUCUAGUCCUUGACAACUCGAGCAACUCCGAGGGAAACCCUAGAUCCAUGGGAUCAAGCGAUGGCAGUGCUUUUGCGUCGUAGUCCCUCUUCGGGACAUCAUUUUAGAGUUUGCUAUGGUUGAAGGGACCAGCGAGGCAUGCGGCGUACGCCCGGUGUCGCAACUACCGAUGAAAAUUACGCCAACUACGGUCAUGGCGGACGAUGGCGGCGUCUUUGAUGUCGUUUCCUUGUCGAGACAUCGUCAUUGCAGUUGGCAUCAUCAUGCUCGGGAUGCUCCGGGGGAAACCCUAGAUCUGGGUCUCCCGGAUCGGACGAUAAUAGCGUUCUUAGUAUCGCUUUCCCUCAUCGGGGCAUCGUUUUGGAGCAAGUGAUGGCUGGAGGUGAUAAGAGGAGGAGCGGUGCUUCAUCAUACACAUUGGUGGUGUCGGAUCUCGAUGGCAUGGCACCCUGGAAAUUAGGCGUUUGAUGUGCGAUGAUGGACUCGCGUAGGAGGUCGACGCUCUCUGGCGUCGUGGUGGCAUCGGCGGCAGCUAGACCGGGCAAGGUACAUGCAGUAGUACAACUCUGAAGAUGGAUUGGUGGCAGGUGGCUGCGGCGGCCUCAUACCCGGCAGGCGUCCUGGUUGAGGAGCACGCUGGACUGGUGGGUGCCCAUGCCCGGCAGGAGUCCUGGUUGGGACCUCAGGUCUUAGAUGUUAGGUUUGGCUGCGAUGUCUCUUUGGUAUUAGGCCCAGACUAUCAGCGCCCCUUCAUCAACUGGAUUGGAUUAGCGACAGAUGUUGCUUAGACGGUGGCUUUAGUCUUAUUGUUGUAUGGUUUUGUAAGGUCUUGUGCUAAUAAUUAAUAAAAUGAUUGUAUGCAUCGCCCAGAUGCAGAGGCCGGGGGUCCUUCUCCUUUUCUAAAAAUCUAGUCAUUUAAGGUAGAUGUCGUGAUCUUCUUGUGUGACUGUCUCAUAGAUUUGAGCUGCAAAUCGAAUCUUAUAUUCUUCCAUUUUUUUUGAAUUUCCUGCAUGUAGUUAAUUAUUUUUUAUGAAUCCUUAAUGAUAAUUAACAUGGCCCAGAUAUUCACAAAAUAUCCAUAACUAUCAUGAACGAAUCAAUAAAUUACUAUUGCAGAAUGAAGAAUGAACCUUCCAUAGACCCCUCCACUUGGGCCCGUCGGUAGAGAGAUUCAUCACUCAUGGGCCACAAAAUGCGAGCCAAGUAGGACGACCUUCACUAAUGGGCCCUUAAGUUGGGCAUCAAUGGAGGGGCACCCAUGGGGCCCAAAGAUCCAACUGAAUGGACAGUCCAUCUCUACUGACGGUCAUACCGGAAUUUCCUAACGGACGCACAUUGUGUCAAGUUGCCACUGUUUCGCACAGAUGCCAGCGACUGGCGACCGAGAUGGGCCGGCCCAAUUACGAGCCCACAGAUGCGCUACAGUGUCCGGUUUUGGGAAACUUCUAGGAGGUUCCUGAGCGGUUUUGGGAACCUUCUAGAAGGUUCCUGAACCAGUUUUCCCUGGUUUAUUCUGUUUCUUUUUAUUUUUCUUUCAAUAUUGUUUAUUCUUUUUCAUUCUUUAUUUUUAUUUUUUCGUUUUGCCGUUUCUAUAUUCCAUUUUUUAUUUCUUUAAUUCCUUUUCCUUCUCUUUUUUCCUUCAGAAUUAAAAAAUAAUAAAAAUGUUCAGAAGUUAAGAAAAUUUUAUUGUUUAAAAAUUUUGUUCAUAAAUUGAAAAAUGUUCUUCUUUUCAAAAAACCUUCGCAUUUUUAAAAAAUGUUUGGCAUUUAAAAAAUGUUCCGCUUUCAAAAUAUUGUUCACAAAUUACAAAUAAUGUUCACUCUUUCCAAAUUUUGUUCAGAGUUUGGACAUGUUUGCAGACGUAAAAAUGUCCACCUUUUCCAGAAAUGUUCAUAUCUUUUUUUUCAAAAUUUGUUCACAAAUUCAAAAAUUCCUGUUUUUAUAAUUUGUUCACACAUCCAAAAAUUGUUCACACCUUUUAAAAAUUCUCAAAAUUUGUUCACAAAUUCAAAAAGCUUUCCAUUUUUAUAAUUGUUCACAGAUUAAAAAAUUGUUCAAAUCUUUAAAACUUGUUCGUGAUUCUAAAAAAAUGUUCAUAUCUUAAAAGAAAUCACAAAUUCGAACAAAUUCCUGUUCUCAAAAUUAGUUCACAAAUUAAAAAUGUUAUUUUUUGAAAAUUAUUCACAAAUUCAAAAAAAGUUCGCAUUUUGUCCAAACUUGUUCGUGAUUUGUCAAAAAAUGUUCGGAAUUUAAAAAAAUGUACCCGUUCUUUCAAGAUUUGUUCACAAAUUAAAAAAUUAUUUCCCUGUUUAAAUUUGGUUCACAAUUCAAAAAAUCAUGUUUUUUAAACUUCAAUUUUUUGCACGUGUCUAACAAAAUAGGUCAGAGUUUUGAAAAUUGUUCCUUUUUAAAAAAUUGUCCAGAACUGCAAAAUUGUUCCUGUUUUUAAAAUUCGAAUAAUUGCGACCAUUUGUUGAAACUCGUGUGCAUUUUUGCCAAAAACAUUUGGACUUUUAAAAAUAUAUUCAGAAUUAACAAGAAAAGAUUUAAAAAGGAAAAAUAAUGUGACCUGCCGUUGUGACCAGUACUAGUCGUGGUGGCUAGCUAGCUUCGUAUAAAAAAGCACGAUCGCGAGCUCGAGUCCUAGCUCUCGCUUCGAGUUUUUCGUUGCCUUUUUAACACUGCACGCUGCCUGCGUGGGCCGGCCCAGUCGGGCGCCUAACCUGUGCGAUCGCUCGACAUUCUGCCGCAGAAUGCGGCAGAUAGGAAGUCCCGGUCAUACCACACCACCCGUCAAUGUUGGGCGCCCCGUUAGUGCUGAAUUAAGGUAUUUCUAUCUGCUAGAGACGAAGUGGCCUUAUAUGGGCUUUCUCUUUUCUCCUAAACAAAACCAAGCCACCUCCCCCAAUCCAUUCCUCCCCAACGUCAUCACCACCCAAUGUUUUUGUCUCCUUACAUGUGUGCCCCCUCCUUCUUCCACAUUGAUCUGGUCCAACGCUACCGUCUCAUCCCCGCGAUCAUCGUCACUACUCUUCGAUUACUCGUGAUGGCGCGGGUUGUGGCUUCCCACUUGCUCUCUCGUAAGAGUGGUUGGGUAAACCCCAAGUGUAAGGAUGAAGUAACCUAGUAAUAAGCAUUUUCCCCGAUAGGUUUAUCAAACCAGUAGGAAUUUCUUCUACAACCCAAAUCCUCGGUACCUGCACACCAAACACAAAAUAAUCUUGCCCCAAACGUUUCAAGAAGGUUGUCAAGCUUCUUGUCCUGCUAGUUACAAGGAUUAGUUGUUAGUUGAAAGCAAAUAUCAGUUGCUAAGUAGCCUUAGUGUGGUUUGUACCUUCAGAUCUGCCAUGACACUGUCAACACUAUACUCGCCAUGCUUAGGGUUCAUCCUUUUUAUAUACACCAAGAUCAACCUAGGUGCUUCGCGUCGUACUAGCACUAAUCCAACCAUCAAUAUAAAUGAAAUGCCACCAUAAUUUCAAAGCUUAGUUGUUCAAAUACGAAUAUGAUGUGGUACUAAUAUUAGUUUAAAAUAGACACAUGUAGUUGGUCAGCCAAUGUUCCUUGUUGAGUUUCAAAAUACAUGUACACCACUUAUAGAGAGGCAUGAGUGAAUACUAUUUAUUUCUGCGAUCUCGUCCAUCAUGGAUGGGCAACGAACAUUGCAUUGUAUAGAAAGAAGGGUUAUAUAUAACCACCUUUUACAUAGAUGACGCUUUGCCUACGUGCUUUGUGUUGAAGUAGCAACACUCCACCUUUCAAGCUAAACAACAUGACACUCAUAAUUUCAAAGCUUAUUUUGUCAAAUACGAAUUUGAUAUGAUACUGAUAUUAGUUAAAAUGACACACAUUAAUUGUCAGCUAAUGUUCCUACUUCAGUUUUGAAAUGCAUAUCUGCCCCUUAUAGAGAGACAAGAGAGGUUUCUAUCUCUCUAUCCGCUCUUGUCAUCAUGGUUGGGGGGUGAACUUUGUAUAUCGUAUAGUUUGAAGCUGUCAUCUACCAACAAUCAUCACUUCUGGAGAUCUCAACUAGGAGCCUUUUUUGAGUAGUAGGGCCAUAUUAUAUUAAUACACACACCAAAUUACAACUCACAUAGCAUCUCUCGGCAGACUUCCAGAGAUAGUACGCAGGGGUUUAUAAGGAGUCACUAUUGGGGUAGAAUCGGCAAUGCAUUUGUUACACCCCGAUUCAGAGAACCGGAGGUCCCCGUGUUCCAGCCCAGAUAUCCAUUCGUCUGGAACACGACUAUAGCUUGGUACAGAUAGACCAAAAUAAAUAAGUACUUAUGUACAUUAAGGAGACAUGUCUAAGUGUGAGAAGCUCGAGGGCUUUAUUCUACGAGUGGCUUAAGGAAGUACUAAAGACGAAAAUAAUACUAAUGACACAACAGAAGACGGGGUACCAGUGGGGCUCCAAUCUAAAGAGACACUGCUGGUACACGAACUCUUAGGGGAACUCUUCUAUCGGCUCUCUAGUAUCUAGCAUGAUAAGUCAGGUGAGUACUUAAUUUGAAUGUACUCGCAAGCUCACAAACAAUCCAAAGCAAGCAAGAACGGAGCAAAUAAACAUAGCAACGAAGUAAGGACUAGUAAAGCUACUACUAUCAAGACUACUCCAUAGACUUCUUGUCUGCUCGUUUAACAUCUACUGGACUUCUUCUUGAAAUGAGUCCUGCUCAAACGACUCAACAAUAUAAGUUACCUGUUACCACAGUUACUAGAGUUGAAAGUAAAGGAAUAUGGGUACUUGGUCAAAUAGUGUGACCUAACACAAAUGGUGUCCCAUUGUCGGGGACUCGGCUAUUUGAAUAGUUUCAACACACACUCUGUAGAGGUCACACACUUUAAUUUACCCACACCAUAGAUUCUUUGUCUAAUGAAUCUCAUUCAUAGCAUGGCACUCUAACUAUUCCUCCGACCUCCCGCAGGCUAGCCCUGGGAGAGAGGAUCUGGGUCCUUGCCACUCUGUGUGGCACCACUUGUAUUCGCUUAGGAAUAUUUUCUAUUGAGCUCAUCCACAGACCCAGGCUCUCUUGACUGAAUGGCAACUUCCAAGCCAGAGGAAGUCUACACAUUCCAGCUUCCCUCUUCAGAGACACACAAAAGAUACAUACCUAGAAACGGAAUAAGGCCCUCCCAUUCGGCUAGAUGUGGCUAUACUGAGGUUGUUCCGCUUUGUGGCAUUUGGAUUGGCUAGCUAUUUAAAGUUGGGUUAAGAAGGAAAGUAAAACCGUAACUUUGUACUAGCUAUUCAAAUCCACAACUUGUUAUCCUACUAGGGUGAAGUAUUCACGAGGAUUCAUCAUCCUAAGUAGAGGCUUUCCCCGAGAUCCUUUGUGAACAUUGAUACCUAUUUUGCUUAUGAUUCAUGUUGGCAAAAUAAUUACCGGUUACGAGUCAUAGUUAAACUUCUAUUCCACUAGGACCAAAUAAAGGUAUCCUUGCUAGUGACUCACUAUGCUAUUUCAACCACAACAAACUUGACAUAAGCAAAGGGAAGCAAUAAAGAACACUGAAAGAAAAGUAAUGCGGGAAAAGAAAUGCAAGUUGAAUCCAUGGCCUUGCAAUGCAAGUUGAACCUAUAGUGUUAUAGCCAUGGCUCACGCUCAUGUAUUGCAUGGGGCUGAAAAUCUUGAAGCGCGUUAGAAGUGUUAAGCUUCAUGCACUAGCCAACGCAGCCAAAAGUCUGAACUGAUGGAAAGGGCUAGUACAAUCCACAUAUACUAUAACACCCUCUCUCACGUGGGACGGGGAAGACAAGUCAACACAUGCAACCGGAAGAGAGCGACGGCACGCGAAACUCAGGUAUGACUCAAGAGGCCUAUACGUGGACACAAAGGAGGGCUGUCAGCAAUUUUUAAAUAAGUUGCACAAACCAGGACUUGAACUCAAGACCUUAACUCCAAUACCAUGUUAAGCUUCAUUGACUCACUGAAAAACCAGCGGCAGUCACCACAGAGGCAAAACGCUCAAACAAGGCGCGGGGGGCUUGCUUAAGGCCAUAGAGAGAGCGACGAAGACGAGAUACCAUGCCAUCAGGAACAGAAUACCCAGGUGGUGGCUGCAUGUAUACCUCCAUUUGCCUGGUUUGACACCGGGGUGCUCAUGAUUUAUAUAUAUGCAAUGAAGGCGGAGUCAUGCCAUGCUAACAUGAUAAAAUGAGUGGGGAUAACAUUCGUUAAUGAUCGUAUAUUUUGAAAAAGUAAUGAUUAUGUUUCUUAUAUUCAUGGAAAUUAUUAUGUUGAUAUUGUUACUUCAUUGUUUCUCAAUAACUAUAUCAUAAAGAUAUUACAUGAUACAUAUGUUUGUUGGGGAACGUAGUAAUUUCAAAAAAAUUCCUACGCACACGCAAGAUCAUAGUGAUGCAUAGCAACAAAAGGGGAGAGUGUUGUCUAUGUACCCUCGUAGACCGAAAGCGGAAACGUUAGAACAACGCGGUUGAUGUAGUCGUACGUCUUCACGGCCCGACCAAUCAAGCACCGAAACUACGACACCUCCGAGUUCUAGCACACGUUCAGCUCGAUGACGUCCUUCGAACUCCGAUCCAGCCGAGUGUCGAGGGAGAGUUCCGUCAGCACUACGGCAUGGUGACGAUCUUGAUUUUCUACCGUUGCAAGGCUUCUCCUAAGCACCGCUACAAUAUUAUCAAGGAGGACUAUGGUGGAGGGGGGCACCGCACACGGCUAAGAGAUCAAGAGAUCAAUUGUUGUGUCUAGAGGUGCCCCCCUGCACCCGUAUAUAAAGGAUCAAGGGGAAGGGGGCGGCCGGCCAGGAGGAGGUGCGCCAAGGGGGGAGUCCUACUCCCACCGGGAGUAGGACUCCUCCUUCCCUUGUUGGAGUAGGAGAGAAGGAAAGAGGGGGAGAGGAGGAAGGAAAAGAGGGCUGCACCCCUUGUCCAAUUCGGACCAGAGUGGGGCUGUGCGCCUCCUUCCUUUCGGCCUCUCUCCUCUAUUCCCGUAUGGCCCAAUAAGGCCCAUAUACUCCCCGGCGAAUUCCCGUAACUCUCCGGUACUGUGAAAAAUACCCGAAUCACUCGGAACCUUUCCGAAGUCCGAAUAUGGUCGUACAAUAUAUCGAUCUUUACGUCUCAACCAUUUCGAGACUCCUCGUCAUGUCCCCGAUCUCAUCCGGGACUCCGAACUCCUUUGGUACAUCAAAACUCAUAAACUCAUUAUAUAACUGUCAUCGAAACUUUAAGCGUGCGGACCCUAUGGGUUCGAGAACUAUGUAGACAUGACCGAGACACGUUUCCGGUCAAUAAACAAUAGCGGAACCUAGAUGCUCAUAUUGGCUCCUACAUAUUCUACGAAGAUCUUUUAUUGGUCAAACCACAUAACAACAUACGUUGUUCCCUUUAUCAUCGGUAUGUUACUUUCCCGAGAUUUGAUCGUCGGUAUCCAAUACCUAGUUCAAUCUCGUUACCGGCAAGUCUCUUUACUCGUUCCGUAAUGCAUCAUUCCGUAACUAACUCAUUAGCUACAUUGCUUGCAAGGCUUAUAGUAAUGUGCAUUACUAAGAGGGCCCAGAGAUACCUCUUCGACAAUCGGAGUGACAAAACCUAAUCUCGAAAUACGCCAACUCAACAUGUACCUUUGGAGAUAGCUGUAGAGCUCCUUUAUAAUCACCCAGUUACGUUGUGACGUUUGGUAGCACACAAAGUGUUCCUCCGAUAAACGGGAGUUGCAUAAUCUCAUAGUUAUAGGAACAUGUAUAAGUCAUGAAGAAAGCAGUAGCAACAUACUAAAUGAUCAAGUGCUAAGCUAACGGAAUGGGUCAUGUUAAUCACAUCAUUAUCCUAAUUAUGUGAUCCCGUUAAUCAAAUGACAACUCAUGUCUAUGGUUAGGAAACAUAACCAUCUUUGAUUAAUGAGCUAGUCAAGUAGAGGCAUACUAGUGACAUUAAGUUUUGUCUAUGUACUCACACAUGUAUCAUGUUUCCGGCUAAUACAAUUCUAGCAUGAAUAAUAAAAAUUCAUCAUGAUAUAAGGAAAUAAAUAAUAACUUUAUUAUUGCCUCUAGGGCAUAUUUCCUUCAGUCUCCCACUUGCACUAGAAUCAAUAAUCUAGUUCACAUCGCCAUGUGAUUUAACACCAAUAUUCACAUCUGUAUGUGAUUAAUACCCAAUAGUUCACAUUGUCAUGUGAUCAACACCCAAAGGGUUUACUAGAGUCAAUAAUCUAGUUCACAAAUCUAUGUGAUUAACACCCAAAGAGUACUAAGGUAUGAUCAUGUUUUGCUUGUGAGAGAAGUUUAGUCAAUGGGUCUGUCACAUUCAGAGCCGUAUGCAUUUUGCAAAAAUUCUAUGUCUACAAUGCUCUGCACGGAGCUACUUUAGAUAAUUGCUCCCACUUUUAAUAUGUAUCCAGAUUAAGACUUAGAGUCAUCUGGAUCAAUGCCAAAACUUGUAUUGACGUAACCCUUUACGACGAACCUUUUUUCACCUCCACAAUCGAGAAACAUAUCCUUAUUCCACUAAGGAUAAAUUUGACCAAUGUCCAGUGAUCUACUCCUAGAUCACUAUUGUACUCCCUUGCCAAACCAGGACAGAGUAUACAAUAGGUCUGGUCCAUAGCAUGACAUACUUUUAUAGAACCUAUGACUGAUGCAUAGGGAAUGACUUUCAUUCACUUUCUAUUUUCUGCCGUGGUCCGGAUUUGAGUCUUACUCAAUUUCUUACCUUUGCAACAUAGGCUAGAACUCUUUCUUUGACUGUUCCACUUUGAACUAUUUCAAAAUCUUGUCAAGGUAUGUACUCAUUGAAAAUAUUAUCAAGCGUCUUGAUCUAUCUCAAUAGAUCUUGAUGCUCAAUAUGUAAGUAGCUUUACUGAGGUCUUUCUUUUAAAGAACUCCUUUCAAACACUUCUUUAUGCUUUCCAGAAUUUUUUUAUAUCAUUUCUGAUCAACAAUAUGUCACUCACAUAUACUUAUCAGAAAGGCUGUAGUGCUCCCACUCAUUUUAUUGUAAAUGCAUGCUUCACUGCAAGUCCAUAUAAAACUAUAUGCUUUGAUCAAAGCGUAUAUUCCAACUCCGAGAUGCUUGCACCAGUCCAUAGUUGGAUCGCUAGAGCUUGCACAAUUUGUUAGCACCUUUAGGAUUGACAAAACCUUCUGAUUGCAUCAUAUACAACUCUUCUUUAAUAAAUCCAUUAAAGAAUGCAGUUUUGACAUCCAUUUGCCAGAUUUCAUAAAAUGUGGCAAUUGCUAAUAUGAUUCGGACAGACUUAAGCAUCGAUACGAGUGAGAAAAUCUCAUCGUAUUCAACACCUUAAACUUGUCAAAAAACUUUUGCGACAAGUCGAGCUUUGUAGAUAGUAACACUACUAUCAGCGUCUGUCUUCCUCUUGAAGAUCCAUUUAUCUUCCAUGGCUUGCCGAUCAUCGGGCAAGUCCACCAAAGUCCACACUUUGUUCUCAUACAUGGAUCUCAUCUCAGAUUUUAUGGUCUCAACCCAUUUUGCGGAAUCUGGGAUCAUCAUCGCUUCCUCAUAGUUUGUAGGUUCAUCAUGGUAUAGUAACAUGACCUCCAUAAUAGGAUUACCGUACCACUCCGGUGCGGAUCUUACUCUGGAAGACCUACGAGGUUCUGUAGUAACUUAAUCUGAAGUUUCAUGAUCAUCAUCAUUAGCUUCCUCACUAACUGGUGUAGGAAUCACUGGAACUGAUUUCUGUGAUGAACUACUUUCCAAUUCGGGAGAAGGUACAAUUACCUUAUCAAGCUCUACUUUCCUCCCACUCACUUCUUUCGAGAGAAACCCCUUCUCUAGAAAGGAUCCAUCUUAGCAACGAAUAUUUUGCCUUCGGAUCUGUGAUAGAAGGUGUACCCAACAAUUUCCUUUGGGUAUUCUAUGAAGACGCACUUCUCUGAUUUGGGUUCGAGCUUAUCAGGUUGAAAUUUUUUCUCAUAAGCAUCGCAGCCCCAAACUUUAAGAAACGACAGCUUAGGUUUAUUGCUAAACCAUAGUUCAUACGGUGUCGUCUCAACGGAUUUAGAUGGUGCCCUAUUUUAACGUGAAUGCAGCUGUCUCUAAUGCAUAGCCCCAAAACAAUAUUGGUAAAUCGGUAAGAGACAUCAUAGAUCGCACCAUAUCCAAUAAAGUGCGGUUACGACGUUCGAACGCACCACUACGAUGUGGUGUUCCAGGUGGCAUGAAUUGUGAGACUAUUCCACAUUGUUUUUAUACGAAAGCCAAACUCGUAACUCAAAUAUUCUCCUCCACGAUCAGAUCGUAGAAACUUUAUUUUCUUGUUACGAUGAUUCUCCACAUCACUCUGAAAUUCUUUGAACUUUUCAAAUGUUUCAGACUUGUGUUUUAUUAAGUAGAUAUACUCAUAUCUUGCUCAAAUCAUCUUGUGAAGGUCUGAAAAUAACGAUACCCGCCACGAGCAUCAAUACUCAUUGGACCGCAUACAUCAGCAUGUAUUAUUUCCAAUAAGUCACUAGCUCGUUCCAUUGUUCCGGAGAACGGAGUUUUAGUCAUCUUGCCCAAAAGGCACGGUUCGCAAGCAUCAAAUGAUUCAUAACCAAGUGAUUCCAAAAAUCCAUCUUUAUGGAGUUUCUUCAUGCGCUUUACACCGAUAUGACCCAAACGGUAGUGCCACCAAUAAGUUGCACUAUCACUAUAAACUUUGCAUCUUUUUGGCAUCAAUAUUAUGAAUAUGUGUAUCACUACGAUCGAGAUCCAAUAAACUAUUUUCAUUGGGUGUAUGACCAUCGAAGGUUUUAUUCAUGUAAAUAGAACAACAAUUAUUCUCUGACUUUAAAUGAAUAACCAUAUUGCAAUAAACAUGAUCAAAUCAUAUUUAUGCUCAACGCAAAAGCCAAAUAACAUUUAUUUAGGUUUAACACUAAUCCCAAAAGUAUAGGGAGUGUGCGAUGAUGAUCAUAUCAAUCUUGGAACUACUUCCAACACUGAUCGUCACUUCACCCUCAACUAGUCUCUGUUUAUUCUGUAACUCUUGUUUCGAGUUACUAAUUUUUUAGCAACCGAACAAGUAUCAAAUACUCAGGGGCUACUAUAAACACUAGUAAGGUACACAUCAAUAACCCGUAUAUCAAAUAUACCCUUGUUCACUUUGCCAUCCUUCUUAUCCACCAAAUAUUCAGGGCAUUUGCGAUUCCAGUGACCAUUUCCUUUGCAGUGUAAGAACUCAGUUUCAGGCUUUGGUCCAGCCUUGGGCUUCUUCACGGGAGUGACAACUUGCUUGUCAUUCUACUUGAAGUUCCCUUUCUUUCCCUUUGCCCUUUCUUUGAAACUAGUGGUCUUGUUAAUCAUCAACACUUGAUGCUCUUUCUUGAUUUCUACCUUCGUCGAUUUCAGCAUCACGAAGAACUCGGGAAUCGUUUUCAUCAUCCCUUGCAUUAUAGUUCAUCACGAAGUUCCAGUAACUUGGUGAUGGUGACUAGAGAACUCUGCCAAUCACUAUCUUAUCUGGAAGAUUAACUCCCACUUGAUUCAAGCGAUUGUAGUACUCAGACAAUCUCAGUACUUGCUCACUAUUUGAGUAAUUCUCCUCCAUCUUUUAGGCGAAGUAUUUGUCAAAGGUCUCAUACCUCUUGACACGGGCAUGAGUCUGAAAUACCAAUUUCAUCUCUUGAAACAUAUUAUAUGUUCCAUGAUGUUUCAAAAACGUUUUUGUAGUCCCGGUUCUAAGACAUAAAGCAUGGUGCACAAAACUAUCAAGUAGUCAUCAUAUUGAGCUAGGCAAACGUUCAUAACGUCUGAAUCUGCUCCUGCAAUAGGUCUGUCACCUAGCGGUGCAUAAAGGACAUAAUUCUUCUGUGCAGCAAUGAGGAUAAACCUCAGAUCACGGACCAAGUCCGCAUCAUUGCUACUAACAUCUUUCAACUUAGUUUUCUCCAGGAACACAUAUAAAACAUAGGGAAGCAACAACGCGAGCUAUUGAUCUACAACAUAAUUUGCAAAAUACUACCAGGACUAAGUUCAUGAUAAAUUAAAGUUCAAUUAAUCAUAUUACUUAAGAACUCCCACUUAGACAGACAUCUCUCUAGUCAUCUACGUGAUCACGUAAUCCAAAUCAACUAAACCAUGUCCGAUCAUCACGUGAGAUGGAGUAGUUUUCAAUGGUGAACAUCACUAUGUUGAUCAUAUCUACUAUAUGAUUCACGUUCGACCUUUCGGUCUCCAUGUUCCGAGGCCAUAUCUGUAUAUGCUAGGCUCGUCAAGUUUAACCUGAGUAUUCCACAUGUGCAACUGUUUUGCACCCGUUGUAUUUGAACGUAGAGCCUAUCACACCCGAUCAUCACGUGGUGUCUCAGCACGAAGAACUUUCACAAUGGUGCAUACUCAGGGAGAACACUUCUUGAUAAUUAGUGAGAGAUCAUCUUAAAAUGCUACCGUCAAUCAAAGCAAGAUAAGAUGCAUAAAGGAUACACAUCACAUGAAUCAACAUAAGUGAUAUGAUAUGGCCAUCAUCAUCUUGUGUUUGUGGUCUCCAUCUCCGAAGCACCGUCGUGGUCACCAUUGUCACCGGAGCGACACCUUGAUCUCCAUCGUAGCAUCGUUGUUGUUUCGCCAUCUAUUGCUUCUACGACUAUCGCUACCGCUUAGUGAUAAAGUAAAGCAAUUACAGGGUGCUUGCAUUUCAUACAAUAAAGCGACAACCAUAUGGCUCCUGCCAGUUGCCGAUAACUCAGUUACAAAACAUGAUCAUUUCAUACAAUAAAAUAUAACAUCACGUCUUGACCAUAUCACAUCACAACAUGCCCUGCAAAAACAAGUUAGACGUCCUCUACUUUGUAGUUGCAAAUUUUACGUGGCUGCUACAGGCUAAGCAAGAACCGUUCUUACCUACGCAUAAAAACCACAACGAUAGUUCGUCAAGUUAGUGCUGUUUUAACCUUCACAAGGACCGGGCGUAGCCACACUCGGUUCAACUAAAGUUGGAGAAACUGACACCCGCCAGCCACCUGUAUGCAAAGCACGUCGGUAAAACCAGUCUCGCGUAAGUGUACGUGUAAUUUCGGUCCAGGCCGCUUCAUCCAACAAUAUCGCCGAACCAAAGUAUGACUUGCUGGUAAGCAGUAUGACUUGUAUCGCCCACAACUCACUUGUGUUCUACUCGCGCAUAUAACAUUUACGCAUAAAACCUGGCUCGGAUGCCACUAUUGGGGAACGUAGUAAUUUCAAAAAAUUUCCUACGCAUACGCAAGAUCAUGGUGAUGCGUAUCAACAAGAGGGGAGAGUGUUGUCUACGUACCCUCAUAGACCGAAAGCGGAAGCGUUAGAACAAUUUGGUUGAUGUAGUCGUACGUCUUCACGGCCCGAUCAAUCAAGCACCAAAACUACGGCACCUCCGAGUUCUAGCAUACGUUCAGCUCGAUGACAUCCUUCAAACUUCGAUCCAGCCAAGUGUCGAGGGAGAAUUCCGUUAGCACGACGGCGUGGUGACGAUCUUGAUGUUCUACCGUCGCAGGGCUUCUCCUAAGCACCGCUACAAUAUUAUCGAGGAGGACUAUGAUGGAGGGGGGGGGCACCGCACACGACUAAGAGAUCAAGAGAUCAAUUGUUGUGUCUAGAGGUGCCCCCUGCCCCCGUAUAUAAAGGAUCAAGGGGGAGGAGGCGGCCGGCCAGGAGGAGGCGCGCCAAGGGGGGAGUCCUACUCCCACCGGGAGUAGGACUCCUCCUUCCCUUGUUGGCGUAGGAGAGAAGGGAAGAGGGGGAGAGGAGGAAGGAAAAGGGGGCUGCACCCCUUGUCCAAUUCGGACCAGAGGGGGGCUGCGCGCCUCCUUCCUUUCGGCCUCUCUCCUCUAUUCCCGUAUGGCCCAGUAAGGCCCAUAUACUCCCACACGAAUUCACGUAACUCUCCGGUACUCCGAAAAAUACCCGAAUCACUCGGAACCUUUCUGAAGUCCGAAUAUAGUCAUCCAAUAUAUCGAUCUUUACGUGUCGACCAUUUCGAGACUCCUCGUCAUGUCCCCGAUCUCAUCUGGGACUCCGAACUCCUUCGGUACAUCAAAACUCAUAAACUCAUAAUAUAACUGUCAUUGAAACCUUAAGCGUGUGGACCCUACGGGUUCGAGAACUAUGUAGACAUGACCGAGACACGUUUCCGGUCAAUAACCAAUAGCGAAACCUGGAUGCUCAUAUUGGCUCCUACAUAUUCUACGAAGAUCUUUUAUCGGUCAAACCGCAUAACAAUAUACGUUGUUCCCUUUGUCAUCGGUAUGUUACUUGCCCGAGAUUUGAUCGUCGGUAUCCAAUACCUAUUUCAAUCUCGUUACUGGCAAGUCUCUUUACUCGUUCCGUAAUGCAUCAUUUCGUAACUAACUCAUUAGUUACAUUGCUUGCAAGGCUUAUAGUGAUGUGCAUUACCGAGAUGGCCCAGAGAUACCACUCCGACAAUCGAAGUGACAAAACCUAAUCUCGAAAUAUGCCAACUCAACAUGUAUCUUUGGAGACACCUGUAGAUCUCCUUUAUAAUCACCCAGUUAUGUUGUGAUGUUUGGUAGCACACAAAGUGUUCCUCUGGUAAACGGGAGUUGCAUAAUCUCAUAGUUGUAGGCACAUGUAUAAGUCAUGAAGAAAGUAUACGCCAACUCAACAUGUACCUUUGGAGACACCUGUAGAGCUCCUUUAUAAUCACCCAGUUACGUUGUGACGUUUGGUAGCACACAAAGUGUUCCUCCGGUAAACGGGAGUUGCAUAAUCUCAUAGUUGUAGGAACAUGUAUAAGUCAUGAAGAAAGCAGUAGCAACAUACUAAACGAUCAAGUGCUAAGCUAACGGAAUGGGUCAUGUCAAUCACAUCAUUCUCCUAAUGAUGUGAUCCCGUUAAUCAAAUGACAACUCAUGUCUAUCGUUAGGAAACAUAACCAUCUUUGAUUAAUGAGCUAGUCAAGUAGAGGCAUACUAGUGACAUUAAAUUUUGUCUAUGUAUUCACACAUGUAUCAUGUUUCCGGCUAAUACAAUUCUAGCAUGAAUAAUAAACAUUCAUCAUGAUAUAAGGAAAUAAAUAAUACCUUUAUUAUUGCCUCUAGGGCAUAUUUCCUUCAAUGUUAGCUAGCAUUACACAUCAAAAUUUUUGUUUUUAUCAUUUACCUAUUCGAGGAUGAGCAGGAAUUAAGCUUGAGGAUGUUGACAUGUCCAACAUAUCUAUAAUUUUUUAUUGUUUCAUGCUAUCAUAUGAUCAAUCUUGGAUGCUUUAUAUGUAUUUUAUACUAUUUUAUAUCUUUUUGGACUAACCUAUUAUUUUGAAAAAAAAUUGAAUUGUUUGGAUUGCUUACCACAUGUGUCACGUGGUUUGGGACUAACUUUUUAACCCAAUGCCUAGUGCUAGUUAAUGUUUUUUUUGCUUGUUUUUGGCUCUUCAGAAAAACAAUACCAAAUGAACUUCAAACAUGAUGAAACUUUACGGUAAUUUUUUCUGGACUAGAAGAGGCCCUAGAAGGUUCGGGAGGAGGCUAGAAGAUCUACGGAAGAGCCACGAGCUCACAGGGCACGCCCCCGAGCUCAUGGGCCCCACGCAGCUCCGUUUGACCUAAUUUCAACUCCAUAACUUCACAUAUAUUUCCAAACCAAUAGAGAGCCACCCGAAACACUUUUUUUCCACCGCAAGCUUCUGUUCUUCCGUGAUCCCAUCUGGAGGCCUUUUCCGGUACUCUGCCGGAGGAGGAAUCGAUCAUGGAGGGCUUCUAUAUCAUCCUUGCUGCCUUUCGAUGAUGCAUGCAUAGUUCAUGACAGACCUACGGGUCCAUAUCUAGUAGGUAGAUGGCUUCAUCUCUCUCUUUGAUCUUCAAUACAAUGUUCUCCUCGAUUUUCUUAGAGCUUUUUUAUCCUAUGUAAUCUUUUUUUGCGGUGCGUUUAUUGGGAUGCAGUGAAUUAUGGGUUUAUGAUCAAAUUAUUAACUGAAAGUAAUUGUGUCUUUUCUGAGCUUUAUUAUGCAUGAUUGUUAUAGCUUCGUAUUAUCCUCCGAUCAAUUCGUUUGGUUUCGCCAACUAGAUUGAUUUAUCUUCAGUGGGAGAGGUGCUUUGUAAUGGGUUCAAUCUUGCGGUGUCCUCAUAUAGUGACAGAAGGGGAAGCAAGGCACAUAUAGUAUCGUUGCCAUUAAGGAUAAAACGACGUGGUUUAAUCAUAUUUCUUGAGUUUACUUUGUCUAGAUCAUGUCAUCUUGCUUAAGGUGUUACUCUGUUUGCCAUGAACUUAAUACGAUAGAUGCAUGCUAAAUAGCGGUCGAUUGGUGGAGUAAUACUAGUAGAUGUAGGCAGGAGUCGAUCUACUUGUCACAGACAUGACUAUAUACAUGAUCAUUGCCAUGAAUAUGUCAUAACUAUGUGUUUUUCUAUCGGUUGUCUAACAGUAAUUUGUUUACCCACAAUAUGCUACGUGUUCGAGAGAGAAGCCUCUAAUGAAAACUAUGGCGCUAGGUCUACUUUUAUCAUAUUAUUAAAACUAAAAAUACCUUCAUGCAAUUUUAUACUUUUUUUACUUUUCUUUUUAUCUAUCUAUCACUAUCAGAAUUAAUCCUUGCAAAUAAUGAGUUCAAGGGGAAUGACAAGACUCUUGCCGCGUUGGGUGCAAGUAUUUGCUUUUGUGUGUGUAGGUGCUGAAAAAGGGAAUUUGCGUGGUUCUCCUAUUGGUUUGAUAACCUUGGUUCUCACUGACGGGAAUACUUAUCUCUAUUGUAUUGCUCCACCCAUCCUCUUGGGGGAAAUCCCAACGCAGUUUAGAAGUAGCACUACUCCUCCUUCCUCCUCCAUAGACGCUUGGCGAAGCCCUGCCACAGCUCCACCAUAAAAUCCACCACCACGCCAUCGUGUUGGCCUAGAUCUCAUCUACCUAUCCCUGUCGCUUGCUGGAUGAAGGAGACAUCACCGAGCCAUACGUGUGCAUAUCCCUGAGGUGUCAUUCGUGCGGUGCUGGAUCGGAUUGGAUCACGAAGAGUGUACGACUACGCCAAGCACAUUCAUUAGAACGUUUCUGUUUUAGGUCUAGAAGGGUUUGUAGACUUUUCCCCCUCGUUGCUAGCAUCUAGUUGAUUAGAUCUCGGAUGUUUUCAUUGUCUCGUAGGAAAAAAAUUGUUUUUCAUGCAUUGAUUCUCAUCACCGACCUGCUUCAAAAGAAGCAGGUAGGAGCCCAGGCGGCCCGAGCUCAGCAGGUUGCCGGGUGGGAGGUCCCUAACAGGUGCAUCCAAGAAUGCAACAACCUCCAAGUAGAGAAGGCGUCCCUAACCGAGAGGACGAGACAACAAGAGCUGGAGCUGGAAGAAGUUAAGUCUCGCCUGGUCGAUGCCGGGAGCGUCGCGGCGGGCCCUUGAGAUCAUAGCCAGUGAGUCUGUCCAUGCUUCAACUCAUAAACUAGGUGGAAAUUUUAUUUGCCGAUCUGACAUACAAAUUCAUUAUUUCCAGCAUCUUUUCCCGACCUGCCAGCCAAUGCUGUUGGAGCGUCCCUUAGGGAGAAACUGCAGCAGUUUGGAGAGUUAAACAAGAUUGCGAGGCCGGUAAUGGAGGGUAUUUUCUUGGCCCUAUGGCCUGGAAGAAAGGUUGUCGGAAAACCAGUUUGACCUCUGCCGCCGCCUCCAGGAGGGGCAUGCUCGGAUUGCCCUGUGAAAGGCGUUAGUGGCCUGAGAAGAUGCUCGUCAAGCGUGGGCCAUGCUCCAGACCCACUAUCCGGGCUUGAACAUCUGCCCUAUUGCCGUAGUUGGUCCAAAAGGACCUGACGGUAAGGAGAUUAUGCCCUAUGCUAGGAUGUCCGAGCAGGAUUGUCGUUUGAAAAGAUUAUUGAAUAGGCUAGGAGUGUUACCCUGGAUUGUCAAGGACGAAACGUUGAAUAAAAACUUCUCGAAUUUCGCUACCACCAUGUUUAUUUUUUUCUAUACCAACAACAUGAUAGGUUUGCUCCGACCUGUUAGCAUACGCUUGCAUUAACCGGCCUUUGGCUUCAACCUCAACAACCAAAUGUGGAGGCCUUAUAAUUGAUGUUAACGCAAUGAGUAGGGAUCACCAUGCAACUAGGAUGCAAACAUAUCUAUGAAUAUAUGAAAUAUCUCGCAAGGAUUAAGUGGGGGUGUGUCCAACUUGUUUGCUCAUGAAGACCUCAAGCAUUUGAUAAAGCUCAUCAUCGGGAUAUACAAGGAAAAUUAUACAAUAUAAAUUCCCCAAGCUAGUAUAAAACAUGAAGCUCAUGAAACUUUAAUUAGAUGUAAAUUGUCCAGACCAACAAAAGUUCUUUAGUAAGGGUCUCUGACGAGAAUUUAUUUCAUCGAAAGUGUCCUACUCAGCUUGAGCUCAUAUGAAUUUUUUUAUUGCCGUGAAAAAGAUGAAUGCCAUUCUAUGAUGAAACCUUGCAAGGAUUUAUAACAUUUGUCAAAUUAAGCCACACACAAAAAAUCAGAAAUUUUUGAAUUCUCUCUAAAUAUUUUCAGAUUUUAUUGCUCACCCGAGCUCAUAUGAGCUCGAGCUCAGUUAAUCCGUGUCCAUGUUUCAUCCUACUCUACUAGCAAAAACCAAUGGAGCAGACGGUAGUGACGUGGAAAAGAAACCAUAACAAAUUUUUAGUGAUAUAUAAUUAAAGAAACAGAAAUUUACAAUUGCAAAUUAGGGAAUCUUAAUGUCAAAUACUGAAUUCUUCCACCCACUAGCUGUGAGACAUAUCCAUUGCAGUGCCAAAUAAAGAAGCUUUUCCAUGAAUUAAUAACAACAAGACAAUGGUCCGCGUGUUGUAUAUAAUAAAUAGAGUCCUGCUUCGGUACAACCCCCCUCGCAAUAUGUAUAAAGGGUAAUAUGGACUUUUCACAAUCUGUAUCUACUUCUGUACGUAACAUAUACGCCAGGCAGCUUACUUGGGCCGGCCCAUUUGCGGUGGCAUGCGAUGAAAAAUAGCGAAAAAGGAUCACACAAACUGGGAAUCGAAACCGACGACCACUUCAAAAUUUAACUGCGUCCACAACCACUGCGAUAGCAUGCCUUUGUUGAAUGAUCUAAAGUUGGAAACAAUAAAUAAUUGACAGGCUGGGAAUUUUAAAAAGAUUUCAGUAACACUUUCUGAACUGGCGUUUUUUCCAUAAUUUCUUUCUAUUUAUUUUCCUUUUCCUGCUAUUCUUCUUUCUUUUUCAAAAAUGUUCGCGCUUUCAAAAUGUUGUUCCAAAUUUCAAACGGUUCAUUAUUUCCAAGUUUUGUUCAUAAACUAAAAAUAUUUGCAUUUUUGAAAAUUGUAUUGUAAUUUGAAAAAAUGUUUGUGACUUUGAAAAAAUGUUCAGAAUGUAAAAUGUGAAUAAUGUUUUGAAAACCACAAAUAAAAUUGUGAAAAUGAACAUUUUCUGAGAGCACGGACAAAAAAUUAAAUUCCAAAGCAUUUUUCAGAAAUGAGACUAAAUAAAUGAUCUCAUAAAAUUAUUCUAAAUUUACACGAUUAUUUUUUAAAAUUUGUCAGAAUAUUUUUGAAAAUGAGAACAUUUUCUAAAUUCCGAACAAAUUCCAGUAGUCGCCCGACAAGAGCGAUGCCGUUGCUUAGUUGGGCAAGGCCUAAAGUUUUUUCUUUUCUAUUUUUUCGUUUUAUUCUCUUUUUUGUUAAUUUAUCUUUUCACCUUUUUGAACUUUAUGGUUCUUUUUUUUAACCUGCUCAAAAAAUUGAAAUACCAAAAUAAUAGUUUUAAGGAACUAUUUUAAAUUAUGAUUUUAAUUCUUUUUUUGUUUCAAUAUUUCUUAAAUGCUUUUUAAAAAGCAUCUGUUGUUUUCAAUUCUAUUAUUUAGUAUUUAUUGAUUAUUUUAGAAAUUUAAAAUGACAGUUUGAAGUAUCUAUAUAAAUUAUGAUUUUAAAUGACCCCAACAUUUGCCAGCUGGUGGCAUGGCCAUGGUAGGCAUCCAUGCCCCAAUAUUCUUUCAUGGCCUCGUAUGACCAAUUCAAUGCACCAUGACAAGUUGUUUUGGUUUUCGACAAAUUUUGUAUUUUUCUAGAGUUUUCUCGAUAAGAAAAUGCAAAAAAAGGCCGGACGUGUUGCAACUUUCAUACUGUGUCAGAAAUUGUUCAAACCUGGCAUGGAUGCCUAUGAGGGGCAUGCCCAUCUGGUGGCAAAAGUUGGGGCCAUUUUAAGGAUGUACUCCCUCCGUCCGAAAAUACUUGUCAUCAAAAUGGAUAAUAAGGGAUGUACGUAGAACUAAAAUACAUGUAGAUACAUCUCCUUUUAUCCAUUUUGAUGACAAGUAUUUUCGGACGGAGGAAGUAUAAAUAGACCAUGUUGAACAAACUGUGUUCUCGGGCAGAAGGAUUCGUCUGAGAGCAUGUUAGUUCUCGACAUCCUUGAAAUUAAUCCAAUUUUUUUCAAGGGCCUCGUAUGACCAAUUCAAGGCAUCAUGGAAAGUUGUUUGGGUUUUCAACAAGUUUUGCAUUUCCUGGAGUUUCUUGGUGAAAAAGUAACAAUUAAUGAUAGAACAUGUCGCAACGUGCAUACGGUGUCGGAAGUCAUUCAGACCAAGUAUGGAUGCCUAACAUGGGCAUGCCCACUUGCUUGCAAAAGUUGGGGGUAGUCCUGAUAUUUCCAAAGAAAUACCAUGUUGGAUGGAGAGUGUUCGAAUAGGCUAGAAGGAUCUGUUUGCGAGCUCCAUUUCUCAUGGCCUUGUAUAACCAAUUCAAGGCACCACACCAAAUUGUUUUGGUUUUGUCCAAUUUUGCGUUUUCUGAAGUUUUUGUGGUUAAGAAGGCCGAUAAAUGACCGGAUGUGUCAACACUUGAAUAUGGUGUAGAAAAACGUCCAAACUAGGCAUGUGCCUACCAUGGGCAUGCCUACCUUCUUGCAAAAGUGGGGUUCAUUUUAAAGAUGUUCAAAAAUAGACUAUGUUCAACGGAGAGUGUUCGAAUAGUGCAGAAGGGUCCGUUUGAAAGCUCGUUGUUUACUGACAUCUGUCAAAUAACCCCAAAUAUUUUUCAUGAGCUUCUAUGACCAAUUCAAGGCACAAUGCCAAUUUGUUUAGAUUUUUGAAAAGUUUUGUAUUUUCUAGAGUUUUCUCAUUGAAAGUAGGCCGAUAAAUGGUCGGACGUGUCACAACAUGUAAAGGGUGUCGGAAGUCAUUCAAACCUGGCGUGGAUGCCUCAUAUGUCCAAGCCAGGCUCUUGCAAGAAGGUGGGAUCAUUUAUCAAUAGCCUAAAAUAUACCAGUUAGAUGAGUUUAUUUCUAAUUCCCUUCAUUAUCACUCAACAUAAACAUUUUAUUUUUUCCUAACAAUUUCUUGAAAUUUCUCAACAAUUUUGGAACUUCAAAGUGUGUAUGAAAAAUUUACUAACUUGAACACUUUUUUCCAAAAUUGUUAACAAAUUACGAAAGAAUGAUGAAAAUUUCGAACAAAAAAGCAAACCGCGUACUUCUUAAAAAAAUUGUCAACUUUUUUGAAACACAUACAUUUCUUAAAUUUGUGAACAACAAAAUUCGAAAACUAGAACAUUUUAUGAAAUUCCAGAAUAUUUUUUAUAAUUUAAACAAUAUUUGAAAACAAAAUCAUUUUAUGUUAUGCCAAACAUUUUUUCCAAAAUUUGAACAAGUUUCACAAAGAUUAAUAAAGUUCAAAAGUAGAAAAAUGAAUUAACAAAAAGAGAAAAAAAAAGAAACUAACUGCAAUGAAAAAAAUGCUUAGGCCCUAGAAAAUAAGAAUGUUUCCGGAAAAUUUAAGUAUAUUUGGAAAAAUAUUCGUAAAUUUUAAAAAUUGUUUGUGUUUUUGAAUAAUGCUCGCCAAUUUGAAAAAGUUUUGCAUUUUAAAAAAAUGUUCAGAUAUUUCAAAAUUGUUUAUGUUUUCAAGAAAAUGGUCACAAAUGUGAUAAAUUAUUCAUCUUUUCAAAAAAAUCUGCAGUUUCAGAUAUAUGUUUACAAUACUGAAAAACUGUUCUUAAACUUUCAAAAAUAUUCACAAAAUCAAAGUAUUUUUCAUAAAAAAGGGUUCGGGAAUUUGAAAAAAAUGCGUUUCCAAAAGAAGUCCAAAUUUUGAAAAAUGUUUCGUAUUUUUAAAAAUAUUCCAAUAGAUGAAAAAACACAUUAGGUUUUUUAGCUAUAAAAAAUGCUUUAGCUAGAAUGUCCUGCCCAGUUGUGUUUUCCAAAAGAAGUCCGUGCACCAAUUUUGAUCUGCUAGAGUAUUUCUAGUAAAAAAAAAGCUCCUACAGUACGUCUGUUCUAGGUAAUAAACAACUACACUUCAAAAAUAUCAGCAAAUCCAGAUGGUUCUGGUGGCUAUUAGCAGUUUCCCAACCGCUGGAGGUCCUGUGUUCGAUGCCCAAUAGGCACACUAUGUUUUGGAUUUUUGAUCGGUGCUACCGCACAUACUCUCUCUAAUGGGCCGGCCCAAAAUAGACUCAGAACAUGACAGAUCUUCGCGACGUAUUUUCUUGAAAGACCAUCCUACUCUUUAUUAUGAAAAGGUAUAGACAGAUCUCGUCCAUUGAUGUAUUCGGGGGUUGUGCCGAAGAAGAAGAUAUAGACCUAUGAGGAAUUACGUAUGCAUGCUCAAGAACCUAUGUUCGUACAUACAUACACAAAAUCAUAUAGAACAAAAGGUAUGCUCCGGUCAGAAAGCAGAGUCGUACAGCAGAGUUUUGGACAAAAGUGAAGUUCACAAAAGACCUUCAUACGAGAUAGGCCAUUGUUUCAACUCGUAGUUUAGGCCUUGCCGGACUCCUCGCAACCCGGUGGCCUAAAGGCGAUGAAGCUGACGCACUGCACCUGGCGCAGGUUGUCGAAGCCGAUGACACGGACAUAGGCGUCAGGGUACUCCUUCUUGACCUCCUCCACCUCGUUCAGCACCUGUGUGGCGUCAGUGCACCCGAACAUAGGCAGCUUCCACAUUGUCCAGUAUCGGCCGUCGUAGUACCCGGGGGAGCUGUUGUGCUCACGGAAGACGAAGCCAACCUUGCUGAACUCGAGGCAGGGCACCCACUUUGAGCGGAUCAGGUAGUCGACCUGUUUCAGGAGGGCCUCCGUGGAUAGGGGUGGCAGGUAAGACAGGGUCUCGAACUUCUUGAUGCCCUCAAUUGGCCACACCUAAAUGAAUAGAAUGCGCACAGAUGCUCAAUACUUGGUGAUAAGUCAAUUAAUUGUACUAAACUACGCUAGAAAAAAUCAGUCGACAAGCCAAAAAUUGCUCCUUAUGGGCAGCUCUCAUAUGCAUUGCUGGGUUGUUCACAAUCAAUAAAGCUUUGGUUGUACUUAGUGCUAGUAUAUGGGUCCUAUUUCGAGGAUGGGUUUGGUUAUAUACAUUGGGGAUGUUCUGCAAGUGAAUUACUUGCACUGACAAAGAAACUCAUAUCUGUUUAAUUAGUGCCCGACAUACCUGCAUGCACCUGAUCCUUCCGCCAUUGCUGACGCUGCUGAGGCUGCCGCUGGAGCGGCGGCCGACGGGGAGACCGGCUGUGGACUUGAGCCCCUGGAAGGGUGCGACGGUGGUAGCCGAGGAAGCCAUCACGGCGGGGGCCAUGGUAAUGUAUUAUCUGGAGGAGAGGAGGAUGCCGGCUACACUUGAGACCCCAUUGCCUGGUCACCACGCUAUAUAUAGCAGCGUUUCUUUCGUACAGAUGUGGUAGGGGUGGCUCACGUUCGCUGGUUGCCUCGUUUCCUUAUCUUCUCCGGAUCAGUGGAAGAAGCAUAUCCGUCGGAUGCAUUGUGUGUGCUGGAAAUUGUGUGAGGAUGGGACUUGAGUGGUUCGGCCAAAAUAUUUUUCAUUUUAUUAUAAGAUCUGCUGGCUCACUCUCUCGAAAGUGCUCAUAGGCGAAGAAUAUGCGUGUGUGCAUUCAUAAGAGAUGAUGUACAUGUGCCUAUGUGAACAUCCACGUUUGUACAAUGUUUCUCAAAAUAAAAUAUAUGUUUUCUUGGUACAAUUAACUGAACAAGCAUAGUAACCGUCCACAGGUAGAACAAGUUCUUUCCCUCUCGCAUGGCGAUUAGGGAAAGCUUUCCUCCCCUCGAUAUCCGCCGGCGAGCCUGUGGAUUUGCCUCCCCUCUGCGGGAAGGGGAUUCCUAGUGUCUCGUCUCCGGCUAGUAGAUGGGUAGGGUUUUUGUCCUCAGAGGGGUGACACUUGGACGGAUAGCGGCGCUUUUUCUUCAAGUUAGUCUUUCAGGAUCCGAUCCUAUUGAAGUUCCUCUAUUUGGGGAGCUCCGACGUAGAUUUGGCGAGCUCCUCGGGUGGCAAGGUUAGAAUUUCUCGUUAUGUGUGCGAACAAUGAAAUUUUGUGUCAGGGUCUUCAGAUCGAUUCAGGGAUUCAACGGCGACGACUGCCGCAAGAGCACUGAUCCUUAGAGGCAUGUGCAUGAAGACUCACUGGCUAUCAUCGACAAGGUCAUGCUAGCUCCAGUGUGGGAGCAAGAACAAUGGUGUGUUAGCGGCUCGUCUUCGCAGAGGCAAUGGCCAUUCGAUGGUCCAUGGACCUAGAUAAAUUUUUUAAUGUUUGAGGUGAUUUCUGCUUCCGGUGAAUCUUUAUAAUAGAUCUUGUCCUUUAGGCCAAAAAAAAAGAAACUAAACUAGGGUAGUGGCGCUUUCAUCCUAAUAUUACAUUCUUUAACAAAAAUAUUUUAAUAUAUACUAGCAAAAUGGCCCGUGUGUUGGAAUGGGAGAAAAGAAUACCACACGCUUUUAAUUUAUAAAAAAUGGUCUAGAUAAUCUGAAUAUUGGUAGCUACGGCCCAAACAAAGAUGGUCUUUGCCUACAAAAACGCAAGUUCAAGAUUCCACAUGCAUGUCUUCUAUUUAAACACGACUUGCAUGUAGAUUUAAUACAUACAAAGAAAUGGGCAAGUGAUCUUCAAUUUCGUUUCCAAUCCUGAUUUUGCUGAGAUGUGCAUCCACAAUCCGGAUCAGUACUGAUAUGAAAGAAAGAUGGAUAAUGCAUUAUAUUAACAGAUAAAAUAACAUCAUGUUCAGAUUUUAUAUUUUUUCUAAUCAAAUUCCAUAUAUAACAUGUUAAAUUUGAAGUUACGGUAUAGAAGAUAUGAGUAUUUUAAAAAACAUUUAAUAUGUAUUGUGGGUUUAAUGUCAGAAACAUUAGGGGGUUUUCUAUAAAAUAGCAUGACAGACUAAGAAUACCUAUUUCUUUUAUUAGUAGGUAUAGAUAGCAUGUUAUAUAUAGUCAAGGUUUCAAGGGUAUAAAAGUUCUCGCCUAUAAUAUAACAUGAUCCAACGGAGUGAUUUAAAAAAUAUAACUGUAUGUGUCCUGAAAAAAAAACAAUGUUCAGUAUAUAUUUAUGUAACAAUGAGCUAAGAUUUUUAUUUUGCUGAGGGAACAUAAAUGCAUAUAUAGUAUCCCUUCAAAUUUUCUCCCCUAACUUCUUUCUCCACAAUGCACCAACAGGAUAACAAUCCCUCUAGCGGGAUAUACAAGUCAUACUUAAUUAGAUAGACAAAUUCAAUCUUUGGCCAAUAACUAAUCCUUUUUUUAUUGUCAAAUUGAGCAACAAUUAAAUCCCAUAAAUGUUAUCGUUCAAAGAUUGGACGUGGAUGGUCAAAAUACACCAUAAAUAUAUCCUGGUGGAGGGAGUAAUAUUCUUUCGCCAUGCAUGAACUUGCAUCAUCAUAUGUUCCACAUCAUCCAACAUUUUUCUCUUGUGAAUCAAAAAAGAAAUAAAAAAAUUGGAAAUCAAAAAUCAUGAAAUGGAUUUAACUCAGCAUAUAAUACAUACUAAAUUGAGUUGGCUUUAAAUAUCAUUGGUUGUGUUGGGUGCAUAAGCAUUGGGUUCUCAAAGAGAAUUCAGUAAUAUAAAUAAGUUUUAUGGCGUCAAUUUAAUUUUUUUGAUAAUAAUUGUUUUAGGUCAUCAAACAUAACUGAAUAAUCUGAAGAAAGUGUUAUGGAAACCCUUCGAACUAUGUAACUAUUACAUGUGUGUAAUAUGCAAGAAAAAGAUAUAAGCAAACAAUAUAUAUUUUUUGAAUAAUUUGGAAGCAAACAAUAUAUGUAGGAGAUAUAUUGAUAAAUCAAAGCUAGAGUUGCACCAUCUUAAUGUUUGUACAACUGUGCUUCUAAACAACAUUGUAGAAGCAAGUGUUUGCAAGAACCAUACACUAGUAGAAAAAGGGGCAAAUCUGAGACACCUUAGUGCCGGUUCGAUUUUGAGCCGACACUAAUGUGUCCAUUAGUGCCGGUUCGAUUUUGAGCCGACACUAAUGUGUCCAUUAGUGCCGGUUCAAACGGCUAGCCGGCCGCUCUCAUUAGUACCGGUUCAUGGUGAACCUUUAGCACCGGUUCGUGCCACGAACCGGUACUAAAGAGAGUGGUGGCAGGAUGUUGUCAGUCUGGGGCCCGUCCAGCACCUUUAGUACCGGUUCGUGGCACGAACCGGUACUAAAGGUCGACGUACAUAAACCCUUCGUCCACCCGAGCCACUCUGUUCUUCCCCUCACUUCCUCUGUUCUUCCCCUCUCUUCCUCGAGCUCCUCACAAAUUUUGCCCAAAAUUUGUCAAGAUUUGAAGGCCCACAUCCAUUCAAAUGAUCACAAAGGUUAGCAACUUUGUCCUUUCAACUCUCAUUGCUAGAUUAGCUCUUGCAAUGCUUUGUAUAGUGAUUAAUUUGGGAGGAAAUAUAUUUGCUAGUAUUUGAUUUAUAUGCAAUUUCAGGUCAAAAAUAACACUUAGUUUGCAUAUGUAGGUGUGGUUUACUUAGUGCCUUCUAAAUCUCCGUCGUAACCACCGUCGAUCGCCCGCACCAUCCCGUCGCCGGCACCACCUUGUGGUGAGGCUCUUGUUCAUGAAUGUUUUACAUUACCAAAUUGAUGUUUGUGUGAUUUGGAUAUAUAGUUACUCGUAUAAUUGUCUUACCCGUACGUUGUUUGUUAUACAUAGUGCCAUGGUUUUGAUAUCCGUCCCCGUCGGCCCUCGUCCUUGUUAUGAUUCGGAUGUGGUAUAUUCUCUUUUAAAACUAGUUGUUGCAUUUCGUGUUUAUGACAAAUUAUGCCCAUCAAGUUGACAUAGAUAUUUUUAUCUAGGAGGUAUGUGAACCGGAAAUUCCAACCGACCCUAUUGUCGAGAGGUUAAAUUUAGUUGAAAGAGAAAAUGAGUAUUUGAAAGAAAAAUUGAAAAGAAUUGAGGGGGAGAAGAUGGAAUUGGAGUUGCAUGUUGCCGAUGUCGUCGAUGAUCACAAGAUCAAGAUGGAGAAAAUGAGGUUAAAGAUUAGAAAGAUUAGAAAAUAUGCCAUUGAUAGUGUGGCUUGGUAUCAUUAUGUUGUUGGAUCAAUUGUUGCCUUAGUUGCGGUCUUGAUCGCAUUUGUUGUUGCAUUUAAAUUCUUUAGCUAGAGAGUUAUUUGUAUGUUGCAUUUAAUUAAGUGUUGUAUAUGAACUUUAUGUAUGAACUUUAUGUAUGAACUUGUAUUAAUUUGGUUUAUUCGGUGUUAUGUAUAAUGAAGAUAUGAGCCGACAAUGGAUAUAUGAUGACCGAUGCUCUCCCGGGUUCAUUAAUGGCGUGCAUAAUUUUCUGCUUGCCGCUGAGGCAAACAAGCGGGCGGAUGGUUUUAUGCCUUGUCCAUGUGCUGGCUGUAAGAAUUGUCACAAUUACUCUACGUCAAGAACCAUUCACGUCCACCUAUUUGAGUCCGGUUUCAUGCCCCACUAUAAUGUUUGGACCAAGCACGGAGAAAGAGGGGUUAUGAUGGAAGACAAUGAAAGAAGACGACGACAUCUAUCCUGGCCAUGGGUUCCCUGAAUACGAUGAUACAACAAUGGAGGAAGAAGCUGAGCCGGCAAUGCGGGAACAAGCUGAAGAAGAGGCAUCAGAUGAGCCCGCUGAUGAUCUAGUGAAAGGAUCAAUAUGGUUGACUAGAGGGGGUGAAUAGGCAACUAACAAUUUUUAAGCUUUUCUUUAACAAUUUAAACCUUGCGACAAAAUAGGUUGUCUAGAUAUGCAACUACGUGCACAACCUAUAUGAUGCAAUGACAACUAGCACACAAGCAAGCAAUAGAUACAACACAAGUAAGCUUGCAAAAGUAAAGGCAUGAAAUAACCAAGAGUGGAGCCGGUGAAGACGAGGAUGUGUUACCGAAGUUCCUUCCUUUUAAGGGAAGUACGUCUCCGUUAGAGCGGUGUGGAGGCACAAUGCUCCCCAAGAAGCCACUAGGGCCACCGUAAUCUCCUCACGCCCUCACACAAUGCGAGAUGCCGUGAUUCCACUAUUGGUGCCCUUGAAGGUGGCGACCGAACCUUUACAAACAAGGAUGGGGCAAUCUCCACAACACUUGGAGGCUCCCAACAACACCAUGAAGCUUCACCACAAUGGAGUAUGGCUUCGAGGUGACCUCAACCGUCUAGGGUGCUCAAACGCCCAAGAGUAACAAGAUCCGCUAGGGAUUAGUGGGGGGAUCAAAAAUCUCUUGGUGGAAGUGUAGAUCGGGCCCUUGUCACCCAAUCCCGAGCAAAUCAACAAGUUUGAUUGGCUAGGGAGAGAAAUCGGGCCAAAAUGGAGCUUGGAGCAAUAAUGGAGCUUGGAGGUGGAAGAGGUGGUCAACUAGAGGUAGGAGACGCCCCUUUUAUAGUUAUGGAAAAGAUCCAACCGUUAUCCACAUGUUUAGCCUGCGAAAUGCGGUACUACCGCUCCAGGGGCACGGUACUACCGCAAGGCCAUGCGGUACUACCGUGGAGGACCACGGUACUUCCGCGGCAGCAGCAGAGGCCGGGACUUGCCUGACUGGGUGCAGUACUACCGCUUGCGCGGUACUACCGCUCCCCCUUGCGGUACUACCGCAAGGCAGGAAAGUCAAUGCCUACAAAGAGCGCGGAUGAAAUAAAUUAUAUCCAUGCCUACUUCCGCUGAAAACGAAACAGUGCAAAAAUCCGACGCGGUACUACCACGCAUGAGGCGCGGUACUACCGUGGAGGCGCGGAUGUAAAAAAUUACAUCCGCUCCUACUACCGUGACGCAGCGGUACUAGGUAUAAGGGCCACGGUAUUACGACUCCGGGGGAGCGGUACUACCGUGGCCUCCCACGAUACUACCGCGCAGGAUGUGCGGUACUAUCGUGGGGGCGCGGAUGUAAAAAAUUACAUCUGCCCCUACUACCGUACCGGAGCGGCACUAGGCCUGGGAGCCACGGUACUAAGGCUCUAGAGGAGCGGUACUACCGUGACCCCUAGCGGUACUACCGCAGGUGCUUGCGGUAGUACCGCUCCAUAGAGCAGUACUACCGCAAGUACAACAGUAGCCGUCAGAUGAAGCACAACUAGGAUAACAGAGAGAUGCUCCAAAGUGCAAGGGAAAGGAAGGACAUGUGUACGUGUUGAUUCCACCCGAACCUUUCUGACACGAACCCCCUCUUAAUAGUACAGCUCUCCUACGACUCAAAUCCACCAAAGAGAAACGUAGAACAACGCCGUCUUCAACAGUCUUCGAGGGGCACCGAAUCGUCUCGUGCCUAGAGAUGAAGCGUCUAAGAAACUAAAGGCACACGAUUAGUCCGCAAAAGCAUUGUCAUCAAUCACCAAAACACUUAAGGGAUAAAUAUGCUCUUACAAUCUCCCCCUUUUUGGUGGAUUGAUGACAAUACGGGAUUUGCACAUAGAUGAGAUAAUAUAGGGCACAGGAAAACCCCUCCUCUCUAGAAUAUAGACGGGCUCCCCCUAGAUGUGUGCAAUCUAGAUAGAUGCUUUGGACUGCAUCGCACACAACCUAGGAUCAACACUCCCCCUAUAUUAUAGAGACAAAGGCAUGAUAACUAACAUCUAAGCAGAGCAUAUCACAAAGGUAGCACAAUAUAUCACAAGCUUGCUAAGAUAGAUAGAGUGCAUAUGUCUUACACCAUAUGAAGUAAAGCAACCCAAAGCAACUGAAACGAGGUUCAAAGAGAAAGCAGCAAACACGAACGAUGACACAAGACGUGCAAAUCCCUACACUCUCUCCCCCUUUGGCAUCGAGACGCCAAAAAGGCAGAGAGGACACCUACACACACGGGGUGGCUCAAGCAGGGAACUCAUCCCAACCCUCUCCGUCGGACUCCUCGGCAGCAGGGAUGGUCGCCUCGACGUCCUCCUCAGAAUUAGUCCACCUAUAGCCUUGCUUCUCCAUCCACUCGGCCUCUGGAGUGAUGCGAUCCUCAGAACCGCCAGACACAUCCUCACCAUAGAGCUGCAAGAUCUUCUUGUCCCGGCGAUGACUCUCCUUGGAUGCCAUGUGAGUUCUGUACUGGCCCUUGGCUUGCAUGCAGAAAAGAGUCUUCAUCUUGUCCUUCAGCUUCUUGGCCCACGAGGGCAUAGAGGAACUAUGGGAAGUCCUGGCAGCACGGUCCUUAGCAACAUCCUCUACGCCAACAUCCUCCUCAUCAACAGCAGCCCUAGCAGCAGACGCCUCAGCGCGAGUAGUAGUGUUAGCCCAGUUGGACUUGACACAGAGACAGAUGGGAUCAUGGCGAAUCCAGUCUGGCUCAAGGAACUCCUCACCAGGGAACAUCUUCUCCCAAGUCUUCGAUAUCAGCAGAAAAAGAUAAGGACCAUAGAUAGGCACUUUGCGGUUGAACACCGCAAACCGAAGCUCACACCACAUGAUGUGUGAGACAUCAAGUGGCUGAGUCUGAGACAACCGAGCCUUGUCCUUGUCACCAAUGCGAGGGAACAAGGAGUUGCGAAAGAUGCGAUACAUGAUAUCCAGAAAAGAGUUGAGCACAAACCCCGUCUUGCCAUUGGCAAGUGCCUUCUCAACAUAGUAUGGUUGAAGCUUGUCCUUGUUAGCAGACUCAGGAUUAGCAUGGGGGCGAACACCCACGGGAGUGUUGAGCCCGUCAUCAGGAACGUGGAGCAGGUCCAUGAACUCCUUCCAAGUAGCAGUCAUCAUACGGCCAUUGGUCAUCCAGGUCAUCCUCCGCUCCUCAUCAUGGUGAAAGUAUACUGAGGCAAAGAACUGACAGAUGAGCUCAAGGUCAUAGUCAAGGUGAAAAGAGAUCACAUGCUCAAUACCAAACUGCUCCACCAGGUCCAGAGCUUCUCCAAAGUACGCACGAUACUGGUCCUUCCUCAUGUGAUGCAUUUCUAUCCAUUUGACAUCCACAUAGGUAUUAUGCUUAUUCUUGAUGACAUCCAGAUAAAUGAGAGUCUGUUGCUUGUUCCAAAACAGCUCACAACCUUUGACAGUAGCACGAGGGUUCACAUACGGGUUGAGCUUCCUGAGACGGACAAACUCAGAUUGGGGUAUCUCGUCCAUGCCCUUAGCGGGUUCCUUGUGCUUGCUAGCUGAUGACUUGACAUGGCGCUUGGGAGCAGAGGAGCCCUCUGGUGCUUCACCUGGAUUGCGUAGACGCUUGGAGCCCGUGUCACGACUAGGGUUGGAACGGCGAGAGCCACCACCUGAGACACACACGCAAAACACGCACGAAAUGCAAAAAGGAUCAAUGCAAAGACCACGGUAAAGCACAAGAAACACAUAGAAAGUAUACAUGAAAGUUGCCAUGAGAUAGAUGUGAGCCACGGUAGUACUGCCUGAGCCUGCGGUACUAAAAUUUUAGUACCGCUCCAGGGUGCGGUAGUACCAUGCGAGGCACGGUAGUACCAUGGUUGGAGCGGUAGUAAAGUUUUAGUGCUGCAGUGAGUGCGGUAGUACCGCGCCAGAGGGCGGUAGUACCAAACAAGCGGUAGUACCGCGCCAGAUGGGCGGUAGUACCGCACCGCGUCAGAUCCAAGCGAUGGUUUGAAUCUGAAAAGAACCGCGAAACCCCGGUAGUGCUACGGUGAUCAAGUCUAGCACAGUACAAAGUACAAGUAUAAUUCCUACGCAAUACUAUGCUCCUUCAUCCUACUCUUGCAAAGAUUAAGCCUAAGAAUCUCAAGAACACACAAGUCUCCCCCAAAACCUAGAGACAACAAACACAACAAAAACGAGAAGGAGUUGGGGAAAGACCUUGGUCCAUAGCAAGAGCACGUGGUGGGGAGCGAUCCCACCGGUCGGAAUCACGGGAGGGCAGCCGGAGGCGGAGAUCCGAUGACGGAUGCCGGCUCCGUUCUUGAGCGAGGGAGAGAGAGAGACAAGAUGGGGAACGGGCGAAUGGGUAUGGGGGAGUUAGAACUCCCCCUGGCCGUCCUUAUCCCCACUCGUCCGAGCCGUCACGGUAGUACCGCAUAUCAUUGCGGUAGUACCACUUGGGCGGAAGUACUGCACCGAAGCGGUAGUACCGCUCUCCCAGGUGGCAGUAAAAAAUUACUGCCGUAUGGGGGCGGUAGUACCGUGCUCCCCUCAUGCGGUAGUACCGUAGUAGGCUGCGGUAGUACCGUGAGCUCAAGAAAAAGCUGGUUUCGACACACGAAAAGAGGUCUUUGCAAAGAAACUUCUAGCACAAAAAGACACCACAAGAACAUGAACAACCCAAAGGCAGAAAGACAACAAGAAGCAACCGCGCAACCCAACCUCUCAAAAGGAGAGGGGGUGCCGGAGCCACCUAUGUUUGAGUUAGUUGGUAUGGCACCGCGAAGAAUUAUCCUUGGGCCCAUGACCAAAACUCAUCUUUGAAGCACAAGUACCAUAAAAAAUGGCUAAUGUGAAAGAGUUGAUCGAUUUAUGCAUAAUGGGGGGAGGGAGAGUUCAUUGACAGAACAACACUCCCCCUAUGUCCAUGCCUACAUCUAAACUAGACAACAAGUUGAGUGUGGUGGGGGUGCAAGGGUUCAAGUCACGUUGCUCGAAUCAAUGAUAUUUAGCUCAUGCCUUAACUCGCGAAAUCUUGCUUCAUCCAAGGGCUUCGUGAAAAUAUCUGCAAGGUUAUCAUGAGUGUUGACAUACUUGAGCUCGAUCUCCCCUCGCCUAAUGUGAUCCCGGAUGAAGUGAUACCGAAUCUCAAUAUGCUUCGUCUUGAAGUGUUUCACCGGGUUGAGAGAAAUCUUGAUGGCACUUUCAUUAUCACACCAAAGAGGCACUUUGUCACAAAUGACACCGUACUCCUUUAAAGUUUGCCUCAUCCAUAAGAGUUGUGCACAACAACUACCGGCCGCCACAUAUUCCGCUUCGGUGGACGAGAGAGACACACAACUUUGCUUCUUGGAAGACCAACUUACCAAAGAGCAACCAAGAAAUUGGCACCCUCCGAAAGUGGACUUCCUAUCCACCUUAUCUCCCGCCCAAUCAGAAUCUGUGAAUCCUUCAAGCUUGAAGUUAGCUCCUCUUGGGUACCAUAGGCCAAAGUUUGGGGUAUGAGCCAAAUAUCGAAAGAUUCGCUUGACCGCCACAAAGUGGCUUUCCUUUGGUGCGGCUUGGAACCAUGCACACAUUCCCACACUCAACAUGAUAUCCGGUCUAGAUGCACAAAGGUAAAGCAAGGAACCAAUCAUAGAGUGAUAUACCUUUUGAUCCACCGCUUUACCAUUGGGAUCAAUGUCAAGUUGGCACUUGGUGGGCAUCGGAGUAGAGGCCGGCUUGACAUCACUUAGCUUGAAUCUCUUAAGCAUGUCUUGAGUGUAUUUGGCUUGGUUGAUGAAGGUACCUUCUCUUCUUUGUUUGAUAUCAAAACCAAGGAAGAACUUCAACUCUCCCAUCGAAGACAUCUUGAACUUAGAGGUCAUGAGAGUGGCAAAUUCUUCAUUGAAAGCAUUGUUAGGGGAACCAAAGAUAAUGUCAUCAACAUAUAGUUGGCACACAAACAACUCCCCUUUGACCUUCUUAGUAAAAAGAGUGGGAUCAAUUUGCCCUACUUCAAAUCCACGAUCUUGUAACAACUCGGUAAGGUGGUCAUACCACGCAUGUGGGGCUUGUUUAAGGCCAUAGAGUGCCUUAUCAAGUUGAUACACAUGAUCCGGGAAGUAAUGAUCCUCGAACCCGGGGGGUUGCUUGACAUAAACCAACUCAUUAAUAGGACCAUUAAGAAAAGCACUUUUCACAUCCAUUUGUUGUAGCUUAAAGUUGUGAUGGGAAGCAUAAGCAAUCAACAAACGAAUGGAUUCAAGGCGAGCAACGGGAGCAAAGGUUUCACCAUAGUCGAUACCCUCAACUUGGGAGUAGCCUUGUGCUACCAAUCUUGCCUUGUUGCGAAUGAUGUUCCCAUGAGCAUCUUGCUUGUUCUUGAAGAUCCACUUGGUUCCAAUGACGUUAUGGUUCCCCGAAGGCCUUGGCACCAACCUCCACGCCUUGGUGUACUUGAAGUUGUUGAGUUCUUCAUGCAUGGCAUUGAGCCAAUCCGAGUCUUCGAGCGCCUCAUAGACCUUUUGGGGUUCAACACAAGAGACAAACGCGUGAUGCUCACAAUAGUUUGCUAAUUUUCUACGAGUGCUUACCCCCUUUCUUAGGCUUCCAACCACAUUCUCCAUGAGAUGGCCUUUGGUGGUGAGUUUGGAAGCAAUCUUCGCGGCACGACGCUCUAAUUCCUCCUCGGAUGUGGAAGGAGGAGGGUUAACUUGAUCAUCUUGAGCGCCGUCUUGAGCUUGUUCUUGAUCUUGAGCUUGCUCAUGAUCUUGAACUUGCUCGAGGGGGAGAACUUGACCUUGGGCAUCAUUUGGAGGUUCACCAUCAUCUUGAGAUUGAUCUUGCCCUUGGUCUUGUUCCCGAGGUUGAGGGCCUACACUUUGUUCUUCGAAGCGUGUGGGUCUUGAGUAGGUGAAGGCUCCACUUGAGUGGAGCAUUUCCCUUCUCCUUCGGCCACAAGGGGUUCCUCAAUGGGUAGAAUAUGACCAAUACCCAUUCUUCUUAUGGCUUGGGGAGGAAUUUCAUCACCUACAUCACAAGUACCACUUUGCUCCACUUGGGAGCCGUUAUUUUCGUCAAACUCCACGUUACACGUCUCCUCAAUGAGUCUGGUGGACUUGUUGAGAACACGGUAAGCAUGAGAGUUUGUAGCAUAACCAACAAAUAUGCCCUCAUAAGCUCUAGCCUCAAAUUUAGACAAACGAACACCUUUCUUGAGAAUGAAACACUUACACCCGAACGCUCGGAAGUACUUGAGAUUGGGCUUGUUUCCGGUGAGUAUCUCAUAAGGAGUCUUGUUCAAGCCUUUGCGGAGAUAGAGCCGAUUGGAUGCAUGACAUGCGGUGUUGAUGGCUUCGGCCCAAAAGUUGUAUGGAGACUUGAACUCCGCCAUCAUGGUCCUUGUCGCAUUCGUCAACGUUCGGUUUUUCCUCUCCGCAACACCAUUUUGUUGAGGGGUAUAUGGUGCAGAAUAUUGAUGCUUGAUCCCCUCAUCACUAAGAAACUCAUCCAAGGUGUAGUUCUUGAACUCGGUGCCGUUGUCACUUCUUAUUGUCAAGAUCUUUGCAUUAUGUUGACGUUGAGCUUCAUUUAAAAAGUCGAUGACGGUUUGUUGAGUCUCACUCUUCCUCUUGAAGAAGUAUACCCAAGUGUAUCUUGAAUAAUCAUCCACAAUCACCAAGCAAUACUUUCUACCCCCAAGACUAUCAAAGGAUGGAGGACCAAAGAGGUCCAUGUGCAGGAGCUCCAAGGGUCUCUUCGAGUAGAUGAUAGUCGUGGGAGGGUGAGCCGUCUCAUGAAGCUUUCCUUCGAUACAAGCACUGCAAGCACGAUCUUUGGCAAAACUAACAUUUGUUAGUCCACGGACAUGUUCCCCCUUGAGAAGACUUUGCAAAGAUCUCAUAUUGACAUGGGCUAAACGGCGAUGCCAAAGCCAUCCCACAUCAACUUUAGCCAUUAGGCAUGUCGCGGUCUUAGUGGGUUGCUCCUAAAAGUUAAUCACAUAGAGACUGUUCUCGACAUGCCCAACAAAGGCUACUUUAAGAGUCUUGCUCCACAAGAGGGCCACGGUAUCAAUAUCAAAGAAGGUGGCAAAGCCCAUGAGUGCGAGUUGACGAACGGAAAGUAAAUUGAACGCAAGGGACUCAACAAGCAUGACUUUCUCGAUUGUUAGAUCAUGAGAAAUGACAACCUUGCCAAGACCCAAUACCUUAGAAUGCGAGGCAUCACCCCACUCGACAUUGGUGGGCAUAGAUGGGAUCUUUUGGACGUCCACCACCAAGUCCUUGCUCCCGGUCAUAUGAUUUGUUGCUCCACUAUCAAGCAACCAUGAUCCCCCACCGGAAGCAAACACAUACAAGAGAUCAAUGCUUGGUUUUAGGUACCCAUUUAGUAAUGGGUCCUUUGAUGUUAGUAACAUGGGUCUUAGGAACCCAAAUAGACCAUUCAAUGUACUCAUAAGAAGAACCAACAAAUUUAGCAUAAACAUGCCCAUCACUAGCACGGCACAACACAUAAGAGGGGUUAAAGUCGCCGGCUUUGUUGGGAGAGAUGGCUUUGCGCUCUUUGGCAUCACCACUCUUCGCAUUCUUCUUCUUCUCCUUAGGAGCACCCUCUCCCUCCUUCACAAAAGUUUGCUUGAGCGGGGGAGGUCAUUUGGUCUUGUUAUUCUUCUCCUUGUUCUUCUUCUUGUUCUUGGACUUGGGUGAAAACCCAACUCCCUCCUUGCCCACAACUUCCUUUUGAUUGCUCAAAAGGUCAUUUAGGUUCUUCUCACCUUGUAUGCAUGACACAAGUCCUUUCUCGAGUUGUUCCUUCAACUUGACAUUCUUCUCCACAAGAUGCACAUGCUCACAACACGGGUUAGUAGCAUUUGCAUUAUCAAUUAAGACCAUGUGAGGAAAUGUGGCCUUUUCCUUGGUUAGCUUAACUUGGAGUUGAGCAUGAGACUCCUUGAGGUUUGCAUGAGCACUUUUCAAGACCUUAUGGGCCUUGUCAAGUACAUCAAACUCCUCCUUGAGUCUAGCAUGAUCAACCCCAAGCUUAGCCUUCUCGGAAGUUAGAACACGAGACACAACAAGAGCAUGAUCAAGAUCUUUCUUUAAUUUGGCAUGGUCAUCAUUGUGUGACUCCUCAAGAGCCAAACGAUGCCCACGCUCUUCCUCAAGAGCAUUAGAGAGAUCCGAUAUCUCAUCGGCAUAGUCAUGACUAUGACCUUCCAUCUUAGAGAUGGUUUCUUCGUGAGCCUCAAUCAUGUCAUUGGCUUCACCAAGUUGUUCCAAGAGAGCAACGAAGUGCUUCUUGGAUUUGCCAUUGAGCUUACUCAUGAAGGACUCAAAUUCAUUUACCUCCUCAUUAUACCCCUUACCAUCAUCAAAGCCAACCGUUGAAGAAGGAUUAGGAAUAAUGGUGGUUUUGAUGUUGGGGGUUACCUUGUUGGUGGACUUAGCCAUGAGGCACUUGGCGGUGAUGUUCUCGUUGGGUGAAUCGAAAAGAGACACCCGGGGAGUUGUGGCAAUGGCAACGGAUGCCAUGGCCAUUGCUUCACUAUCUUCAUGAUCAUCAUCAUCCUCACGGUAUUCUUCUUGAACCACCAACCCGCGAGUAGGAGUCUUCUUGGUGAAGUUGUUCUUGUUGGGGAAGGACUUGGCCUUGUCUUUUCGGAUGAACUUGCCACGAUUGUCUUCCCACUUCUCGUAAGGACAAUCCGCAACGAAAUGGCUCACAUUGCCACAGUUGAAACAAGUUCUAACUCGUUGCUUUCCAUUGAUGCCACUUGAGUUGUUCUUGUUGAAGUUGGGUCUUGUAUUCUUCUUGCUCCAGAAUUGUCUUAAGGCAAGAGCCAUGUGCUCAUGAUAAUCAUAUUUUGUGUCUUCGGGGUUGCUCUCCUCAUCUUAUUCUUCUUCCUCUUCUUCCACAUUGACCUUGGCCUUCAAGGCAAGGUUGGGCUUCUUUGCCCUUUGAUAACGGAGCACCGCAUUAUCAGCGGUCUUGUCCAAGAUGCUCAUUGCAACGAACUCAUCCAACACUUCACUUGAGGUCAUGGAGUGGAAGUCCGGUCUUUGAUGAAUGACGGAGGACAUGGCCUUUUUGUAGGGCAUCAUGGCCUUGAGGAACUUGCGCUUGAUCCAAUUGUCAUCCGUGUCCUUGCUCCCAUGAUCUCGGAGUGCGACCACGAGUUUGGUCACUCUUCGAAAGAGCUCACGAGGUUCUUCAUCUUCUUUCAUUGCAAACUCAUCAGCUUCAUCUUGCACCACUUCAUAUUUGGAGCGUUGAAUGCUAGAACUUCCUCGAUAGAGAGACAAAACACAUUUCCAUGCGUCUUUAGCCAUGGCAUGAGGUCGAAGAUGAGGGAGAUCUUCGGGAAGGAUUGCAUCUUGGAUGAUGAAGAGAUCACUCUCAUUGAAUUGAUUAUCCACGGCUUCUCGAGGGGUGAAGUUGCUUGGGUCAUGUGGAUAGAAACAUUCUUCUAUAAUUCUCCAAAGAUUAGUGUUUUAAAUGACGCUUGAAACGAUACACCCAAGCAUCAAAAUCCUCAUUUUUCACAAUCUUAGGAGGAGGACCGGCAUGAUUUAAAUGAGUAGUGGGAAUCGGUCCACCAUAAGUAGGAGGUUCCACAUGGGCAAAGAUGUCGGAGCCAUUUCUACCACUAGUAGAAGGACCUUUUUCACUAUUAGCUUCCCCCUUGUCAGAGGUGGCAUCCGUCACCUUGUUAGUGGGAUCACCCACUUUCAUCGGCGAGGUGGAUAGUUUAAGUCCUUCUAGGAAUUCAGAAAACAUGCUUUUAACCUCGGCCGUCAUGGAGGUUUUCAAUGUGUCUAAAGCCACAUUGAAUUCCUCACGUGAGACCGAGGUUCCCCCAUCGGCCGUAGACGAGAUAGGAUUCACAUCGGAGUGCUCCUCCACACCGUCGUUGGUGUCAACCAUACUCUUCGGACGGCAAAGUCCUUAAUAAAGAGACGAGGUUCUGAUACCAAUUCAAAGGAUCGAUAUGGUUGACUAGAGCGGGGGUGAAUAGGCAACUAACAAUUUUUAAGCUUUUCUUUAACAAUUUAAACCUUGCGAAAAAAUAGGUUGUCUAGAUAUGCAACUACAUGGACAACCUAUAUGAUGCAAUGACAACUAGCACACAAGCAAGCAAUAUAUACAACACAAGUAAGCUUGCAAAAGUAAAGGCACGAAAUAACCAAGAGUGGAGCCGGUGAAGACGAGGAUGUGUUACCGAAGUUCCUUCCUUUUAAGGGGAAGUACGUCUCUGUUAGAGCGGUGUGGAGGCACAAUGCUCCCCAAGAAGCCACUAGGGCCACCGUAAUCUCCUCACGCCCUCACACAAUGCGAGAUGCCGUGAUUCCACUAUUGGUGCCCUUGAAGGCGGCGACCGAACCUUUACAAAGGAGGAUGGGGCAAUCUCCACAACACUUGGAGGCUCCCAACAACACCACGAAGCUUCACCACAAUGGAGUAUGGCUUCGAGGUGACCUCAACCGUCUAGGGUGCUCAAACACUCAAGAGUAACAAGAUCCGCUAGGGAUUAGUGGGGGAGUCGAAAAUCUCUUGGUGGAAGUGUAGAUCGGGCCCUUGUUACCCAAUCCCGAGCAAAUCAACAAGUUUGAUUGGCUAGGGAGAGAGAUCGGGCCAAAAUGGAGCUUGGAGCAACAAUGGAGCUUGGAGGUGGAAGAGGUGGUCAGCUAGAGGUAGGAGACGCCCGUUUUAUAGUUAUGGAAAAGAUCCAACCGUUAUCCACAUGUUCAGCCUGCGAAAUGCGGUACUACCGCUCCAGGGGCGCGGUACUACUGCAAGGCCAUGCGGUACUACCGUGGAGGACCACGGUACUUCCGCGACAGCAGCAGAGGCCGGGACUUGCCUGACUGGGUGCAGUACUACCGCUUGCGCGGUACUAUCACUCCCCCUUGCGGUACUAUCGCAAGGCAGGAAAGUCAGUGCCUAUGAAGAGGGCGGAUGAAAUAAAUUACAUCCGUGCCUACUUCCGCUGAAAAUGAAACAGUGCAAAAAAUCCAACGCGGUACUACCGCGCACGAGGCGCGGUACUACCGUGGAGGCGCGGAUGUAAAAAAAUUACAUCCGCUCCUACUACCGUGACGCAGCGGUACUAGGUAUGAGGGCCACGGUACUACGACUCCGGGGGAGCGGUACUACCAUGGCCUCCCGCGGUACUACCGUGGGGGCGCGAAUGUAAAAAAUUACAUCUGCCCCUACUACCGUAGUGGAGCGGCACUAGGCCUGGGAGCGACGGUACUAAGGCUCCAAAGGAGCGGUACUACCGUGACCCCCAGCGGUACUACCGCAGGUGCUUGCGGUACUACCGCUCCAUAGAGCAGUACUACCGCAAGUACAGCAGUAGCCGUCAGAUGAAGCACAACUAGGAUAACGGAGAGAUGCUCCAAAGUGCAAGGGAAAGGAAGGACAUGUGUACGUGUUGAUUCCACACGAACCUUUCCGACGCGGACCCCCUCUUAAUAGUACGGCUCUCCUACGACUCAAAUCCAUCAAAGAGAAACAUAGAACAACGCCGUCUUCAAUAGUCUUCGAGGGGCACCGAAUCGUCUCGUGCCUAGAGAUGAAGCGUCUAAGAAACUAAAGGCACACGAUUAGUCCGCAAAAGCACUGUCAUCAAUCACCAAAACACUUAAGGGAUAAAUAUGCUCUUACAUCUAGGUCGGGCCAUUGCCGAUGCAAAGAGAAACCGCGCAAGUGAUUUGGAGAGGAAGAAGUUGCAGCGCAUGUUAGAGGAUCACAAGAAAUUGUUGUACCCAAAUUGCGAAGCUGACAAAAAAAGUUUGUUACCACACUGGAAUUGCUGCAAUGGAAGGCAGAGAAUGGUGUAUCUGACAAGGGAUUUGGAAAGUUGCUGGUAAUGAUAAAGAAUAUGCUUCCAAUGGACAACGAAUUGCCUGAGAGUACGUAUGAAGAAAAGAAGGUUGUCUGCCCUCUAGGGUUAGAGGUGCAGAAGAUACAUGCAUGCCCUAAUGACUGCAUCCUCUACCGCGGUGCGUACGAGGAUUUGAACACUUGCCCGGUAUGUGGUGCAUUGCGUUAUAAGAUCAGUCACGAUGACCCUGGUGAUGUCGAGGGCGAGCGCCCCAGGAAGAAGAUUCCUGCCAAGGUGAUGUGGUAUGCUCCUAUAAUACCACGGUUAAAACGCUUGUUCCAAAACAAAGAGCAUGCGAAGGCGAUGCGGUGGCACAGAGAAGACCGUAAGAAAGACGAAAAGUUGAGAGUACCCGCUGACGGUUCGCAGUGGAGAAAAAUCGAGAGAAAGUACAGGGAGGAGUUUGCAGGUGACCCAAGGAACGUAUGGUUUGGUCUAAGCGCAGAUGGCAUUAAUCCUUUUGGGGAGCAGAGCAGCAACCAUAGCACGUGGCCUGUGACUAUAUGUUUGUAUAACCUUCCUCCUUGGUUGUGCAUGAAGCGGAAGUUCAUUAUGAUGCCAGUGCUCAUCCAGGGUCCUAAGCAACCCGGCAACGACAUUGAUGUGUACCUAAGGCCAUUAGUUGAAGAACUAUUACAGCUGUGGAAUGGAACAGGUGUACGUGCGUGGGAUGAGCACGGACAGGAAGAAUUUGACCUAAAGGUGUUAUUGUUCGUGACCACCAAUGAUUGGCCUGCUCUCAGUAACCUUUUAGGACAGACAAACAAGGGAUACCGCGGAUGCACGCACUGUUUGGAUGAUACUGACAGUAUAUAUUGGAGUGUUGUAGGAAGAAUGUGUACCUGGGACAUCGUCGAUUUCUUCCGAGCAGGCAUCCCGUAAGAAAGAAAGGCAAGCAUUUCAAAGGUGAGGCGGAUCAUCGGACGAAGCCUCGCCACCGUCCUGGUGCUGAUGUACAUGAUAUGGUCAAGGAUUUGAAGGUAAUCUUUGGAAAGGGUCCUGGCGGACAACCUGUUCCCAAGGACGCUGACGGACGCACGCCCAUGUGGAAGAAGAAAUCUAUAUUUUGGGAUCUGCCCUAUUGGAAAGACCUAGAGGUCCGCUCCGCAAUCGAUGUGAUGCACGUGACGAAGAAUCUUUGCGUGACCCUCCUUGGCUUCUUGGGCGUGUAUGGGAAGACAAAAGAUACACCAGAGGCACGUGAGGACCAGCAACGUAUGCACGGAAAAGACGACACACAUUAGGGUCAGGCCAGCUAUGCUCUUACCAAAGAAGAGAAGGAAAGCUUCUUUGAAUGCCUGCUCAGCAUGAAGGUACCGUCUGGCUUCUCGUCGAAUAUAAAGGGAAUAAUAAAUAUGGCAGAGAAAAAGUUCCAGAACCUAAAGUCUCAUGACUGCCACGUGAUUAUGACGCAACUGCUUCCGGUUGCAUUGAGGGGGCUUCUACUGAAAAAUGUUCGAUUAGCCAUUGUAUAGCUAUGUGCAUUCCUCAAUGCCAUCUCUCAGAAGGUAAUCGAUCUAGAAAUCAUACCAAGGUUACAGAAUGAUUUGGUGCAAUGUCUUGUCAGUUUUGAGUUGGUGUUCCCACCAUCCUUGUUCAACAUCAUGACGCACGUCCUAGUUCACCUUUGCAAAGAGAUUAACGUUUUGGGUCCUGUAUUUCUACACAAUAUGUUCCCCUUUGAGAGGUUCAUGGGAGUUUUGAAGAAAUAUGUUCAUAACCGUGCUAGGCCAGAAGGAAGCAUUGCAAAGGGCCAUGAAAAUGAGGAGGUCAUUGAGUUUUGUAUUGACUUUAUUCCUGACCUUAAGCCGAUUGGUGUUCCUGAAUCGCGGCAUAAGGGCGGUGAGGGAGUCCUGGACUAGGGGGUGUCCGGAUAGCUGAACUAUCAUCAUCGGUCGGACUCCAAGACUAUGAAGAUACAAGAUUGAAGACUUUGUCCCGUGUCCGGAUGAGACUUUCCUUGGCGUGGAAGGCAAGCUUGGCGAUACGGAUAUGUAGAUCUCCUACCAUUGUAACCGACUCUGUGUAACCCUAGCCCUCUCCGGUGUCUAUAUAAACCGGAUGGCUUUAGUCCAUAGGACGAACAACAAUCAUACCAUAGGCUAGCUUCUAGGGUUUAGCCUCCUUGAUCUCAUGGUAGAUCUACUCUUGUAAUACCCACAUCAUCAAUAUCAAUCAAGCAGGACGUAGGGUUUUACCUCCAUCAAGAGGGCCCAAACCUGGGUAAAACAUCGUGUCCCUUGUCUCCUGUUACCAUCCGCCUAGACGCAUAGUUCGGGACCCCCUACCCGAGAUCCGCCGGUUUUGACACCGACAUUGGUGCUUUCAUUGAGAGUUCCUCUGUGUCGUCACCGAUAGGCUCGAUGGCUUCUUCGAUCGUCAACAACGACGCAGUCCAGGGUGAGACUUUUCUCCCCGGACAGAUCUUCGUAUUCGGCGGCUUUGCACUGCGGGCCAAUUCGCUUGGCCAUCUGGAGCAGAUCGAAAGCUACGCCCCUGGCCGUCAGGUCAGAUUUGGAAGUUUGAACUUCACGGCUGACAUCCGCGGAGACUUGAUCUUCGAUGGAUUCGAGCCACAGCUGAGCGCGCCGCACUGUCAUGAUGGGCAUGAUUUAGCUCUGCAGCCGGACAGUGCCCUGGAGGCCGCACACGAGCCCGCUGCGACCCUCGAUUCGGAGCCGGCUGCGCAGAUCGAGGACGGGUGGCUAGACACCGCCUCGGGGGCUGCAACCUCUACGGUGAUGGAGCCGAAUACUGGCAUUGUCCCUUGUGAAGCUCAUGACUCCGAGGUGCCGGACUCCUCGCCGGACUCCGAACCUCCCGCGACCCCUCCAAUCGAAUCCGAUUGGGCGCCGAUCAUGGAGUUCACCGCUGCGGACAUCUUUCAACACACACCUUUCGGCGACAUCUUGAGUUCGCUAAAGUAUCUCUUGUUAUCAGGAGAGCCCUGGCCGAACUGCGGUCAGGACGGUUGGGAUGCGGACGGCGAAGAAAUUCAAAGCCCACCCACCACCCACUUAGUAGCCACUGUCGACGAUCUAACGGACAUGCUAGACUUCGACUCCGAAGACAUCGACGGUAUGGACGACGAUGCCGGAGAUGACCAAGAACCAGCGCCUACUGGGCACUGGAAAGCCACCUCAUCAUAUGACAUAUACAUGGUAGAUAUCCCAAAGGAUGGGAAUGGCGAAGGAACAGCGGAGGAUGACCCCUCCAAGAAACAGCCCAAGCGCCGGCGUCAGCGGCGCCGCUCUAAAUCCCGCCACAGCAAGAAUGGAGAUUUCGGCACCGGAGAUAAUAAUACCCCAGACAGUGCCGAAGACAACCCCCUCCAGCAAGAUUCAGCACAGGAGGACGAAGAAGCCAGCCCUCAUGAGAGGACGGCAGACGAAGAGGUAGAGGAUGAUAAUUACAUGCCUCCCUCCGGAGACGAGGCAAGCCUCGACGACGACGAAUUUGUCGUGCCUGAGGAUCCCGUCGAACAAGAGCGUUUUAAACGCAUGCUUAUGGCCACGACAAAUAGCCUGAAGAAAAAGUAGCAACAGCUUAGUGCUGAUCAAGAUCUGCUAGCCGACAGAUGGACUGAAGUCCUUGCGGACGAAGAGCAUGAGCUCGAACGCCCCUCCAAAAGCUACCCCAAACGCAAGCUGCUCCCCCGAUUAGAGGAGGAGGCAUAUAAACCUGCAUCACCAGCACACAAUACGGCUGACCGACCACCCCGUGGCCGCGACAGAGAGGCCUCUAGGCCCUCCACUAGAACCGUACCCCGGCAUCGCUCGAAAAGCACAAGACCGCAGGGGAACGCUCUGGACUUGCGAGAUAUAUUGGAGGAUAAGGCAAGACAAUAAAGAUCGAUCUACGGAUCGCGUAGGCGCCCCAUGAUACGUGACGACAACCGUCGCGCUGAACGCAGCAAGUCCGGUCGGGCCGAACACAGUAGACAAAGCUCUUUUGAGCUUCGUCGUGAUAUAGCCCAAUACAGAGGCGUCGCACACCCACUACGCUUCACAAAUGAAGUAAUGGAUCAUCAAAUCCCCGAAGGGUUUAAACCCGUGAAUAUUGAAUCUUAUGAUGACACAACAGACCCCGCGGUUUGGAUUAAAGACUAUCUACUUCAUAUCAACAUGGCCCGCGGUGAUGAUCUUCACGCCAUAAAAUACCUCCCACUCAAGCUUAAAGGACCAGCUCGGCAUUGGCUUAACAGCUUGCCAGCAGAACCAAUUGGGUGUUGGGAGGACCUGGAAGCCGCAUUCCUUGAUAACUUCUAGGGCACGUAUGUGCGACCACCAGACGCUGAUGACCUAAGCCAUAUAAUUCAGCAGCCAGACGAAUCGGCCAGACAAUUCUGGACACGGUUCUUAACCAAGAAAAAUCAAAUCGUCGACUGUCCGGAUGCGGAGGCCCUCGCGGCCUUCAAACAUAACAUCCGCGACGAGUGGCUUACCCGCACCUGGGACAGGAAAAGCCGAAAUCAAUGGCAGCCCUCACAUCACUCCUGACCCACUUCUGCGCGGGAGAGGACAGCUGGCUAGCCCGCAGCAACAACCUCAGCAAAAAUUCUGGCAGUCCGGAUAUCAAGGACCGCAAUGGCAGGUCGCGUCGCAACAAGAACAAACGCCGCAUUAACGGCGACAAUAAUGAGGAUAUGACAGUCAAUGCCGGAUUCAAAGGCUCUAAACCCGGUCAGCGGAAAAAGCCAUUCAAAAGAACUACUCCGGGUCCGUCCAAUUUGGACCGAAUACUCGGGCGCUCGUGCCAGAUACACGGCACCCCCGAAAGGCCAGCUAACCACACCAACAGGGACUGUUGGGUAUUCAAGCAGGCAGGCAAGCUAAUUGCCGAAAACAACGACAAAGGGCUGCAUAGCGAUGACGAGGAAGAGACCCGACCACCGAACAAUAGAGGACAGAAGGGUUUCCCCCCACAAGUGUGGACGGUGAACAUGAUAUACACAACCCACAUACCCAAAAGGGAGCGGAAGCGUGCACUCAGGGAUGUAUACGUGAUGGAGCCAGUCGCCCGAAGUUCAACCCAUGGUCCUCCUGCCCGAUCACUUCUGAUCGAAGGGACCACCCCACCAGCAUCCGCCACGGCGGAUUCGCCGCAUUGGUUUUAGACCCAAUCGUCGAUGGAUUUCACCUCACCAAAGUCCUGAUGGACGGCGGCAGCAGCCUGAACCUGCUUUAUCAGGAUACAGUGCGCAAAAUGGGCAUAGACCCUUCAAGGAUUAAACCCACAAAGACGACCUUUAAAGGCGUCAUACGAGGUGUAGAGGCCAAUUGUACAGGCUUAGUUACACUGGAAGUGGUCUUCGGAUCCCCGGAUAACUUCCGAAGCGAGGAGUUAAUCUUCGACAUAGUUCUGUUCCGCAGCGGCUAUCAUGCUCUGCUCGGACGUACCGCGUUUGCAAAGUUCAACGCGGUGCCGCACUACGCAUACCUCAAGCUCAAGAUGCCAGGCCCUCGAGGAGUCAUCACGGUCAACGGAAACACUGAACGCUCUCUCCAAACGGAGGAACAUACAGCGGCUCUCGCGGCAGAAGUACAGUGCAGCCUCUUAAGGCAAUUCUCGAGUCCGGCCAUUAAGCGACCGGACACGGCUAAACGCGCCCAAAGUAACCUACAACAAGACCACCUGGCACGUUCCGAGAACGCGUAGCAAUGCGGACCCAACCCCAGCCCCUGCAAAAUUGCAAGACUGGUCCUUCGCAUACAUCAUUACGCUCUGGAGAUACCAUGGGCAUAGGGGGAGGGGCACGACCACGAUAGGCCCAGAAUGCGGCUUAACCACACCAGGGGCUCUCAAGUGUGUCGUUCUUUUUUUUCUUUUUCUCUUUUUUCUUUUUUUACCCACAGGACUCCGUUCAUCAGAGGCCCUGUCCGGCAGUAGACCUGCCGAACUCACGAUGCAACAGCCAGGGAAGGAGAAAGGCUACGACGAAUAUCCAGGUGGUAUCCAUUACGAGCAUUAAAUCUGUUUUAUACACCAUUCCGCGGCCUACCCCUGGAGGGGGACAUGUUUAAUAGUCCCAUCCCUUGCUUACCGCACUAUUUGUAUCGCUCUGCAUUCACGGCAGUAUUUCUUGAAUAAACAAUGCAGCACCUUUUUGCUUAUAAUUGCAUUUCUUUCUUAUACAUAUGUUCAUUUAUGACAUGUUGCAUCCGUACACUUUGGUACGGCUAAAUACACCAGGGGCUUAUGUUUCCCGCAUCAUGGUGUGAUAAGUCCGAACACUUUCACAAGUGCGGCACCCCGAACUUAUAGCAUUAUAUGCAUCGGCUCCGAAUCAUGUCUUGGGUCAAUAGUUGGGUUUGCCCGGCUCCCAUGUUUUGGUACCUUACGUUCCGUUUUAUCGGCUAAGGUAGCACUGGGAGAACCACUGCGAUUGCACCCCAGUUGAGCUGGGCGAGCGCCUCAAUGGAGAAAGCUAAAACUGACCGUCAUGAUGAGGCGAGAGCCGGUCGCUGUUCGAGAGGUUUUUCUCGAGUCCCUAAAGACUUAUGCCGCUUAGAGCGAGGAACCGGCUUUGUCCGGCCCAGGCGUGGAUAGCGCCCCAAAUUCGGCCUUCUGAACACUAGGAGCUUCGCUGAAAUUUAAAAUUAUAGAAUUCUAUGGCUAGGUGAGAGUGUUCAAGCAUUAUAAGUCCGGUUGCCUCGUUCAUUGUGUUGAGCGUCUCCCUAGAUGGACCCAAAAAUGGGAACAAGAAUGCUCAAAUUUAUCCCGAACACCCCAGCACUCAUGGCAUGGGGGCUGAAGCCGAUGACUUGCCAUCUCUCAGAUUUGAUAAACGGCCGCACAUAAGGUAAUAUUUUAAAUUAACAAGCAUUGCUUAGCGCAUAUGAACAAAGUUUUCAGCGCACAGGAUAAAAAAAUGCGAGUCUACUCAAAUAUUACAUCUUUGGAGCACUCACCCGCAAUAAUGCGGGCACCCUUCAGGACACUCUUAUAAUACAUCUCGGGCGUGCGAUACUCCUUGCCCGGUGGCGGCACGUCCGUCACAAGCUUCUCAGCAUCCAUCUUGCCCCAUUGCACCUUUGCGCGGGCAAGAGCCCGACGGGCACCUUCAAUACAGGCGGAGUGCUUGAUGACUUCAACCCAUGGACACGCAUCCACCAGCCGCCGCACCAGGCCGAAGUAGCUCCCAGGCAUGGCCUCCCUGGGCCACAGCCGAACUAUGAGGCCCUUCAUGGCCUGUUCGGUCACCUUGUGGAGCUCGACCAGCUGCUUCAGCUGGUCGCUAAGGGGCACCGGAUCUCCGGUCUCAGCAUACUGAGACCAGAAGACCUUCUCCGUCGAGCUCCCCUCCUCGGCCCUAUAGAAAGCGGCAGCAUCGUCACGCUGCAGGGCAGAUCUGCGAAUGCUCCUGGAGAGCUCCGAAUUCGGGUAAGUGAUAGGUAAUUCACACUCACAUGCUUGCUUUGCAUGAAAAAUGCCUUACCCGCCGCUAUUUUCUUCAACGCCUCGAUUUCCUAGAGGGCCUUGUAGGCUUCGGCCUUAGCGGCUUUGGCACUCUCAAGAGCCGAUGCAAGCUCGGACUUUCGAGUCUUCGAGUUGCGCUCCAAACUCUCAUGUUUUUCCACGAGAGCCUGGAGCUCUUGCUGUACCUCCGCCACCCGCGCCUCCUGCUUCUCUCGCUCGGUGCGCUCCGCGGCCGCAUUACGUUCGGCUGCGGACACCGCCUCCUUCAGGGUCGCCACCUCGUUCGUGGCCCCUGCAAUACCCACGUUAUCCUUGUCAUUCUUCUUGCAACCAAAUCCUUUUCUGUAAGGUACAAUUUUAAUAAGGUGUUACUCACCUUCCUUGUCCUCGAGCUACUUCUUGGCACGGCCGAGCUCGUUCUCAGACCGCUCGAGGUUUUCCUUCAAAGUAUUGACCUCCACAGUCAGUGCGGCAGAGGUCAGCAGCACAGCCUGCAAUCCCAUAUUGACAUAUUUUUUAUGACUCCUGUGUAUAUCUUUUUAGAUCCUCAGUCCGGCUUUUCUUUCCGAACACCGAACUGAGCAUCAGGGGCUACUGUCUAUGCGGUACUAUUUUACAUAUAUCAAAAUUCUUACCUUAAAGCCUGUUAGAAGGCUGCUGCAGGCUUCGGUCAGCCCGCUCUUGGCGAGCUGAACCUUCUGAAUCACCGCACUCAUGACGGUGCAGUGUUCCUCUUCGAUGGAAGCGCCGUUGAGCGCCUCCAGCAAGCUAUCCGGCGCCUCCGGUUGGACGGAGGCCGCCGGCGUCACGGUCUUGCCCUUCUUACGAAGGGGCCGCCCGCCGGACUCCGGAGCCACUACAGGUUCCGGUGCGGAGUCCGGUGCAAAGUCCGGGAGGUUGUCUUGCGGCACCUCCGGGGCCUCCUCCUCCUGGCGGGUCCCUUCCCAGGAUCCCACCUCAGCAUCGUCCGCAUCACGGGGGGUGGAGGCGGUCGGAAGGGAAUCCAUAUCCGACGCACCCAAGGACCCGCUCGACGAAGCGGGAAGAUCAUCCUUGGGCGGAUUGCAGGGUUGUAUGUCGCAUUAGAAAGACACCAUGUGGCGAAAAGAAAAAUCAUGAAGUUAUUCGGGAGUCCGGAUACUUACGAUCUCGCCAGGGGCUUGGCCCUUGAAGGCCAAUCCUCGUCGUCGUCGCCGGCGUUGGCAGAGCAGUCCGGGGGAAGAGUCCUUCCCUUCUUGGACCCUCCGGCCUCCCUCGUUGGGGAGGCCCUCCUUUUCUUCCCUCCUCCCGCUGGGGGAGAGGCCUCUUUCUUCUCCUCCCCGCCUUCAUGGGAGGAGUCCGCAUUGGAGUCAUCGGGCGAUGAGUCCGAUGACACCUAAAAACGGGAACUCUUUCGAGUACCCGUGGCCUUCUUCUUGGCCUUCUUCUCCCGCACCACAUGGGGUGCUGGAACCAACAGCCCCGUUAAGCGGGCGUCCGCUGGGUCUUCUGGCAAAGGGGCCGGGCAAUUAGUCCGCUCGGCCUUCUUCAACCAGUCCUGUCAAAGGAGAGGGAGUUUAGAUCCCGCAUAGAGUCAAACUAUGGAAAACAAGUGCCCCGUAAAGGGUAAAAUCGCUUACCUCGCUAGCCGGACGCUGCGAGCUAAAUCCGCGAUCUUCGGUAGCGGAUGCGGGAGCCUCGGCGCCCUUAAACAGCACCCUCCAGGCCUCUUCGUACGUAGUGUCGAAGAGCCUACUCAAAGUCUGGUGCUGCGCCGAAUCGAACUCGCACAUAUUGAAGUCCCGUUGUUGGCACGGGAGAAUCCGGCGGAUGAGCAUGACCUGGACUACGUUGACAAGCUUGAGCUUCUUGUUCACUAGCUUUUGGACACAGGCUUGGAGUCCGGUCAGCUCCUCUGAAUCACCCCAUGUCAGGCCACUCUCUUUCCAGGAGGUGAGCCGUAUGGGGAUGCCAGAUCUGAAUUCGGGGGCCGCUGCCCAUUUAGGGUCAUGCGGCUCGGUGAUGUAGAACCACCCCGAUUGCCACCCUUAAUGGUUUCCACGAAGGUGCCCUCCAGCCAAGUAACGUUGGGCAUCUUGCCCACCAUGGCGCCUCCGCACUCCGCUUGUUUGCCCUUCACAACCUUCGACUUGACACUUAAGGUCUUGAGCCACAAGCUGAAGUGGGGCUGGAUGCAGAGGAAGGCCUCACACACGAUGAUAAACGCCGAGAUGUUGAGUAUGAAAUUCAGGGCCAGAUCAUGGAAAUCCAGGCCGUAGUAGAACAUGAGCCCCCGCACAAAGGGAUGGAGUGGGAAGCCUAGUCCGCGGAGGAAAUGGGAAAGAAAUACUACCCUCUCAUGGGGCCCGGGGGUGGGGAUGAGCUGCCCCUCGUCGGGGAGCCAGUGCACGAUGUCGCUGGACAGAUAUCCGGCGCUGCGCAGCUUCUUGAUGUGCUCCUCCGUAACGGAGGAGGCCAUCCACUUGCCUCUCGCUCCGGACAUAGUUGGAGAAGGUUGAGGUGAGAUGUGCGGACUUAGGCGCUGGAGCUCGAGUUCGCGGAGAUGGAUAAGCUACAGAGGAAGAAGGCGUAGGUAAAAGGGUGGAUCUUUAUCCCCUUAUAUGGGCGGACGAAACCAUGCGUCCCCACCGGCCUGAUAAAACUCGCUUAUCUCCCAAGCGUCGUAAUCAAUGGCGUGGUUGGGUUACCCACGUCCGUAUUGAUGAGAAUCCCGGAAUAAGGGGAACACGAUCUCUGCUUCGACAAGACGUGCCAAGGAAACUGCUUCGCUAAACGCGCGGAGGUGGUAUAAUAAAAACGAUUCGAGUAAAGGCUUGGUUGUGGUGUGAUGUCACGCCACAAAAUACGUCAACAGAUUGAACUUGUGUAAAUAUUAUUCUCUCUACGGUGGUAUGUGGAAUUUGUUUUGCAGAGCCGGACACUAUCCUGGUGUUCACGAUCUUCUAUGAAUUAUUCGGAGAGGAACCCACCUUGCAAUGCCGAAGACAAUAUGCGCGCCGGACUCGUCUUCAUUGAAGCCUGGUUCAGGUGCUACUGAGGGAGUCCUGGACUAGGGGGUGUCCGGCUAGCCGAACUAUCAUCAUCAGCCGGACUCCAAGACUAUGAAGAUACAAGAUUGAAGACUUCGUCCCAUGUCCAGAUGGGACUUUCCUUGGCGUGGAAGGCAAGCUUGGCUAUACGGAUAUGUAGAUCUCCUACCAUUGUAACCGACUCUGUGUAACCCUAGCCCUCUCCGGUGUCUAUAUAAACCGGAUGGCUUUAGUCCAUAGCAUGAACAACAAUCAUACCAUAGGCUAGCUUCUAGGGUUUAGCCUCCUUGAUCUCGUGGUAGAUCUACUCUUGUAAUACCCGCAUCAUCAAUAUCAAUCAAGCAGGACGUAGGGUUUUACCUCCAUCAAGAGGGCCCGAACCUGGGUAAAACAUCGUGUCCCUUGUCUCCUGUUACCAUCCGCCUAGACGCACAGUUCGGGACCCCCUACCCGAGAUCCGCCGGUUUUGACACCGAUAGGCGGACUGGAUGGAAAAGGCACGCUAGGAGGGGAUCAAAUAAUAUGUAUGGACGGGCAUUCUCUCACUGAAGCACACUACACAGUUCUACAGAAUUCCGCCUUGGUGACUCCGUAUAUGGAGGAACACAAGAAUUUUCUACACUCCAAACACCCGGAGAAGUCUGACGACUGGAUUACACGUGAACAAACAAGGACUUUCGCCGGUUGGUUGCAGAAACGUGCCAUGCACGAUGGCGAUAUUGAAGAUGACCUAUACUCGCUGUCCCAGUUACCAUCUCCGAAUAUAAUGACUUUCAAAGGGUACCGAAUAAAUGGGAAUACAUUUUACACGAUCGCCCAAGAUAAGACGAGCACCGGCCAGGUGGCUACGCGGUGGGAAUGCCUAGGUGGGAUAAGUCUGAGCAAGAGAUGGAGGGUGCAGGGGUCACUCCGAUUACUAGGAGCUGGCCCCCCAGGUGCAGAACUUGGUUCUAUGCGCAUGGGGGGGCGUUGGACCCGAAGACAAUCCUGGUUUCGAAGAAGGCAAGUCUAAAAGGAGACGAACAAAAGAUACUUGACGCAAUAGAAGAAGCUCGAGCGGGGGUGUUCACGCCCAACAGAGAUAACGACGAGCUUACGCGCGCCCUGGGAAAUCCUGAACACCCGGGAAGAAUACGAGGCAUGGGCGUUAUUCCCUGGUAUGAGGGCUUUUUGGACUGGAACGAUGACUAUAGGUCCCGUGCAAGAAAGAAGAUGGAGGAGGAGAAGAAGAGGAAGCUGGAGGAAGAGCAGAGGAAGCAGGACGCAGAACGCCUUCAAGGCCUAGAAGCAAGGCACGCGGACUUGGCACUCAAAUUCCAGUAGCAGCAGCAGCAGAUCGACUCGCUUAGCCAGGAAAGGGGGUCUCAGCAGCGGUAGUAGCAAGUGGAUGAUCAUCCAUCAUUGGAUAGCACUGUCCCAUCCAUGCCGAGAAGCAGCAUUGGUUCUGCCCCGGGCGACACACUGCUGGAUACAUACCAUCCUGUGGAUGACAUCAUAGAGAACACUAACUGUGAGCUACACUCCAAAAUGAAGAACAUAUCCAUGAAGGUGGCGGACGGCGUUGAUUUCACAAUUACCCCUGAAGCAACCUUCCAUUGCAUCCCGAUUCCAAAGGGCUAUGCUCGUGUCAUGGUUGAUGAAGUGGUGGAGCCAUAUUCGAUGCUAGCACUUGACAUUGCUAGAGGUGACGGCGAGCGCACACUGGGAGAGGCCGUACAUCGUAUCAUCCUAUGGAGAAAGUAUUGCAUCAUCUUUCCAAGUCCACCGACACCGCGUCGUCUGCCGACUCCUCCUCGAAGUCCGCCACCGAGUCAGCAGACUCCCGCUCCUCCAAGUCCACAAACGCGUGAGCCGACUCCUCCUUGAAGUCCGCCACCACCUCCAAGUCCCCGAACGCUUGAGAAGACUACUCCUUCAUGUCCGGCACAGCGUCAGGCCACUCCUCCUGCUUCAAGUCCGGCACAGCGUCAGCCACGUCAGUCGUCUCUGCCGUCUCAGUAAUCGCAGAAGAGACACGCCGCAGCUAUGGUGCGUAGCGGUACGAGUCGAGGUAGUGCAGGAAGUACAGGCGGAGACAAGCGAUAUAAAUAUGGCCCAAGCAUCGCUCCUCUUCCUGAAAGGCCUUACGACAUGACCGAGGAGCAAAAUGCAGCCAUAGUGCAGGCCCAAGUGGACGCCCAUUUUGGACAGAAACCGGCACCGCCGCCAAAGGAGAAAGUGCCUGAGAAAACGAUUGACCACUUCAUUCAUAUGGCUAGAGCACCAGCUCCCAAGCCCGUUGACUCAGACUAUGAGCGUCAAAUCAGGAAGCUACAUCGAGCACGUCUACAGAAGGAAGCGAGCUCGAGCUCGAGCCAACAAGCAGCUGGCAAAAAAUGCGGGAAAACCGUUCCCCAGCUGGGAGAACAGGCGGCGCAAGCGAUCCCCCCGCUUGUUGUGCCAACAACACAUGAGAGGAGUACGCGCGCCAAAUAUUAUUGUGGGCAAACCGUUAGCGUUUCCCAGCAAGGCGAUGUGGUAAUAACGAAGGAGUAUAUAAUGCAGGCUGAAAUGCUCAAGAUCUUUGUUGGACAACUCCUCAAAAUCGAGCCCAUGUCUCCGCUUAGAGAAUCGGAAAUAAAAUAGAAAUAUGUCCGGGGCCAACCUUUGGUCCAUCUAGACAAGGUCAAGGACCUCCCAACGAGAAUGUAUGAAUUGCAUCAAUGGUACAUGAACAUUACCAAGAUUUCCAAUCGAGAGUCCCUCAUGGUGAAUGUCAAGCAUAAGCAUUAUUACCAUGAGAAAGCUCUGGCCGUUGAGUAUCCAGAACUAUUUCAGUUAUACAAUCAAGACGCACUCGACAAGUCUAUCGGAAGUUGCUAUUGUCUGUAAGUGAUUUCUUUCUGUAAUUUAAGUCUCAAGCUAGUUAUGUAGUGAUAAUUUUGAUCAAUCAUUACAUGUAAUUAUUCUCACUAUAUUCUUUUCUGUGGUAUUAUAUGCAGGAUGAAGAUGUAUGAAAUAAAAAAAUCUAGACGCUAUGGCAUUGGGUUCGUUGACCCAAAUACCAUUAAUAAGGACAUAUGGAAGCUUCCAUUUUAUCAAGCAGGUGUAGAGGAAAGCAUGCUAGAGUUCUUGAAGCGCCUCAAUACCAAUGAAGAUAUACUACUUCCUUACAACUUCCCGUGAGUCAAACUGUCUUGUACUACAAAUUCUGUUUUUGCUUACUAGCUAGCUAGAUGUUAAUAAUUAAGUGUAUACGGUUUACGGUAGUUGAUUGAUUUUAUGCACAUGCCCGCUUAAUUAAGACAAGCAAACGUGUGUGCAUGUAGUUGGCACUGUGUCUUGUUAGACACAAAGUUGAGGAAAGAAGAGUUGAAUUACUGGACUCACUAACUAAAGAAGAUAAAGACUUCACCAUCGUGAAGGGGAUAGUCAACAGGUAAUUUCAAUCAUUAUUAACUAUAUCUCGGCCUAUUAUUAGUUCGUCAUUUCCUGAUAUGAACUAUUUAAUAACCCCUUUAUUAAUUUUCUUUGCCGGCGGGCAGGGCAUGGGCAAAGUUCAUCAAGGUGACUCCAGACAACUGGGCAAAAAAGUUGUUUUGGCAUCGACCAAAAGUAAGUAAUUAAGUAGUACUAGCUAGCCACCAUCUCUUUAAUUCUUGUUUCAAUAUCAUUAAUUAAUUAUCAUGCUUGAUUAAUCAUUAUCUGAUUCAAUUCCAUUCUCGUAAAGGCCCUGAAGCAGGCGUCGGGGAAUAAUCUGUGUGCAUUCUACGUUUGCGAGAACAUUCGCAUGAUGACGUCCGAAAGGAGCAGAUCUGAUAGACAGGACUGGGUACGUUUGUCAGAACACUAUUCACACCAUUAUCGAUAUCUAGUCACACAACUAACACACAUGCAUAUUGAUCUCCUUAACAGUUCAGAGAGGUGCGGGAUAAGCUCCUACCAUCGGACCGCAUACUAGCACUUCAAGAGGAAAUAGCCGGAUUUUUGCUUGACCAUGUCAUAGAUCCCAAAGAAGAAUACUAUUACCCGCUACCGCGCCCAUGAACCACUUGUCAUCGUGCACUGGAGGCACCAAGGCAACAUAUGUAGGAGAAAUUGUAUAUGUAUAUACAUGUGGAUGUGUGAAUAAUUAAUGGUGUUGGUUGUGAGACAUUUGAUGAUAUAUAUGUAUAUAUAUGCGGUUCUACGUACGAGAAAAUCUAUUUAUAUAUAUGCAUAACGUGUACAAUUUGUAGUAUCGUGAAAUACCAGCAAAAAAAAUUUGAAUAAAAAAUAAAGCCAAAACCCCCCAAACAUUUAGUACCGGUUGGUGUUACCAACCGGUACUAAUGUCCUACGCGCACACGGGUCUGGCUCGUGCCACGUGGUGUCACUUUAGCGCCGGUUCGUGACGAACCGGUACUAAAAGGGGAAGGCUUUAGUCCCCACUCUUUAGUGCCUGUUGGCAAACCGGCACUAAAGACCGUUAAGAACCGGCACUAAAGGACGGUUCUGCACUAGUGAUAUCUGAAAAGGCAUAUGUUCAAUAAAAAAAGAAAAAUAAUUGCCGACACCUAGUGCAUAGCAAUGAAUCAAAGCCUAUCUAAUUAAAACGAAAACAUAAUACACGGAACAAGCAUAAAGAACAUGUAGAAGGUACAUUUUUCCAUCAAUAGAGCUUCAGAAUUAACUUCAGUGAAACAUUCAUGUUAUCACAAGAGUGUGAUGUGCAUAUAUAUAUUCAUGAAAAACUGGAAGUUCCGUAGAAAAAUAUACCAUCUUUCAAGAAAAACACUACUUUUGAGAGAUCAUACUGGCAUGCAAAAUUGGUUUUCUUUCAAAUGAUAAUUAGGAAGUUCUAAAACUCCAGGUCAUUCUCCAGCGGCACUACUUUCAGUUUUCCACUCCAAUUGUAUCGGCCACAACAUUGAUCCAGAUUUUGCAGAAACACUUAUAUUGUUGAACUGAACUUGAUCUCAAGUCAAUGUUUAGUUUAUAAAUAAUUUCUAUAAGUGAUAUAUCUUUCAGUGUAGAUACAUUCCUUGAUGGUGUGUAUUUCUCAAGACUACUUAGUGAAAAUAUAGCAGACAUCAAAUGAAAUGUAUAAUUUUGUAAUGGAAAAUCAAAAUGAAUGCCACAGAAAGACCCCAAAACGUCAUAUAAGAUCACCAUUAACCAUCCAAAUCUAAGGUCACUGCAUUCGUUAUGAACAAAUUCUUUGCCGCGAAACUAAACCAAGCCAACACUAAUUAUGUUUCAUUAUAGGAGACGAUAGUUAUUUCUUCAUUUAAAGUGUUGAUAUGGCUCCACCAUGGUAUUAGAUGUUGCCUUUUACUAUACGUUGUGAUAUCAUCUUUUUUUCUAAUCUAGUAAAACAUCUUCAUAUAGGUCUCACAAUACGAAAACCCUCCUCCGCACGCGUGCGUUGGCUGGGUGAUGAAGCGCUCUGCACAAUAAGUGAGGUUCCCACCGCGUGUUUCCAAACUUCCGCAUGUCGCUUAAUUGAGAAUGGUGGCCCCAUAUAGCAUAGCAGCCCACAGCCAUGGAAUCAAAUGUCUUGGGCCCACCCCACCUGUUACGCGCAUUUGUGAAAGGGCUAGUUCUGCUGGCAUCACGGUUUUCACUUUCAGUCAUAUAUCUUUGAAUUUCACCAAAUUCCGGUAGACCACGAAAUAUUUACCUUUCGGUCAAAAUAUUUCAGUCAUUUCGGUUGUACACAUGAAUUCAAAUAUUUUUUUAAACAUUUUCAAAUAUUUUUUUGAAUUUCAAGUGAAUAUUUUGGUCUUUUGGUCAAGAUGCAAACCGAAAUUACUGGAACUUAGUAAUUUUGGUAGGUACUGAAAUAUUUCUGAAACAGAAAUGAAAAAAACAUGGGUGGCAUGGCAUGCAGGCCCACCCCGUGAUCAAUAUAAAAUCUCCACCUAAAUUUCUGGUGGGGUGGGGGCUAGUUUCCCUAGAAUAAUGAAUAAUCAAAGGAAACAAAAAUAUCACUGCAUAGUUUCCUAAUAGGGACGUGGACAGCCAGUCGAAAAUCGANNNNNNNNNNNNNNNNNNNNNNNNNNNNNNNNNNNNNNNNNNNNNNNNNNNNNNNNNNNNNNNNNNNNNNNNNNNNNNNNNNNNNNNNNNNNNNNNNNNNNNNNNNNNNNNNNNNNNNNNNNNNNNNNNNNNNNNNNNNNNNNNNNNNNNNNNNNNNNNNNNNNNNNNNNNNNNNNNNNNNNNNNNNNNNNNNNNNNNNNNNNNNNNNNNNNNNNNNNNNNNNNNNNNNNNNNNNNNNNNNNNNNNNNNNNNNNNNNNNNNNNNNNNNNNNNNNNNNNNNNNNNNNNNNNNNNNNNNNNNNNNNNNNNNNNNNNNNNNNNNNNNNNNNNNNNNNNNNNNNNNNNNNNNNNNNNNNNNNNNNNNNNNNNNNNNNNNNNNNNNNNNNNNNNNNNNNNNNNNNNNNAUUCACCCAAAAAAUAAUUCAAAUAUAAUUUUAGCCUGACCUGCCUGUACCUCCACAAUGUAAUGGGCUACUGUUGUUUGCAAGUAAUUGUUUCCUAAUGUUAUGACUGAAUAUGGAUUGUCUCAUGAGACGUAUAGGGGGUUUUGCCUCCUAGGCAGGUUUUAUGGCAAAAUUGAUAGUUUCGUCAUGGAAGGACCGAUGUUUAUGACACAAGCACAAAACAUCACAGAUAAUUCAUCGUAGAAGGCCAAAAUAUUACUAGUACAAGGUAUCUUGGGGAUCAUCAAUUGGAUAUGUAAUUUGCACAUACUUGUGCCCUCUACACAUUCUUUCGUUUAUUGGAAUUUCUGUAAUACUGCAAAAAAAAAUAGUACCUAAUUGCGGUGUAAAAUGGUUAGAAAAAAUGGCAUGUCUUUGAUGAAUCGAUGCAGGAAUAUGGCUCACAGGACAAGUGCAUUAUAGUAGGUUUGUCCUUGUCUUGUUUUGACACCUUUGUUUGUCCUUUUUUCUUCCUUUCUUUUUUGCUUUUUUUGUUAUUAUCUGUUUCUCGUCAAUUCCCUACUGUUUUGCCACUAGUUUUCAAGGGGGUCUCACCAUCUUUUAUGUGUUUCUCCACUCUAAAGUACUUUGCUAUUCCAUCACAAUUUUAGCAUUAGAAAAUACACAAUAUAUGAUUGAGCAAAAAAUGCAUGAGAAGAAAACAAUGCAAGACAUAGGCAUUUCCAGCUGCAAACAAAGUAACCAUUCCAUCGAUUGAUGGCAAGACACUAAUCCGUUGAUUGCAUAUAAUAUAUAUGUGUAUGUAUAGCCGGUGCUAUAAUUCUCAUAUGCAUCCUCCUCGACCUACGUUGGUAGGCGCUUACAUACAUAUGCUCAUAUAUUCACAUAUGAGUAGAACGAGAAGUAAAACUGAGAAAGCAGAGCUGCCGACAAAUGUGAACUAACAUGACAUGUAUAUCAGUUAUUUCAACUUGCACUUUAGGCCUUGCCAGAUUCCUCGCAACCUGGUGGCCUGAAGGCAAUGAAGCUGACGCAUUGCACUUGGCGCAUGUUGUCGAAGCCGAUGACGCGGACAUAGGCGUCAGGGUACUCCUUCUUAACCUCCUCCACCUCGUUGAGCACCUGUGUGGCGUCGGUGCACCCGAACAUAGGCAGCUUCCACAUUGUCCAGUAUCGACCGUCGUAGUACCCGGGGGAGCUGUUGUGCUCACGGAAGACAAAGCCAACCUUGCUGAACUCGAGGCAGGGUACCCACUUGGAGCGGAUCAAGUAGUCGACCUGCUUUAGGAGGGCCUCCGUAGAGAGGGGUGGCAAGUAAGACAGGGUCUCAAACUUCUUGAUGCCCUCAAUUGGCCACACCUGAAUAGAUGGAAUGAACACAAUUGAUCAACACUUAGUGCUUAAAGAAAGACCUAACAAUAAGGCAAAAAUUACUCCUUAUGGUCUUCCAUACAUUGUGGGGGGUCUCGACAAGCAAGAAAGCUCAAGGACAGCUCUUGCUUAUGGGUAGUGUACGGGCAUUAAAAAUGAUAUUAUCUACUCCCUCCGUUCCAAAUUAGUCGUUGCUGAAAUGGAUGUAUUUAGAACUAAAAUACAUCUAGAUACAUUCAUACGUGCGAUAAGUAAUUCGGAACGGAGGGAGUAGUACACAUUGCAAUAAAAUCGAUUUCCAUUCACCAAGUUUAUGAGUUAAAUAUUCCUACACAUGUGAACCUGCUUACGGACUACAUUGUGAUGCACUAUCUAUGUUUAGUUGGCCUGGUAUGUUGGUUACACGUCCUAAGGAUAGCUUUGCCUUUGUGCAGUGGAAAUACCCAAUAAAUUAAUCAAUUGGGCCGACAAGAAUAUUCAUGGCAGCUUAGUGUCCGUCAUCCUUCGGGAAAAAAAUUGAAAAGAAAGAUAACCUCAGCCUCUGUAUCAAGGAUGCAUACUGUCAAUUUUAUUAUGUUAUUCAAUUGUGUCUAACAAAAAAAUGCAGUUUUAAUUCAAAACCACCUUCCAGACGAACAAAAUUGCUACACCUAUAAGUAUGAUGAUGUGCCUUGACCGCACCAUCCUUCGCCAAAAUAAUAUUUAGCUUUCAUACCUGCAUGCAUCUGAUCCUUCCGCCAUUGCUGACGCUGCUGAGGCCGGCGCUGCCGGAGCGGCGGCUGACUGGGAGGCCGGCGGUCGACUUGAGCCCCUGGAAGGGUGCGACGGUGGUGGCGGACGAAGCCAUCACGGCUGGGGCCAUGGCGGAGUACGUGAAUUGCUAGGUGGGGAGGCGAUAGCUAGCUAGGCCACACUUGACUUGAGGCCUCCUCAUGCCGCUCCAGUAUAUAUCAGCAUAUGCGCAGCGCCGGUCCUUUCAAACGAGAUUUCGAAGGGGUGGUCGUCGUUUGCUUGCUGCAAGGCGCCUUAUCCCUCUAGAUCAGCGGAAGAGGGGUGGAAAAUAAAAAUGAAUGCGACGGAAAGACCCCAAAACGUCAUAUAAGAUCACCAUUGAUCAUCCAAAUCUAAGAGCAUCUCCGGCCGUGCCCCCAAUACGGACCCCUCACGCGAUUUUUUCGCCCCGGCGCCGAAAAAACGGUCCAGUCGUGCCCUCGGGAGCCCGUUUUUCGCCGGCUUGGUCCGAAAUCAGUGCCGGCGGACCCAGGCCGAACCCGGGGCGAGCGGUUUUGGCGCGAAAGAGACGUGGGUCCGUCGAGUCAGCGACGCGCGUGCCUCGUCGUCAUCGGAACGCCUCGGUUUUCCGCGUGGAAUCAAUGGCAAGGCUGACGGGCAGCCUUGCCAUUGAUUCCUCACAGGCGGCACGUCACGGGCGGCGCGGCAACGCCUUCCCUCCCGCCACGCGUAUACACGGCGCGGGCUAUAUAAACCGGUGGCCUCCCUUGCCUCUGGCCACACCAGCCCACAGCCGCGCAUCGACCGCCGCCGAGCUCUCCCUCUCUCUCCAUGUGCAGCCGCUCGCCGACGCUUCUCCCUCCCCCCCCUCUCCCAAGCCCGAUGGCCGCGCGAUUCCCCGGCGACGCGGCGGCAGCAAACGGCUUCGGCCGCCGCUCGCUCCACGAGUGGGAGGCCUGGCUACUCUUUGAGGCGAACAUCCCGGCGCCACUGGACAUGCGCGCCGGGCCGAUGGGGUGGAGGCUCAGCAACGGGGGUGUGCCCAUUCUUCCGUUGCCCGACGUCGAGGCGCGCCCCGCCUUCUUCGCCGCCGAGGUCGACCGUGUGUGAGCCUCCCUGACAAAGGAGCAGCGCGCCCUCCCCCAGUACGCCGCCGACAACCACGCGUCGUGGGCGGCGUACUUCCAGCACCGCCAGGAGCAGAGGCUGGCGUCCACAUACGGGGCGCCGGUGGUGGGUAGCGUCAAGAACAACGAGGGCCGCCGUGUAUGGUGGGGCGCCCCCGGCCGCACGCUCCAGGACGUGUUGAAGCACAUCGAGUGCGGCAACGACCCGCCGCUAGCAUACCCUGCUGCGGUGGCCGCCCCGGUCCACCGCCGGAGCGCCGGGCAAUGGAUGCCCAGGAGGUUCGGCUCCUCCUCAACUUCCUCCUCCCACUCCUCCUCCCGCUCCUCUUCCCAUUCCUCCGGCUCGCCGGCGGUGUUCGUCGUCAAGGCUGAGCCCGUAGCGGAGACGCCGCUCGGCCGGCGCACUCGCAGCGCCGGCAUCGUCAUAAAUGAGGGCGCCCGGCGCGCAUCCUCCUCGUCUCCUCCAUGCUUCGUCAAACCGAAGACAGAGCCGGGGCUCGCGGCCGUGAAAACAGAGCCGGGGCUCCCCUCCGUGAAGACGGAGCACGACACCGGGGAGCUCGAUGACGCGGUGGCCUGAAAUGGGCGCGCGAUGACUGGGUGCACAUGGAGAUGGAGCGCCAGCGCUGCGCCCUAGAGCAGUUGAAACAUCAGCGCUGGGGCCGCGACGAGGGAGGCGUCGUCGUCCUCGACGACAGCGAUGACGACGACGCGCCGCCACCGACACCGGUCUUCGAUGGCGACGCCGGGUAGGGGUCCAGCAGGGGCAACCGCUUCAAGGAGGAGAAGGCCUCCGAUGACGACGGCGAGGAUGGUGGCGACGGUGGCGACUUCGCCGCGCUCAGCGACUUCUUCGGUCCGUAGUUGUAGUUUCGGCUUUUUAAUAAUAAAUUUGCUAUGUAAAAUGUCGAACAUGUCUAAUAUAUGCCAAGUUUGCCGAAUUUUAGCCAAAUUUUAGCUGAACUUUGCCGAAUACUCUUUUCUUUUUAACAUAAACGGCGUCUGGGGCGGCCCUGGGGUCGGCGGCUAGGAACCCACUCGUCCCCAGGCCGAUUUUUUGCGCCGGCUCGCCCCCAGCGGCGAUUUUACGCGCCCCCUGGGGGGCCAACGGCUGGAGAUGCUCUAAGGUCACUGCAUUCGUUAUGAACAAAUUCUUUGGUGCGAAACUAAACCACACCAACACUAAAAUUCAUGAAGGAAAGCCAUCCAUACUCUUAUGUUUCAUUAUACGAGACAGUAAUUAUUUCUUCAUUUAAAUUGUUUAUGUGGCUCCACCAUGGUAUUAGAGGUGGCAUUUUCCUAUACGAUGUGAUAUCAUCAUUUUUUUUCUAAUUUAGUAAAACUUCUUCAUAUAGGUCUCACAAUCUGAAAAUCCUCAUUCGCGUGCAGGCGUUGGGUGGGUGAAGCGCUCCGCACAAUAAUUCAGGUUCCAACCGCACGCUACAUUCCCUUUCAAACUUUCACAUGUCGUUUAAUUGAGAAUGGUGGUCCCAUAGUAUAGCAGUCCCACUGCCAUGGAAUUUAAUGUGUUGGGCCCACCCCACCUGUUACGCGCAUUCGCAGAAGGGCUAGUUGUGUUGGCAUCAUGGUUUUCACUUUUAAUGAUAUAUCUUUGAAUUUCACCAAAUUUCAGUAGACAGCGAAAUAUUUACCUUUCGGCCAAAAUAUAUCAGUCAUUUUAGUUGUACACAUGAUUUCAAAUAUUUUCAUAUAUUUUCUUCAAUUUCGAGUGAAUAUUUUGGUCUUUUGGUCAAAAUGCAAACAGACAUUACUGGAACUUAGUAAUUUUGGUAGGUACUGAAAUGAAAAAACAUGGGUGCCAUGGCAUGCAGGCCCACCACCGUGAUCAAUAUAUAAUCUCCCACUAAAUUUCAGGGAGGGGGGGCUAGUUUCCCUACAAUAAUGAAUAAUCCAGGGGAACGGAAAUAUCACUGCACACUUUCCUAAUAGGGACGUGGACAGCCAGUCGGAAAUCGACCACGCGGACGCGCGUGCGAAUUAGCCUCCCCCCGGCAUGCGUGUACCUCCACAAUGUAAUGGGCUAUUGUUGUUUGCAACUAAUUGUUUCCUAAUGUUAUGACUGAAUAUGGAAAAAAAAUUCAUGAGACAUAUAGGGUUUGUGCCUCUUAGGCAGGUUUUAUGACAAAAUUGAUAGUUUCGUCAUGGAAGGACCGAUCUUUAUGACACCAACACCAAACAUCACAGAUAAUUCAUGGUAGAAGGCCAAAAUAUUACUAGUACAAGGUAUCUUGGGGCUCAUCAAUUGGAUAUGUGAUUUGCACAUAUUUGUGCCCUCUACACGUUCUUUGGUUUAUUGGAAUUUCUGUAAUACUGCAAAAACAAGUAUCUAAUUGUGGUGUCAAAUGGUUAGAAAAACUGACAUGUCUUUGAUGAAUCGAUGCAGGAAUAUGGCUCACAUGACAAGUGCAUUAUGAUAGGUUUGUCCUUGUCUUGUUAUGACACCUUUGUUUGUCCUUUUUUCUAGUUCUUUAAUUUGUUUUUGUUUUUUUGUUAUUAUCUGUUUCUCGUGAAUUCCGUAUUGUUUUGCCAUUAGUUUCCAAUGGGUCUCGCCAUCUUUUAUGUGUUUCUCCACAGUAUUUUUUUAAGUACUUUGGUAUUCCAUAACAAUUUCCAUAUUAGACAAUACACAACAUAUGAUUGAGCAAAAAAUGCAUGAGAAGAAAACAAUGCAAGACAUAGGCAUUUCCGGCUGCAAACAAACCAACCUUUCCAUCGAUUGAUGGCAAGACACUAAUGCGUUGAUUGCAUAUAAUAUAUAUGUAUAUGUAUAGCCGGUGCUAUAAUUCUCAUAUGCAUCCUCCUCGACCUACAUUGGUAGGUGCUUACAUACAUAUGCUCAUAUAUUCACAUAUAUAUGAGUAGAACGAGAAGUAAAACUGAGAAAGCAGAGCCGCCGACAAAUGUGACUAACAUGACAUGUAUAUCGGUUACUUCAACUUGCACUUUAGGCCUUGCCGGAUUCCUCGCAACCUGGUGGCCUGAAGGCAAUGAAGCUGACGCAUUGCACCUGGCGCAUGUUGUCGAAGCCGAUGACGCGGACAUAGGCAUCAGGGUACUCCUUCUUAACCUCCUCGACCUCGUUGAGCACCUGUGUGGCAUCGGUGCAGCCGAACAUAGGCAGCUUCCACAUUGUCCAGUAUCGACCGUCGUAGUACCCGGGGGAGCUGUUGUGCUCACGGAAGACGAAGCCAACCUUGCUGAACUCGAGGCAGGGUACCCACUUGGAGCGGAUCAAGUAGUCGACCUGCUUUAGGAGGGCCUCCGUAGAGAGGGGUGGCAAGUAAGACAGGGUCUCGAACUUCUUGAUGCCCUCAAUUGGCCACACCUGAAUAGAUGGAAUGAACACAAUUGAUCAACACUCAGUGCUUUAAGAAAGACCUAGCCAUAAGGCAAAAAUUACUCCUGAUGGUCUGUCCAUACAUUGUGGGGGUCUCCACAAGCAAGAAGGCUCAAGGGCAGCUCUUGCUUAUGGGUAGUGUACGGGCAUUAAAAAUGAUAUUAUCUAGUACACAUUGCAAUAAAAACGAUUUCCAUUCACAAAGUUUAUGAGUUAAAUAUUCCUACGCAUGUGAACCUGCUUAUGGACUACAUUGGGAGGUUUAGUUUGGCCUGGUACGUGGGUUACACGUCUAAAGGAUAGCUUUGCCUAUAUGCAGUGGAAAUACCUGAUAAAUUAAUUAAGUGUGACGACAAAAACAUUCAUGAGAGCUUAGUGUCCGUAAUCCUUUGCCAAAAAAAAAUCAAAAAGGAGGAUAUCCCAACCUCUGCAUCAAGCGAUGCAAACUGUCAUUUUGAUUAUGUUAUUCAACAUAGUCUAACAAAAUAAAUACGAUUUCAAACCAAAACCAUCUUCCAGUCGGACAAAAUCGCUACACCUACAAAUACGAUGAUGUGCCUUGACCGCACCAUCGUUGGCAAAAAUAAUAUUCAGCUUUCAUACCUGCAUGCAUCUUAUCCUUCCGCCAUUGCUGACGCUGCUGAGGCCGGCGCUGCCGGAGCGGCGGCUGACGGGGAGGCCCGCGGUCGACUUGAGCCCCUGGAAGGGCGCGACGGUGGUGGCGGAGGAAGCCAUCAUGGCGGGAGCCAUGGCGGAGUACGUGAAUUGCUAGGUGGGGAGGCGAUAGCUAGUUAGGCCACACUUGUCUUGAGCCCCCCUCAUGCCGCUCCAGUAUAUAUCACAAUAUGCGCGGCGCCGCUCCUUUCCAACAAGAUUUUGAAGGGGUGGUCGUUGUUUCCCUGUUGCAGAACGCCUUAUCCCGAGGGAUCAGCGGAAGAGGGGUGGCCCUCCGAUGCAUUGCGUCUGGCUGCUGCAUUGGCAAACGAAAUUUAUAUCAGUCCGAUUACUAAGCAUUACAAUAAUUGUGCGAUCGUUAGAUUUGGGCCUGCGCCUUUCUUAGUCUUCAUCUAUGGCUUCCAGUAAUUUUGAUUUAUUUUGUUUCCGGAAAGUUACUGCUCCCAGAAAUUACUCCUCCAAGAUUUGUGUGUAAUUGCACCGGUGGCGCUUGAACUUGCCAUCCAUGUUCACUUUAGCGUCUGAACUUAAAAAAUACGUCCAACUGGUUAUAGUACUUGGCACUCUUGUUCAAAUAUGGUAGAAGAUGCGGGGCGGAGUGACGAAUGAAUGAAGAAGAUGCACCCUAGGCCUGUAUAAGUAGUGCGCCAAGUUAGCCACAUGGAUAUUGCGCACUGUCCGAUGACGUGUAACCAUCCACGUGCCGCCUAGUACAUGGAUAGAUAGGUGGCGAAACACAGACCAACACAUAAUGAUCGCACUUUGAUAGUAUAGGGGAUCGUAGCAGUCCUCAAUCUGAUGAGACCACCUAUUAAGGGGUAGGAUCAUCAACACCCAACAAGCUACAACACAUGGGGAUCCUAAUGCAAGAUGCUCACCUACCAAACAUAGUCGACUUGACAAACCACUUGGAUGAUACCAAGUCACUCGAACGGGUCAAGUACACUAGCUCAUUUGGAUGGAGUUCAUCAAUGUUCGAAUACACCAAACACUUGGAGGCACAAAGUAGAACAUGCAGAGAAGGCACCUGGGGCGUCGUGUAAUUUUAUAGAACUAGCAUUACUAACUUUAUUACAUCAAUUACCUCUUGUAGUGUAUCUAAUAAUUAGACAUCUUUAAACCCUUGUAACGACAAAGGUCAGGGGACGUGGCUCACUGUAUGUAAGCCAUAUCUCCAUAAUAGGGGGUCUGUCAGGGUUACGAUCGUGACAAUGAGUACUGGGGGUGCGAAAAAUGGGCAGAGCCUAGCUACAGCGCAGGUGUAACACUUGGUGUUUAACGAGUUCAGACCCCUCUCAGAGGAGGUAAUAGCACUACGUAUCGUGCCUUGAGCCUUUGUUUUCUUGAGAGGUAUGAUUACUGAGAUUGCUUAGCCCUUGUACACGAGAGGGGGGGGGGACUUAUAUAGAGUGUGUCGUUGCCCCGCCAUUCCCACGUCGCAAGGGUGGAUUUAAUGUCGUAACUACUGCAGUUACAAGUAUAAAUGGCCACAACUGCAGCAGUUACAGGUAACGGUAGCCCUGACUCUACUUUAAGGAUGACUUAGGAUUCCUCGACCAUUACAGAUCCCACGUCAUCCCUUCACCUCUCUUGCCCGAGUGAUGGUGGUCAUGUCGAUUGAAGGGUGGUCAUCCGAGUGUCGUCGAGGUGUCCGAGUGGACCUCUUGAUGUUCACAUAUGAAUGCUUGUGUGGUCCUGAGACCCACCAAUGAUGGUGUGGGGCCCUAGGUGGGCCCUAUAUGACAGGUCCAUGACCCUACUUGUAGUAGGUGACCUCAUCAUUAGACAUAGAAUCAAUUGAGGUUUUGUAUGGCAAACGGACUGAGCUUUCGGUUAGGUCCCAAUGCUUCUGGAGCACUCGGAAUAUGUUUUUCGGAAUCGUGGUCCGCCGCUCCUUAGACGAAAACACAACGGAUUCUGGACCAAAGGGUUUCCCAGAUGACCGGGUGUUGUUUAUCGCUGAGAAAAACCUGGUGGUAUUUAUUUGUCUCUAAGAGGAGAUAGACUUGAGGUCCAAGUGAGGACAUGCCAUUACAAUCCGAGUGGAGACGCCAGCGUGUGGUCUGACUCUCCAGGGAGAUGCCACUCCUUAUCCUAGAGGAACUCUAUGGAAGACCUUGGUUCGUUCAUCUCGUCUUCAAACACCAUGCAGUUCUUGGACAUAAAGGAGGGAAUGAUUCUUGUAGGUAAAGUGUACAAGACUCUGCAGAUUGAAAAUCUAAUCGAUUAGUCGUGUCCCCGGUUACGGACAUCUGAGCCUAUGGAAUUGGAGUUAUUCGGAAUUCUCAACACCAAACAUAAUUAAUUAAUUGAUGGUUUAUUAAUGAUUUCGGGUAUGAGACACUGGUUGGCGGAACCAUCUCAAUAACAACAAAUAUUUUGUAGUAAUUGCAAGCAAGUCCUUUUGUUGUAGGGAAAAAAUUGCUUCUCGCAGAAACUUAAACUUAGGGCCCCACAGCCAAAAUUGCAUAUAGUGAUAGCAUUUAUUUAUUGGUCUCCCUAUAUGACUUGCCGGCAUAUUCAAAAUGCUAACCUACAUGACCACACCAUCUUAUGUUGCAUAGGAUUACUCCGACCAGGACUGAGGAUACGAUCCACAGUCGAUGAUUGCCUUAGGAGUCGGAUGGACUCGCUUAUCGUCCACACUUCCGCAGUAGUUUUCUCAUGAGUUGUCCUUUGGCUGAAUUUAUUCUGAUGUAAUAAAGACUCCAUAUGAGAUUCAUGUAAUAAAUCAAGUGUGACUGAACUUUGAUAUUUUCAUCAAUGUACUGUGUGUGCCAGCAUGAUCUUGGGAUGGUACUGAUACAUAGAGAAUUGGCCGUUUUCGGGUCGGGUUGCUACAGUGACUUGCUAAUAAUACAUAGUGAUGUAUGCGGUCCAGUCAGUGUGAAGUACACAUUGGAUAUCAUUAUUUCCUAACCUUCAUAGAUUAUUUAAGUAGAUAUGGGUAAAUUUACUUAAUGAAACACACCAUUGAAAAAGUUCAAGGAGUUUCAGAGUGAAGUAGAAAAUCAUCCUAAUAAGAAGGUAAAACUUCUAUGAUCUGAUCAUGGAGGUGAAUACCUGAGUUAUGAUUUUGAUAUGCAUUUAAAACAAUGUGGAAUUGUUUCACAACUCACUCUACCUGGAACACCACAUCGUAAUGGUGUUUUCGAAUGUUGUAAUCGUACUCUAUUAGAUAUGGUCGUUCUAUGAUGUCUCUUACCGAUUUGUCACUAUCAUUUUAGGGUUAUGCAUUAGAGAUAGCCGCAUUCACUUUAAACAGGGCACCGUCUAAAUCCUUUCAAAAGACACUCUAUGAAUUAUGGUUUGGCAAGAAACCUAAGCUAUCGUUUCUUAAAGUUUGGGGAUGCGACAAUUAUGUCAAGGGGCUACAACAUGAUAAGCUCAAACCCAAAGCGGAAAAAUGUGUCUUGAUAGGAUACCCUAAAUAGAUAAUUGGGUAUACAUGCAAUCACAGAUCCAAGGGCAAGAUCUUUGUUUCCAAAAAUGUAUCCUUAAUGGAGAAAGAGUUUCUCUCAAAAUAAGUGAGUGGGAGGAAUGUAGAGCUUGAUGAGGUUAUCAAACCUUCUCUCAAAUUAGAGAUUACCAAGUGUGAACUCUGGUGGACUUACCCGAUGACUGAAGGCCAUUGAAAACAAAUGGAUCUUUAAGAAGAAAAUAGACAUUGAUGGUAAUGUCACUACCUAUAAAGCUCGACAUGUCACAAAAGGUUAUCCACAAGUUCAAGGGGUUGACAAUGAUGAGACUUUCUCGACCGUAACGAUGCUAAACUUUUUUAGCAUUAUGUUAGCAAUUGCUGCAUUUUUGGACUAUGAAAUCUGACAGAUGGAUGUCAAAACUAUGUUCCUUAAUGGUCAUGUUAAGCAAGAGUUGUAUAUGAUGCAACAUAAUAAGGUAUGCAAGUUCCAGCGAUCCAUUUAUGGACUGGUGCCAGCAUUCUCGACUUGGAAUCUUCACUUUGAUGAGGUGAUCAAAGCUUUUGGUUUUAUCCAAGCUUAUGGAGAAGCUUAUAUUUACAAGAAAGUGAGUGGAAUCUCUGUAGCAUUUCUAAUACUAUAUGUGGAUGACAUAUUAAGUAUUGGCAAUGAUGUAGAUCUUCUGGAAAGCAUAAAUGGAUAUUUGAACAAGAGUUUUUCAAUGAAAGACCUCGGUGCAACAACUUACAUAUUGGGAAUCAAGAUCUAUAGAGAUAGAUCAAGACGCCUGAAAGGACUUUCACAAAGUACAUACCUUGACAAAGUGGAAGAAGUUCAAAAUGGGCCAGUUCAAAGAAUGGGUUCUUGCCCAUGUUGCAAGGUAUCAAGUUGAGUAAGACUAAAUGCCCAGCUAUGGCAGAAGAAAUAGUAAAGACGAGAGCCGUCCACUAUGCCUCAGCCAUAGGCUCUAUCAUGUAGGUCAUGAUGUGUAGUAGACUUGAUGUGUGCCUUCCCACUAGUAUGAAUGGUAGGUACCAGAGUGAUCCAAGAGUGGAAAACUGGACAACAGUCAAAUAUCAUUAAGUGCCUAAAGAGGACUAAGGAGAUGUUUCUCAUUUAUGCAGGUGAUGCAGAGCUUGUCAUAAAAGUUUAUGUCGAUGCUAGAUUUGACACUGAUCCGAAUGACUCAAAAUGUCAAUUCACAUAUGUAUUUAUUUUGAAUGGUGGGGAAGUCAGCCGGAGUAGCUCCAAGCAAAGCGUUGUAGCAGUAUCAACAUGUGAGGCGGAAUAUAUAGCUGCCUUGAAAGUGGUGCGGGAAGGAGUCUAGAUGAUGGUUUUCAUAUCUAAACUAGGUGUGGUUCCUAGUGCAUCGGAUCCCAUGACUAUCUAUUGUGACAACAUGGGUGCCAUUGUCAUAGCCAAGAAGCCAAGGUUUUACACAAAAACUAAGCAUAUAAAUGCCGCUUCAACUCCAUCCGUGACUAUGUCAAGGAAGGAGACAUAGAGAUUUGCGAAAUUCACACAGAUCUCAAUGUUGAAGAUGAUGACCCACAAGUAUAGGGGAUAAAUCGUAGUCCUUUCAAUAAGUAAGAGUAUCGAACCCAACGAGGAGCAAAAGGAAAUGAGGAGUUGUUUUCAGCCAGGUAAUUUCUGCAAGCACUGAAAUUGUCGGUAACAUGUAGUUUGAUAGUAAGAUAAUUUCUAACGGACAAGUAACGGUACAUAAAGUGAAGUAAGAUAGCCCAAUCCUUUUUGUAGCAAAGGAAAGUACAAAACGAUCUCUUAUAAUAAGCAAAGCAUCCUUGAGGGCACACUGGAAUUUCAUCUAGUCACUUUCAUCAUGUUGGUUUGAUUCGCGUUCGCUACUUUGAUAAUUUGAUAUGUGGGUGGACCGGUGCUUGCGUGAUGUUCUUACUUGAACAAGCCUCCCACUUAUGAUUAACCCUCUCGCAAGCAUCUGCAACUCAGAAAGAAGAAUUAAGAUAACAAUCUAACCAUAGCAUUAAACAUAUGGAUCCAAACCAGCCCCUUACGAAAUAGCGCAUAAACUAGGAUUUAAGCUUCUCUCACUCUAACAACCCAUCAUCUAAUAACUAUUCCACAAUGCAUUCCCUUAGGCCCAAAGAUGGUAAAGUGUCAUGUAACGACGUUCACAUAACACCACUCAAGGAACCAUAACAUACAUAUCAUCAAAAUAUCGAACGAAUACCAAAUUCACAUGAUUACUUGCAACAUGACUUCCCCCGUGGCAUCAAGAACAAGGACAACUACUCACAAAUAAUAUUCAUGCUCAAGAUUCGAGGGGUAUUAAAUAGCAUAAUCGAUCUGAACAUAUAAUCUUCAAAUAAACCAUAUAGCAUCAACUACAAGAUGUAAUCAACACUACUAGUCACCCACAGGUACCAAUCUGAGGUUCUGGUACAAAGAUUGAACACAAGAGAUGAACUAGGGUUCUCAGAUGAGAUGGUUAUGUUGAAGAUGUUGAUAAAGAUUGGCCUCCCAAAGAUAAGAGGAUUGUUGGUGAUGACGAAGGCUUCGAUUUCCCCAUCCGCGAGGGAUGUUCUCCCGGCGAAAUCGCUCCAUCGGAGGGCAAAAGUGCUCCUGCUCAAGUUCCGCCUUGAGACGGUGGCACUCCAUCCCGAAAGUCCUCUCUUUGUUUUUACUAGGUCAAAAGACCUUAUAUACUAGAAGAUGGGCACCGAACGUGGGGCGGGGUGCCCACCACCCACCAGGGCACACCUGGAGGGGGUGGCGUGCCCUGGUGUCUUGUGGCCACCUGGCAGUCCCCUCUGGUAGUUCUUUUCUCCAAUAUUUCUUAUUUAUUCCAAAAUAAUUCUCCGUAAAAUUUCAGCUCAUUUGGAGAUGCGCAGAAUAGGUAUCUCUGACAUAGUUUUUUCAGGUCUAGAAUUACAGCUAUCGGCAUUCUCUCUCUUUGUGUAAACGUUGCAUAUUACGAGAAAAAAUGUAUUAGAAUUACUCCAUAAAGUGUUAUAAAACAUAAAAACACUAUAAAUAUAUGAUUUUGUCAUGAAAAAUCUAAAUGAAUGCCACGGAAAGACCCCAAAAUGUCAUAUAGGAUCACCAUUGAGCAUCAAAAUAUAAGGCCACCUCAUUCGUUAUGAAGAAAUCCUUUGCCAUGAAAGUAAACCACGCUAACACUAAAAUUCAUGAAGUAAAGUCAUCCAUAGUCUUAUGAUUCAUUACAUGAAAUUAAAGAAAGUGAUGGUAUGGCUCUACCGUGUGUUAGAUGUGGCCUUUCCCACGACGAUGUGGUAUCAUCAUUUUUUUCUAAGUUAGUAAAAGGUCUUACAUAUUGGUUUCAGAAUCCAAAAAGACUCCUUCAGCUGCGCGUUGGGACAGGCGAAGCGCUCCGUAGAAGCAGUCAGGUAGUAUAGCAGCCGACUAUGUUCCUUUUCAAACUUUCGCAUGUUGUUUAACUGAAAAUGGUGGCCCCACGUAGUAUAGCAGCCCACCUACUAGACGCAUUCCCUAACCCUUCGUGACAGCCAGUUGGAAGUUGAUCGCGUGGGACAUGUGCGCGUGAAUUAGCCUCCCCUCACAGUCAUCCACCCCCAAAAAUAAUACAAAUUAAUAUAAUUUCAGCCAUGUUAGAGACAUGUGUGUACCUCCACAAUGUAAUUGGCUAUUGUUGUUUACAACUAAUUGUUUCCUAAUUUUAUGACUGGAUAUGGAUUUUGUCAUGAAACAUACAGGGUUUGUGCCUCCUAGGUAGGUUUAUGACAAAAUGAUAGUUUCGUCAUGGUAGGACCGAUGUUUAUGACACAAACACAAAACAUCACAGAUAAUUCAUCGUAUAGAAGGCCAAAAAUUACUAGUGCAAGAUAUCUUAGGACUCGUAAAUUGGAUAUGUAAUUUGCACAUAUUUGUGUCCUCUACACGUUCUAUGGUUUACUGGAAUUUCUGCAAUACUGCAAAAAAGAAGUAUCUAAUUGCGGUGCAAAAUGGUUAGAAAAGGUGACAUGUCUUUGAUGAAUCGAUGUUGGAAUGUGGCUCACAAGACCAGUACACUAUGGUAGGUUUGUCCUUGUCUUGUUUUGACACCUUUUGUUUGUCCUUUUUACUAGUUUUUAAUUUGGAUUUUGGCCUUUUAUCAUCUGGUUCUCGUCAAUUUCCUACUGUUUUGCCACUAGUUUUUUUACGGGGAGUUUUGCCACUAGUUUUCAAGUGGUUCUCGCCAUCUUUUUAUGUGUUUCUCCACAAUAUUUUUUGAUGUACUUUGGUAUUCCAUAACAAUUUUCACACUAGAUAAUACACAACAUAUGAUUGAGCAAAAAAUGCGUGAGAAGAAAACAAUGCAAGACAUAGGCAUCUCGAGCUGCAAACAAAGUAACAUUUCCAUCAACCGAUGGCAAGACAAUAAUCCGCGGAUUGCAUAUAAUAUAUGUGUGUAUGUAUAGCCGGUGCUAUAAUUCUCAUAUGCAUCCUCCUCGACCUACGUUGGUAGGUGCUUACAUACAUAUGCUCAUAUAUUCACAUACGAGUAGUACGAGAAGUAAAACCGAGAAAGCAGAGCUGCCGACAAAUGUGAACUAACAUGGCAUGUAUAUGCGUUACUUCAACUUGCACUUUAGGCCUUGCCAGAUUCCUCGCAGCCUGGUGGCCUGAAGGCAAUGAAGCUGACGCACUGCACCUGGCGCAUGUUGUCGAAGCCGAUGACGCGGACAUAGGCAUCAGGGUACUCCUUCUUGACCUCCUCCACCUCGCUGAGCACCUGCGUUGCGUCGGUGCACCCGAACAUAGGCAGCUUCCACAUUGUCCAGUAUCGACCGUCGUAGUAGCCGGGGGAGCUGUUGUGCUCACGGAAGACGAAGCCAACCUUGCUGAACUCGAGGCAGGGCACCCACUUGGAGCGGAUCAGGUAGUCGACCUGCUUUAGGAGGGCCUCCGUGGAGAGGGGUGGCAAGUAAGACAGGGUCUCGAACUUCUUGAUGCCCUCAAUCGGCCACACCUGAAUAGAUGGAAUGAACACAAUUGAUCAACACUUGGUGCUUAAAGAAAGACCUGGCCAUAAGUCAAAAAUUACUCCUUAUGGUCUGCCCAUACAUUGUGGGGGGUCUCCACAAGCAAGAAGGCUCAAGGGCAGCAGCUCUUGCUUCAGGUUCAGGGUAGUGUACGGGCAUUAAAAAUGAUAUUAUCUAGUACACAUUGCGAUAAAAUCAAUUUCCGUUCACAAAGUUUAUGAGUUAAAUAUUCCUACACAUGUGAACCUGCUUACGGACUACAUACAUUGUGAUGCACCAUCUUAGUUUACUUUGGCCUGGUGUGUGGGUUACACAUCCUAAUUAAGGAUAGCUUUGGCUAUGUACAGUGGAAAUAUCCGAUAAAUUAAUCAACUGUGCCGACAAGAAUAUUCGUGUGAGCUUAGUGUUCGUCCUACCUCGCAAAAAUAAUACUCUGUCCGAUACAAAAUAAGUGUUGCUGUUUUGUAUUAAGAUUACCGAGGAAGUAAUUAGUGUUCAUACCUGC